AAAAAAAAAAAAAAAAAAAAAAAAAAAAAGCAAAGAACGACGUUGGGUACUUCUCCACACACAGUACAAGAGAAUCCUCGCUCCAACCACAACAGCUUCUUUGCCACUCUAGAGCACCGUCGAUUUCAGCAUCGCAAUGCAAUCCACCACCACACCGCACAGCUCGUACACGGAAAAGACAACUGCCGACCGCGUCCGCCACCGCAUUGUGACUAAUUGAAACUCAACAAUCAACACCACCUCGAACAACAAUGUAGCUUCGCAGCACCGCCAACUUCAGCUGCCACCCUUCCACCACACAUAUUCUUCUUUAUCAGAAGAACAAGGAAAAGAUAAAAACAGCAACAACAACAACAACAACAACAACACCUUGAUCUCUCACCACAGCACCGCCAUAAUCGAACGCUUUACACAAACUAAUCAGAACUCAGAGAGAGACGAAGUCCAGGGUGGCCCGGAUUGCCGCCAUUCAGGGACGGCCUCUUCCUCUUAUCAUCAUCUUCUCCUCUCCUUCUGUUUGUUCUUUAUCUUUUUCUCUACUUCUUUUCCUUUUGUCUAUUUUUUUUUUUUUAUCUUCUUUUCUUUUCUUUUUUCUUCUCUUCUUCUUUUUUUCUUUCUCUCUCCUUCUCUUCCAUUUUUUUUCUUUCCCACUACUCUUAUGAUUUUUUCCUUCUAACUUAAUAUAUAUAUAUAUAUAUAUGAAGAACUACUAAUAUUUUUUUUUUCUUUUGAAUUGAUUUGAAUUAAUCGUUCUUUCUUAGCUUCCUAUCUUAAUUAAGAAUCCACAAUAAUAAGAGCUACUUCCAUUGGACCAUCAUCUAAUAUUAACUAACUCAAAGAAAACUACUCAUCUUGGAAUUUUGUCUCAAUAAUUUCUACCUUAGGUUGCAUAUCUGCUACUUGCAAUCUUUUUUCUAUUUACCAAAGAAUUCUUUUUCUAACUCACAAAAUUUGUGAUUUAAAGCACAAUGAAUGUUUUUUUUAUACUAAAUACACAAGGGAGACAAUUCAGUGACUCACAGUGGCAAAGCAUUAUAUAAGCCUCCCUUGAAUGGAUGCAAGGCAAUUCCUUGCAAUAUAAAUUUUGUAUUAUUUUUUAAUUAUUUUUGGACACUCUAAGGUAUUUUUUUGCAUCUAUACAAUAGAAUUUUGGUCAAGCUUGAUAGUCAAUUUUGGAGGUUGUUUUUAAGGAUUGGCUAUGAGCAACACAUUGUAUUUCUAACAAAAUUUUUUAGUAAAACAAUGGUCUAAGUGUUUGAUAGUAGACAUAGUUGGUGCAAUUUCUCUAAAUGUUUGAUAUUGUAUUGUUUCAAUUCUCAACACCAUAUGGGUUGUAGUACCUUAGAUGUACGUAGGUUUUGGAAUAAAACAAUAACCACAAAAGAAAAUAAAUAGCUUGAGAGUCAUCAAAAUGUGAUGAUCUUUGGAAUUGUCUAAAGUGGUUGUGGAUACAGCGGAAAAUUAAAAGCUAAGUCACCUAAUUGGAAGAAUGAUGUGAAGAAAAGGAACUUACAAAAUUGAGUAGAACACAUUAUUAAUAAAAAUCUAAAAUUCUUGAUUAUAAUUGUAAUCUUAAACUUGAAAUUAUUUAAAUCACAUGAUUAAUGUAAAUAAAUAAUAAUAAUAAUAAUAAUACAAAACUAAAAACAAAGAGCAUUGAUAACUAUAAACUAAACGUUUAAUAACACCAUCACCAUCAAUACCAUUAAAGCAUCAAAGUGCACAUGAUGCAAGUAGGAAGCAAAAGCGAGAGGAAAGAAAAUAAAGAAGAAAAAAAAAACAAAACAAAACAAAACAAAUCAAAAAACAAACAAACAGAAAUUUAGUCUGCACCACUGCCAGUAAUGCUUUGAUAAGUAAAACAUUCUUUAAUUAUAUUGUUUGAUUUGGAGCAAGUUGCAGAAUGGGGAGCUUGCUGAGUCACUGUUUGCAAGUAGUGCAGAACACCCACAAUGCCAUAAGCUCCUAUUUUCGGUCCCCAUGUUUUGCAACCUUGCAGCUGUGUUUCUCAUCAGAAUAGAACUUCUAAGGCACCUCCUAUCUCCCCUAAAUAACAACCCAUGAGCCUGCAAAGCAUCCUGAAGUUGGUGGGAGUCAGUUCGUUUCUAAUCUCAAAGUCGUUCGGAGCGUUCCUCCAAGAGAUUGUUCCUCCAAGCGGAACAUCUUGUGUGCUCAAUCUCUCCGAGCCGGUCAAUGUCAACUGUGUUUUGUACAGUAUCUGUAGGACGAUUACUAUAUUGUCAGAGUCCGUAAGUCGACGCGCGUGCGCGGCAAAUCUGCGAUGGCAGAAGAAAGGGCAGCAAACGCGUCCCGAAACGAGGUGCAUUGGAGUCAUCGCGUACCUCCAAGAGAAGGUCGUGAUGUAUGCGUUACGCGGCGAGUUCGCAGUGCUUUUCACCAAAGUUGCCCUCCCGCCUCCAUCGCUGUCUAGUUUCAUUGAGAGAUUCGCAUUGUCAGCUCCUCCAAGAUGAAUUGGUGCAUCGUUUGUUAAACAGAUUAAUUUCAUUAUUCACGCCUUCCAGCGCCAUGGAGAACUUCCGUGACCCCUGACCGUAUUAUUAUCUCGGCUUCCUUGAUGAGGUGAGCUCGAUGAUGAAAACGGGUUUAGAAUACUUGCGGUUUAGGUUUUUUAACUAGUUAGGAGAUAUUGUUUCCAAGCGGAUGAUUCUCGGUGCUGAUGGUGUUGGUGUGCACAUAAGUUGCAGUUAUUUAUCCCGGGAGUCAAGAGGGAACCCAAGUUCAUCGAGGAUAAAAUGAAAGCCAAGCCAUCCGGCUCAGCUACGACGAAGAAACCGGAGGAGCCUAAGGAAGUUAAAUCGAAGACACAAACCAUUGAGCUGAACAUAAAAUUGUGCUGCGGCAACUGUGUGCAGAACGUGAGAAAGGCUCUCGAUGAUGUCAAAGGUCUGUCCUCCUCACUAAUAUCCCUCCGGAAUUUCACACGCUGGCCAUUGCGCUCGUUCUUCCUGCUUCGAGGAUUCGGCUCUCUGCCAGGUCUGCACUUUUUGGUAUGUUGACAGGGUUGCGGUUGCUGAUUCAGGGGCGGAGAAGGUGGGUUGCGAACAGGAUCUAAACAAGGUGUAUGUAACGUGUACCGUGCAGCCGGAAAUCAUUUGAAGAAACUGCAAAAGGUGGACAAGCGCGCCACUCUUGUGAAGAAGAAGCAACAAAACUGAAACCACCACCAUAGCCAUCAUCUUCCAUCACACUCUACACGGUCCCACACAAGUUCUCAAAGGCUUUUGGCUAUGUAGCCUUGGCAGCUAUCUUCCAGCAUGCAACAGACCUCACUUGCCGACCGAAAACGAGCUCCGCUCAACCAUGCAGGGCUUCGUUUCGCGGGGGGGGAGGGGGGGGACGGGGGCAAGAGAAGAUCCGCCCGCUGUCAACUUGCCUCCCCAAGUCGUGGCGAUCUCCUGCACUUCUGAGGCCGCAUUCUCCUCCGAAAAAUACACCGUGUGAUAACUAAAACAGCGCAGACUCAUGAGAAGCUCUCCGGUGACUGCAGUUAAGCCUCACGACGCCUCACUGUACGGACAUCCUGUAUGCUAUAUCUGUAUAUAUUUAUGUUUAUAUAUAUAUAUAUAUAUAUAUAUAUGGGAAGAGCGAGUGAGAGAUAGAUGUAGAUACUGCGAUGGAUUCCUCCAGAGCGUGGAGACACCCGUGAGAAUGUCGACUGCGGAGCAUUGGAGCUGCUGCCGAGUGACGGAAGAUCGUCUUCAAUGACUCCACCGCCACAUUCCGCGUCUAGAAUUGCUGUUUUCUGACGGUAUGAAACCCGCAAUCACCCACCCUCAUGGCCGUUCCCCGCAUCGUCGCCAUCCCCCCACAGUAGAAGAAGAGCCUGUGCUUCAGUUGACUCCAACUGUAUAGUGACAACGUUGACAGCUUUAUCAAAGAAGAUCUACCGAUGGGGAACAUGAAGGAAUUUAAGAGCUUGAGAGUUCCAACGGAAGAGACUCUCAUGAAUUACCAGCACAGUAGUUUAAUAAAAGCAAUAUUUAGAAUGCAAAUAUGAGGUAGGGGAUAACUUCCGUCAUUUCAGAGAAACAUCACUCUGACGGAACGUCCCAUCUUCAAAUCCUUUGCUAGAGUUGAACUGAAGGGUUGAAUCUCCUUUACUCCAGUUUAUCCAUUCAUAAUUUAUGGAGUUUAGAACUUGGGGGACAUAUAGAUUCGAGGAACUUAUAUACUUCUAUUGUACGAAUGAAUACAAACGAAGAUUGAAACAUUUGUUUCCCUGCCAAACGUUGAACUUCAUUGUGUGACAGUCACUAUGUUAAAUUAGAUCAAGGAGCCAACUCAAGAACUUUAAUUGUGCCCUGCGAGUUGGCCGCCAACAUGGUCGGGCUCUCACUCUUCCAGCACACUGCACUAACAAAGGAAAUAUCAUCCCCAAUGUCUUCAGCGUAUGAAGAUCUGAAUUUAUGAGAAAAAGACGGUUUCGACGUUGCCUGUGGUACAAACAGAAAGCGCUUGGUGAGAGUGAUUCACAGUCGGAAGGAAAAGAGUAACCCAGGUGGCACUUCAAUAUCAACAAAAAAAUUCAGAAAAGUGAAAAACAAACUAGGGCUACAAAGGAUGUAAUCUUAUCUAUAGCCAUACCUUGUGAUAUACAAAAACCUCGCUCGUUUCACUGCCACAAGCGAUGUAGUCACUAUUUACAGUAAGCCCCACAAAAUUCUUUUCAUUGGUGUGUCCUCCAAGCGUUUGUACCUGCAGGAGAGGUAAACCUCAGAAAUUACGACAGGGUAGCGAGCGACUUUUCUAAGUGUUUUGCGAAGUCACUUAGCACGCUACACAAAUCGCGAAAAAGAAACAGGUGACGGGGGGAGGGGGGAGGGGGGGGGGGAGGGGGCUGGCAUCGGAAUGAUCUUGUCACCGAAUCAUAGCAGUAACUUAUCAAUGCAUUCUUUAUAAUGAAAGCUCCACCCUCAAGACAAUACUCACUAUCAUGACAAAACAGAAGUCGUGGGAAGAGAAGGUCAUUGCAUACAGAGGUGUCUGUCUGAACGUCCCAUAAUCGUAAUGUGCUGUCGGUAGAAGCUGACACUAAUUCAUUCGAAGACAUAAAUUUUACGUAAGACACGGCUUUCCGAUGACCCUUGAAUACAAAGAGUGGUGUUCUUAGAUUCCUUAAGUCAUAAUAAUGUAUGUGAUGAUCCGAUGAGCCGAUCUGUCAACAAUAUUACACAAACCAGGUGACGUAAGACACUGGAACCUUAUCAGGCUGCAUCAAAUGAUACACUGAGAUGCCUUGGUAGAUGCAUAAUACAAACGUCAUGCAAAGAGGCGACAAAAUAAACCGCGAGAAUGCUUCACAUAACAAUACAAGAAUUUCAGAGUCCCUGACACUUAUAUUGAGCAAUCCAAUACUUACAGCAAUAUGGUUGCUGGAACCGGGAUUGUACUUCACGCAGCAGAUGUUAGCCUUCAUAUCUAUGCUAAAUGCGCUAGCGUCCUGAUUAAUGCACCAAACCUUUACCUGCAAAACUCCCCAAUCUGCUUCUUAGAUGCUGUGCAGAGUAAAAUUGAACAGGUUAUUACUUGUUACAUUUCACUAGGGACUUGAAAACAAAACACCAAUAAAUAAUUCCGAUACAAGCUACUAAGCAACAGAAGAAGAGCAGUGUACACAUCAACCGUAUAGUCCUUCAAAAAUAAGCUAGGGAACCAUGAGACAGACCUUGCCGUCGUCACUUCCAGAGACCAUCAUUGAUGGAUCUAUACAGGAAAAAUCAACACUCCAGGCGCGCUUCUCGUGCUCCUCGUACUCGACAACGCUCUGGCAAUGGUAAUUUGCGAGCAGAACAUGUCAACAUAUGUUUGCAGGGACUAUACACUUGAAAUAAUGUAUAUAGUUAUAUACGUAAAUGAAAAUGAUUGACGCAUUGCAAAGACAUACAUGUAUAUUUCUGGUACGAACCCAAGUUGGAACAUCAACAGUCCUGUGCUGUGCCAAUAAUCCACUCCGAUUUACCUGACUCCGGUUGACAUCCCAUACUGCUAUAAUGCCUUCAUAGUCGCUGCUAGCAACCAGUGGUUUUUUCAACUUAUUCCAACUUAGACAGCUUAGCUUGGAUCGUGUUGGAAUUUCCGUUACUGGACAAUGCACAUCUACUACGUCGUCUAUAACCUGUUUGAAUACAAUUCAACAAGUUAAAUAUAGACCAUGAACAUUAUGUCAGAAACUUCAAAAAUCCUGAAACGUUAGUCUUGAAUAUGACAAGCUAUGAAGAAUCAAAAAGAAAACAAGAUAAUCACAUAGAACCUGCGCUUAUAAAUAAAUAAAUGAUAAACCUGCAAUUAUAAAUAAAUGAUCGGUCAAUCAAGAGUUAUAAGGGUACCGUUGCAAAAUUAAAAAUCUUGAUUCGCCUUGUAACGCCUGCAGUUGCGAACAGCUGAUCAUCUCCAUCGAAAUCAAUGCUGUAAAUGACUCAAAAGAUUGAGAACGAUUUCGUGAAAUAUAUUUCUGAGAACCAAGGAUCUCUUAGUCAAAUCCUUGGUUCCCAGAAAUAGUCACAUAGAACCAACUAUUUUCCAUUUAUCCUGUGGAACCAUCAGAAGGGUAAUGGUGGCAGCUCGACAAUACAUUGAACUCAACCAGCAACACUGACAAAGGACUCUAAUUAAAUUUCACUCACAAAGCAUAAUAUUUCGGUCUGAAGUGAAUUACCUGGACACUAUGUUUGAAGAAGGUUGGAAAGGAUCGUCAUGAUGAAGCUCGGCAACAACACGAAGUUGACUGCUCACAUACAUCACAACGUUAAGUUAGACAACAAAGACAUUAGAAAACAAAAUUUAAAUGCAACAAGAUAUAGUGAUUUAUACUCCACCAAUCUCAACAAAGCCCUUCCCUUAAACUUCACGGUAAUCUCUUGCACUAAGACAGAUUGAACAAAGUCACUAACCUUCCUUUCCUGCACAAAGGAAAAGACAUGGACAAGGGAUGUAGGAGGAGCAACAAUCCUUGAACCUUCAAGUUCAGAGACAGAAUUUAAACACAAUCUCAAGGUAAAAUCGCAUCCAUUAACCUCCCAAAGGAAACAGACAUACCUGUAACGAGUAUAGGUCGUAAGAAUGGACUGAAAGUCAUCCAAACCAUCAUCAUAUGUAUCCCAAUCCUUGUAAGCGCCCUUUUUGCUAACCGAUUCUUGUGACUGUUGCUUUUGACAUUCUUUGAAAGCAAUCUGUCGUCUUCGCAAAAAGUAAGCUCCUUGCAACUCCUCAAACUGCAUGUUAUCAUCGAGAACUAAGUCACCCUUCUCCAGCAUAAUUGUCACUUCUUUUGCCAAAAAAAAAAGUGACGUCAAGAUAAGCGCACAAUGUUCACGUCAUGGCGGACUACUAUCAGCGACUAAUCAUACAGUACACAGCAUUUGAGUACUCAAACACACAUAUGAUAACGGAAAGAUUUCAAGUGAUAGCAUUAGUCUAAAAAUAUACCUGGGCUAGGACUCUACGCUUCUUGGCUAUUUUAUGUGCACCUGCAUAUUCACCAGGAGAGUCUACUGAUGGAUCAUUUUCAAUAUCCGUACUAACCGAAGUGUACGCCAGGUUUCUGAUUCUUAUUCUCUCCGCUCUAUUCAACUUUUCUUCGCCAGGUGGAGUAUAUGCACCACUCUGCCCACUUCGCCACAUAGAUACUGCACCUCCAGUACUUGUACUACCGUAUUCUGUGUGAAUAUCUAAAUCGGACAACGGAGAUUCCUCGCAAACUCUUUUGCUGUGGCUCUUAUUUGAUGCCAGUAGACAGCGCAAUCUUCUCUCAACUGUGGCUAUGUCGUCUUUCAGAAACUGGAGGUCACUCUGAACCUGUUUCACAAAUCGCAAAGUUAGGUGAAACAGAACAUUCUGAGAAGUUGUGUUGAAUGCACUUGGUAAGGAUUAAAUAUCUUAGUGUCCAUGGACUAUAUAUUUCUAGAUGCACUCGGUUUUCAUAAAUAUAAGAUUCGUUAUAUCGUCCGCGUUUUUAUCAGCUCACUAGCAAGAACAAUGGAUGCUAGUUGGAAAAAGGACAUGACAAACAUUUCUAGAAGUGGGCGAGCGAUUUAUCCUCAAAAAUUGGAACAUCAACCUAUAGAAAUCAUCAAAAAUUGUACUAUGAGAAACAUUUUAUAUAACCAUGAAACCGAAAAAAACUUGCGGAAUUGAAAUGGUUGAGACGUAAUACAGAAGAAGCAAAGAAGUCAGAAGAACUCACCUCCUUCAUCGCUUCCAGUUUCCGAAAUUGCAAACGAUGCAAAAAGUCAAAAAUUAUUUCGGUAUUUAUCUCCGCUUCCUCUCGGUCAAGCUUCUGCUUCCUUUCAUUAAGAAGUAGUAAUAGAGAAUCUAGCUCCUUAGGAGGCAAAUCCGCGUCCUACAGUCACAAAAUUCCAGUCAGCUACAUGCAGAACAUCCAGGCAGAAAACUCAAACAUACAUAUCAAAUGUCAGAGAAAUUGCACACCAUUGAAUGAAGGGCCAACCUGCUCAAGCGCAAGACGUAGUUGUUCUGCUGGAGACGCAUUCUUCAGCAUCAUCGAUGCAGAUAACUCAUUCAUCAACUGCAACAACAGCAAUCGCAGAGCAUUUCAGACAUAGGUUCAGCCUCAGCGUAAACAUAUAUAUCCUUUCUACUAGCAAGAAUCAUAACUUCUACGCUCCCUCUUACAGACCUAUGGUGCUGAUUAGGAUUAACCAAGUAGGACGCGACCGUACCUUUGUUAGAAGGAAAUUCGGCAUGAGUAGAUCGAUCGUGAGAUACUGAGCACAACAAGGACAAUUAUUCCUAUUCUUCAAGUGGGUCAUAAUGCAUGAGUAGCAAAAAUUGUGUCCACAGCGAGUAAGGAAAGCAUCUUUCAUUGUGUGGAGGCAAAUUGGGCAUAAAAAGUCUCUGUCCAUGUUUGCCCUGGCGCGGACAGCAGAUUCGUACUUCUCCUCUACGGAAGACGCUGCGAAUGACUCUUCAUUUUCAAACGCCAUGUUUUAAGGAGCAUGGAUCGCUCCUAAAAGUCCUAAGGACUUUUGUUACUUACAAGAUGUGCUAGAAUUCAGCCUGCAAGCCUCAACUAUCCUCCAGUAUCGGAUCACUGCUCACCAUACCACGAAAACAAUUCAAUUUCUUAAUCACUCCUAGCGAUUUGUGUACUUCAUCUCGCCACCGAUUUCUCCAACUUGCGAUGCAUUCAACCGCUGAUUAUUGUCCAGUCUCGAUGAUAUCUCUUUCUUCUUCAUAUGAAUCUUUUUCAUGGAAACACUGUUUCAGAACAACUGAAUCACAAUAGUAGUACGAGCGGUUCUCGCUAUCCCAGCUCCAUCGCAUGCGGUGUCCAUGAAUGAACGGUAAUCCAAACAACCUAAAAGAUCAAAAACAAGCUCAGAAUCCAACCAAGUACACCAGGGACGACGAGUCCCUGCAAAAGGCAGCCGCAAGUGACACAUACUAACAAAAACGCACUGAGAGCGGCACAAUGCUUCGACACCCACCAAUUCAAGAAAAGUUUCCCUGCUCCUUUCAAUUCUCCAACUCAACUUGAACCCCAAAAGUACGCUAUAUUUUGCUGAAUAGGUCCCCAGCUUGCACUCGCAGAGAAGAUUGAGCACCUUACCAGCCUCAACCGCAAGAUAAAAUCGCGCCCAGAAGCACAAUUCCUCCGAAUCACCAGCACCUCCUCCGCACUCAAAUCCACCGAUACCACUACCAGAUUUUUUCACAGGAAUAAAUUGAGCUUCGCAAGUAUCCGAUCGCACUCUACCGCUGCGGAAUAAAAUAUUCUGAAAUACGCACUAGAGAAACGCUGCAACAGAACGAAAUAGUCCACGCAAUGCCGCAUCUCCAAGUAGCUCUGCAUUCAACCACCUGAACAGAAUCAAGUCCUAGCCAUAAUACGGUUCUCUACUGCACUCCACUCUGUCCGAACCAUUUCCAUAACCAUUUCUAAGUCCAGACUCGGUAACUGAAAUCCAUCUCUACAGCCUUGAUUCCAACACCACCGAUUCCAUUACACAUGUUCCGGUUUCAAAAGGACACAGGCAAGUUAGCGUAGACGUACUCAUCACAGACACUCCAAGAACGACAAAUCUGUUCACGCCGUUUUGACUUCACUGCCUCGUGAAUCAAUCACGGCCGAGUUUCUGGUACAAACAAUGCAAGGCUUAACAAUGGCGAAGGGUAGAGGCUGGAGGUCGACGAAUGUGACAGAUGGCGAUCGGCCCGUGGGGGGAGUCAACUUUCAAGUUCAUAAACAAAUUGAUCGGUUCCCAAACACUGCGACAUGUCUAGCUCUCCUCCUUCCCCACUUGCUCCGAAGUGUCCAACCAACCGAGCUCCACCGACGAAUAAUUCUCCCUGCUGGCAUCGAGUACCAGCCACUUGUGUUCCCGCACACCACGUCCAGCUCCGCGCGCGCAGUGGCCCCACCCGCCCCCGCACCAGCCCUGCCUCUCCUCACCCCGCCAGAAUCCAAAUCUCGCGCUUCUACUAUUUGAACAUUCGCCAUGUCUCCUGAAUACGACCUCUCAACCCAUGUCCGAACGCCACGUGUACUACCUUGCUCAUCCAGAUAUGAUUCAUUGAAGUAUCAUACAUCCUCUUGUGAUGUGUGAACCUGGAGCCCGAAUCAGGGGAGCAAACGAAAAAGUAGCAUGACGAAGGUACGUUGUGGAAAAGCUGAGUCAGCACGCGGAGCCGCGUUCCACGUCAGCUUGAUCUCAGUGGAACAAGCAAGUGGGGGUUCUGUGGGCUUAUUUGCUGCCUUUUUUUUUCCCUUGCAGAGUGGCACAUAGGAUGACAGUGCCUGCCCCCUUAUCUUCCGAUGCUCGCUCUCUCUCAUGGCAUUAGGGUUAGCUUUCAACUCUCUUUUUCUGUGUGUAGUGGGUGCACUUGCAAAUUCUAGCUUUAUGAGCCUGAGCUUUCUCCAGUUCCUUGGCACAAAAAAGUGCGUUAGGGUGAGCUUGCUCAGUUACUUUUUUCUGGACAAGUGCGUUUGAGUUUUUGCAUGGACGAAGUUCAACGUAUCAUGUCUUUGCCAAUCUUGCUUGCUUGGAAGUUUGUUGAAACCAGAUGACUUGCUGCAUGGACAGUUCUAAUGGGUUGCUGAUAUACAUGUAUAUAUAUAUAUAUAUAUAAGUAUAUGUAUUAAUUUUUUAUUAGUCAAUUCAAAUUAUUACAACGAAAACAUUUUUAUUUUAUUUUUUUUACUUUAAACAUUGAGUUUACAAUUGAAGAAUUAUUAUUUUGUUCCAUUCCAUGCCUUGCAGAUAGGGUUUGCUUUGCGAAAUUUAAACAAAUUUUUCUGUUGAUGGGAACAAAUCAUGACAACGUCAAUGCAUUGUUUAAAGGGUGGAGUUUGCAAUUGAAGCAAAACAACUAAAAAAAAAAAAAAAAAAAAAAAAAAACCAUUUUUGCUGAAAUUGUUUAAAUAUCUCAAAAAAAUUACACAUGAAUAUAUUCCAUUAUAUGAAUAUUUCAUUUUAAUAUGAUUUAUCAACGAAUUCAUUGCUAGUAAUGAUCAAGAGUUUGUUGGGAAUAAUGUCACGGACAUACAUAUAAUUACCUAUAUGAAUAGAUAAAAGUAUGUAAAAGUAGGUUAAUUGUGUAAUAUCUUCUAGAGAAGCUUCUUAGAAGCUUCAUAGACGCUGCUUUGACUUUAUAGGAGUCUAUAGUUGACUUUUAGGUUAGAAACUUGGUCAACAAGUUAGCCAUGUGCCACGCAUGUUGGAAGCUUAAAGAACAAGCUAACUACGUGGUCCAUCCAUAGAAAACUUGCCUUGCAAGCAAAGGCAUGUGGCCUAGAAAGUCAACAUAUAUUGGAGGUCUUAUAGAACAUCGCCACGUGGCUUCUAGUUAGAUAGUAUAUAUAGAGGCAAGAGUGAAGCCCUCUUCACUCUUGUCAACUCCUUUCUUGCUUCUAGUCUAGUUUCAAGGGUCUCUAGUUUUCUUGUAUUUUGGCAAUAGCCAUUCCAGUUUCUUUCUUAAUAUACAUAUCUCUAUUUUGUCCUAUUUCUUUUUGAGAAAAGUCUCACUUACUCUUUAGCUUUCAUCGAGUUCUUGUCCCUGACAGAUUGACAAGAGUACACUUACAAUAUCAGAGCUUUGUCUUUUCUUGAUUAAGAGUGGAUUACCCCUUUUUCUUGAUAAGACAUAAGCGCAUUAGAAGUUGCGGAUUACCCUCUUUUAAACUGAUAUUGUUCUUAGUAUUUUCUUUGUUAUCAAUUCCUCUCUUCUAUUUGUUUUGAGCGUUGUUAGACAUCUUCUCUUUUCUAAGUGCUACUAUGGCAAAGCUUGUUGAAAUGAAGAGUGCAAUGGCACAGAUGCAAGAACAAUUGAGGGAGUUAAUGCUUGCGAUGCAUCAACUCAAUUUACCACCACAAGGAGCAACAAGAAUGGUAGGAAGUGAAGAUAUAGAGAUGAUUGGGGCUGCUUCAACAUCUGCACCAAACCAUGUCUCUUCUCCCAGAAUGGAACACCCUUCGAGUGUUAGAGAACCGAGAGUUGCCUUGCCCGAGAAGUUUGAUGGUACCAGAUCCAAGUUUCGAGGAUUCAUCAAUCAGGUCCAACUAGUGAUUGAACUUCAACCCCAGAGCUAUCCAACUCCAGGGUCACAAGUUAGAUUCAUUGGUACACUUCUUUCAGGUUCAGCAUUGUCAUGAUUUUCAUCUUUUCUUGAACGACGAGAUCCAAUAUUGGAUAAUCUGGAGGCUUUUUUGGCGGAGUUUCGAUCCAUGUUUGGAGAACAUGAUGCAAUUCGUGUUGCAACCAACAAGAUCCGUAUUUUGCGACAAGGCAAUCGAUCAGUAACAUUAUAUGCUUCGCAAUUUCGACAACUUACAACUGAUAUCAAGUGGGAUGAUGCCGCACUUGUGAGUCAAUUUCUCUACGGAUUACAAUAUGAGGUAAAGAAAUUGAUGCUUAAUUUACCUGAUCCUCAAACAUUGAGUCAAGCAAUUGACUUUGCUGUGAAGUGCGACAAUCGACUUUUUGAAUUUCGAUCCGAGAGUCGCACAAGUGGGCCUCAACGUUACUACAAUACAAUGGCAACACCGACGUCUCCUCAACACAUACCUUCAGAAGUAGAGGAUAUGCAAAUUGAUGCGGUAUGUUUCAAACCUCUUACUGAGCAAAAAAAGUCUCGUCGUCGACAAGAAGGAUUGUGCUUAUAUUGUGGAGAACCUAAGCACACUGCUCAACAUUGUCCAAAGAAGCGACGUAACUACAAAAUGAGGAGUACGGCUGUCAAAGAAGACAGUAUGUCAGAAAACGAGUACGUCCAGCUACAAUAGGGACCGUGCGGCUGGAAUCUUGUACAACUUCUAAUAAAGGUCCUAUCCUCUCCUCAGAACCAUCUCCUUGUUUUAUAAUAGAUGUGCGUUUAGGACCUAAUAAUUACAAAGCCUCUGCCUUGGUAGAUUCAGGAGCCUCAUCUUGUUUUUUAGAUGAAGAAUUUGCUAGAUGUCAUAGAAUAUCAUUAAUACAAAAAACUAAACCUGUACACGUAGAAGUCAUAGAUGGUCGUCCGUUGUCUUCUGGAGAUGUAACUCACGAAACACUUCCUGUAGAUGUAGUAAUAAAUGGUCAUAGUAGUUGCGUAAUUUUUAAUAUAAUUAGAUCUCCCUCUAAUCCAGUAAUUUUAGGCUUAUCAUGGUUAGAAAAGUAUAAUCCUCGAAUAGAUUGGAUUUCUCGUAAACUUGAUUUUCCUCAGAGCAUUAGUAACAGUUCUAUUAACCAAGUAAAAAACCAUGAGUCUAGUAUAGUAAAACUCGCACCUAUAGGUGCAAAAGCAUUUAUACACGCAGCAAAAGAAGGAUCAACUUUUGCUAUUUAUGCUGCACCUAUUUCUGAAAGCGUAAAGACUUCAAGUGGCAUUCCAAGUCAAUAUCAGGAUUAUCAAGACGUUUUUGAGAAAAAGAAUGCAGAUAUUCUUCCUGAGCAUCGCUCAUACGAUUGUUCAAUCGAUCUCAAGGAAGGAACUCAGCCACCAUUUGGACCAAUUUACAGUUUAUCGCAAGAUGAGUUGGCUGAACUCAAGACAUAUAUUGACGAGAAUUUAGCGAAGAAUUUCAUACGCCAUUCAAAAUCUCCAGCAGGAGCUCCAAUUUUAUUCGUAAAGAAAAAAGAUGGAUCUUUACGAAUGUGUGUUGACUAUCGAGGACUCAACAAGAUCACAAUCAAGAACAGGUAUCCAUUACCUUUGAUAUCAGGACUCCUUGACCAGUUAAAUCAAGCUAAGAUCUAUACAAAAAUAGAUCUAAGAGGAGCAUAUAAUCUAGUACGGAUCAAAGAAGGAGAUGAAUGGAAGACUGCGUUUCGAACCAGGUACGGACAUUUUGAAUAUAAUGUCAUGCCUUUUGGACUCACGAAUGCACCAGCUGCUUUUCAACAUCUCAUGAAUGAUGUAUUUCGUGAAUUCUUAGACAAUUUUGUCGUCUGCUACCUAGACGAUAUCCUGAUUUAUUCUAAGAAUGUUGAAGAACAUGAAAUACAUGUUCGUCAAGUAUUACAAAAACUCAGAGAUGCAGGAUUGUACGCCAAGAUGGAAAAGUGUGUAUUUCACACUACUCAAGUUGACUUUUUAGGAUACAUCAUUUCAAAUGAUGGUCUUAUGAUGGAUUCUAAGAAAGUCCAAACAAUCAUGGAUUGGAAGAUUCCAAAGACUGUGAGAGAUGUCUAAUGUUUCUUGGGAUUUGCCAAUUACUAUCGGAUCUUCAUCAAAGACUUCUCACGAGUUGCAGCUCCACUUACACGCUUGACUAGUAAAGAUAAAUUCUAAUGGAAUCAAGAAGCGGAAGCAGCAUUUGAAGCCUUGAAGACAUCGUUUGUCUCUGCACCAGUCUUAUAUCGUGUUGACUUUUCCAAGGCAUUUUUUAUGGAAACAGACGCAUCGGAUUUUGCCUUGGGUGCAGUUUUAUCACAAAUGGGAACAGAUGACAAACUUCAUCCGAUAGCUUUUCAUUCAAGAAAAUUCUCAGCAGCCGAGAUCAAUUAUGAGAUCCACGAUAAAGAACUUCUUGCAAUCGUGGAUUCCUUUCAAGAAUGGCGUCAUUAUCUAGAAGGUGCUUCUAGUCCAGUCACUAUGUAUACAGAUCACAAGAACCUCGAGUAUUUCAUGUCAGCACGCGUGUUGAAUCGUCGUCAAGCUCGUUGGAGUAUGUCUUUGUCAAGAUUCGACUUCAUUAUCACUUAUCGGCCAGGAAAACAACAAGGUUUGUCCGAUGCCCUGUCUAGACGUUCUUAUUUUGCACCAAAAGAAGGAGAUGCAGCUUUUGAGCAACAAAGAACGGUCCUCUUGAAACCGGAGCAAUUUCAUCUCCGAGCAGUGAAAUCAACAUUGACUGUUGAUUCAACUUUUCUCAAGCAAAUCCAGUCCAGUAUGUCCUCAGACCCUCUUGUUCAUGAUAUCGAGAAUAAUUCUUCCAAGUCUCAUGAUUCUUCUAAGUUCGAGUUCAAGAAUAAUCUAUUAUAUUUUGAAGGACGCCUAUAUGUUCCAGAAGAAAAAGCACGUUUGUGUGUUCUUCAAGCACGUCAGGACUUUCCAGCAGCAGGACACUUUGGAUAUAAUAAGACUUUGGAACUCAUAUCAAGAGAUUUUUGGUGGCCACAAAUGUGGAAGUCAGUCAAAGACUUUGUACAAUCAUGUGAUAUUUGUUCAAGAUCAAAAACUCCUCGACAUCGACCUUACGGACUUCUUCAGCCAUUACCUAUACCAGAACAACCAUGGUCUUCUGUUUCUAUGGAUUUCAUCACAGAUCUUCCAAACUCAAGAUCUUAUGAUUCUAUAUUUGUGAUAGUAGAUCGUUUCACCAAGAUGGCACAUUUUAUGCCAUGUACAAAAUCUAUCACAGGUGAAGAAACAGCUAAGCUUUUCAUUGAUAAUAUCUAUCGCUAUCAUGGAUUGCCUAAAGAUAUCAUAUCGGAUAGGGGAACUCAAUUUGUGUCGAGAUUCUGGAGGACUCUUUUCAAGAUUUUAAAAGUGGACAUAAAGCUAUCUUCAGCUUUCCAUCCUCAAACUGAUGGACAAACAGAGCGCGUAAACCAAGUCUUGGAACAGUAUUUAAGGUGUACCAUCAACUACCAACAAGAUGAUUGGACAAACCUUCUGCCAUUGGCAGAGUUUGCUUAUAAUAAUACGGUACAUUCCUCCACGCAACAAACACCUUUCUUUGCCAAUUAUGGCUAUCAUCCACGACCUGAUACUUUUGAUUUUUCAAAAGUUGAUAAUCCUGCAGCAGAAGAUAUGGCAAAUCGGUUGUCAGAGUUACAUGCAAUAAUGAAGGCGCAGUUGAAGAAAGCUCAAGAACGACAAAAGAUAAAUGCAGAUGUAUAUCGUAAAGAGCAACCACAACUCAACGUGGGUGAUAAGGUAUGGCUACUUCGUCGCAAUAUCAAGACCACUCGACCUUGUGACAAAUUGGACUAUCGUAGGCUUGGCCCCUUUUCUGUUUCUGAACAGAUCAACCCAGUUGCAUAUCGGUUACAUCUACCGGAGUCAAUGAAGAUCCAUCCUGUAUUCCACGUGUCUCUUCUUGAACCAUAUAAGACAGUGGAUAUACAAGGAAGAAGACAAAUGCCACCGCCUCCUAUAGAAGUAGAUAAUAAUGAAGAAUUUGAGGUGGAAGAGAUAUUAGACUCAAGGCGGCGCGGAAAUAAGCUGGAAUAUCUUGUUCAUUGGCACGGAUAUGAUAUUAGUGAGCGCACAUGGGAGCCAUCCAGGAAUCUAGCAAAUGCAUCAGCUAAAGUCAAAGUUUUUCAUCAACGACAUCCAUCAAAACCAAGAUGAAAACCUCUCUUAUAAAAGAGACAAGAUUGAGGAAGUUAUGAAGGCCUCAACAGUGAUCAAAUAACAGGGUGGUCUUCUCGCCCUGGAAUGGGACACUAUCGAUGGCUAAGAGGACCCAUCAACUAUCUUCGAAGAGAACAAAGAUCAGAGUAUGUAGCAAAUACAAUUCGCCGCAUAUUAGAUUUUCUCAAUAUAUAAUCACCGCUCCUCGUGGAACUCGUCCCUAGAAGGGGGGGUAAUGUCACGGACAUACAUAUAAUUACCUAUAUGAAUAGAUAAAAGUAUGUAAAAGUAGGUUAAUUGUGUAAUAUCUUCUAGAGAAGCUUCUUAGAAGCUUCAUAGACGCUGCUUUGACUUUAUAGGAGUCUAUAGUUGACUUUUAGGUUAGAAACUUGGUCAACAAGUUAGCCAUGUGCCACGCAUGUUGGAAGCUUAAAGAACAAGCUAACUACGUGGUCCAUCCAUAGAAAACUUGCCUUGCAAGCAAAGGCAUGUGGCCUAGAAAGUCAACAUAUAUUGGAGGUCUUAUAGAACAUCGCCACGUGGCUUCUAAUUAGAUAGUAUAUAUAGAGGCAAGAGUGAAGCCCUCUUCACUCUUGUCAACUCCUUUCUUGCUUCUAGUCUAGUUUCAAGGGUCUCUAGUUUUCUUGUAUUUUGGCAAUAGCCAUUCCAGUUUCUUUCUUAAUAUACAUAUCUCUAUUUUGUCCUAUUUCUUUUUGAGAAAAGUCUCACUUACUCUUUAGCUUUCAUCGAGUUCUUGUCCCUGACAAAUAACCAUGAUAAAAAAAAUAAUAAUAAUUUAACAUGACUCAAAUGAGUAAACUAUGAUAAAAUACAAGCUUUGUUGUACUGACAAUAUUUACUUGAAAAUGGGCGAACCAUUACACAUGAUAAUUCUACCUGAUCAUUACAUAAAACGCACACCAAACAACAUUUCACGAAUAAACCUUCAAAUAUUUGAUAUCCACUAUUUAUCAUGUAUAAACGUACUGACCUCAUCACACAGGACACCUUAAAGUAUUGCAAACUCAACUAAUAUCAAGGAAUUUGUCUAUGGAUACAUCACAUGAGCAAAUGGUAUCAGAAUGAACACAACUAUAACCAGCAAUUCUACCAGUAUAAAAUAACAACAAGAAUAAUAUUAAGAUUACAAAAGCUGUUUGAAGCAUAAUGUGAACUGUAUGAAGAAGUAGAGGCGCCCGAAGCUGUGUGCCGUGUUCCCUUGUGCAUUCUUCAUCAUGCAUCGACUCUUCAACGCCUCCGCUGCAAUCCAGACGCAACCCAAGCUGGUUAGAUCGUUCAUAUUACGGGAGCCAGCAAUCGUUCAUGCUUGUGUCGGCAAUAAAGCAGGGCCACUGGAUUGCUCUCCGUGAAUAUGAAGAGUCUGAUGUUGCGUGCUGGUGCAUUCAAUAUGACGGACGGAGAAGGGAAACAAAUCGGUUGUGGUGGUUUAGAUGUUGCAGUCGAGAUUUCAGGGUGCCACCAUAUUCCGCAUAAAACGAGAGCGCAUGCAUCGCGGUAGUCACUGCAUGGCCUCUUGCUGUCCCCGACGUUACGUUACAGUUCGGUUCUAUAAGCCCGCAUUUCUGAUUCCAUCAGUGAAUUUCGAACAAUCCUUGGAAGCUGCGAAAUGUAAUUAGAGAUUGUAAGCUGCGAUAAUCAACCAACACCGAGGAACUGCAACCCUUGCAACGAGAAGCAAUUGCGAUUACAUCAGAAACUGUGAACCAAGUUCCGUAUUUUAGUUGAUUGAAAAGGAAGUUUCAACUUGAUUAACUGCGCUCGUUGCGUCUUUCCUUAACUCUACCCUGAGCAACGCUUACAACGCUUACACUAGUCUUGAAUGUCAUGAACGACGACGAAGACGAAUAAGAGCAUUGGAUGCUUCAACGACGAUGCUCCAGCAGGAGUGUCUAAUGCGCACGAAGCCCUCAAUUUAUUUUUAUUUUUUUUUGGGUUUUUUUACACAAAGUAGAGUACAUUCGAUGCUUAAAUUUAAGAGCGUACAAAUACAAUGGAUUGGUUGUAACACCUUGGAUUUAUAGCAAACUUUGCAUUACAAGCACAAUUGUGCAUCAAAACUCACAAUAUGCUAAUUUGAAAUAUUAUGCUUUGACUUCAUUAUGAAUAAUUAAAGCAUUAAGUUGAGUGGAGUAGUUGCAUUUAAUAUAUAUAUAUGUAUAUAUUAAGAGAGAGAGAUUAAUUCUAACACCUAGCAUGCUUCUGACCAUCUACAAUUUGUUCCAUCUUUUUUAAAUGAUUUACAAUUAUUAAUCUCUUUAUUUAUUUUCUUACAUAUGACUCUUAUAUUGUUUGAUUAUAAUUAUAAAAUUAGUCAAAAUUAAUUUCUAAAUAUGGAUUCUAUUCUUUUUCUUCAAACAUAAAGGUAUUUAUAUGAAUUCAAAAAAAUUGUAAAUAAUUUUUUAAAGUAAAGACCAAAUUGUAUAAAACUAUUUGAUUAAAAAAAUAAAGUUUAUAAAAAAAAAAUACAGAGUUAGAGUAUUGACUUUUCUAUAAAUUCCAACAUCUUAGGCUCAAAGAUAAUUCGCAAAUAAUUGAUGUGGUCUACAAAUAAUAGAUUCCAAAAUUUAUUUGAAAUUAUUUUUUGAUUACAAGGCAUUCAAAAAAUACAAUAACUUAAUAUAUUAAGAUUAGUAUAUCUUCUCUAUACAUUUAGUACCACCUUUUAUACCAAAUAAACCAAAUUAAUACAACAUUAUUUUGUAUUCUAAAACAAAGUCAAAUAUAUUUCUAAUUAAAGUCGAAGUUAGGAUAUAUUUAUUAUUAUUAUUAUUAUUAUUAUUAUUAUUAUUAUUUUGGUUUUUUUCCCUUAAAUCUAAAAUAUGUACAUAAAAUGAAUUAACUUCUAUCUAAUUAUGUUAUAUCUAUCAAUAAGUCAUUUCUUAUGAUUCAAUUAUAAAUCUUGUAAUCAAAAGUUAGAUCCUAUAUAGAUCCACAAAACAAGAUAUGGUCCUUUCAUUUAUGGUUUUAUUGGUUUUUAAUACCAUUAAUAUAAUUUUUAUAAUACCUUCUAUGCAAUUUUUCUCACUACCAUUAUUUUUUUAAUUUUAAUUGCUUUAAGUUAAGAAUAUUCUUAAUUUUUAAUAAAGAGUUGUAGAAUAAAAGCUAACUAUGUAAAUCUUAGAUUUAUUUGACCACAAUAUAGUAAAGCACAUGUUUUUUUGAUUUUAAAUAAUUAAAAAAAUAAAUUAGAAAACAAAUUUUAGAAUAUAAUAUAUAAAUCUAUGCCAAACUUAAAGAAAAAAACUGAAAUAUACAUGAAGACAAUAAAAGAUUUUAGUGUUUGUUUGUUUGUUUUGUUUUGUUUUGUUUUGUUUUUUUCAUAGUUUAAUUACCUAUUAUAUUUAAGAUUAGGAUUUAAAAGUAAAAUUAAGUUAAUAUUCCAUUUUUAUAAGUCUUGAAAUUAUUUGUAUUAUAAAUUUAUAUAUAAUAAUAUUUUUAAUACUAGAAUUUUUAAAUUAUAAACCUAAAAAUCUAAUUGGAAUAUAUAGCCUCUAUGGCUUCUUUUAACUUACUAUUUUCUAAAUAUUUAUAUUUAUUAUAUUUUAGGUAUUAAAAUAUUCUAAAUUUAUACAUAUUAGAAAUAAAUUAUUUUUAGUAGAAAUAUUUUUAUUAAGACUUUAAUUUUUUAAAGUACUCACAAUAAUUUAAUUUGUAUUAUUACGAUAAGAUAAAUUAUUGAUGGUAAAUAAACAUUAUUGAAUAUAAAAAAUAUUUUAACUAUAUUUGAGUUCUUAAUAUAUUUCUUAUUAACUUUUUAAAAUAUAAUUUGAAAUUUUUAAACCUUUAAAUUUUUAUUCUAGUAAAAAAAUAAAAUAAUAAUAAUUUUUUAAUUUUUUAAUUCUUUUUUAUCAAAGUAGCAUAAAUCACAUGUUUAAGUUACAUUAGGCAAACUACAAAUUCACAUGAUAAAAAUCUUCCAAUAACAAAAAAUCCAAUAACUAUAUAUUUUUCUUUAGUAAUCCACUUCUACCUAAUCUAAUGUAUUGUAUACUUUCAUAGCUUAGAAUUUGGUUUUUAUCAUGAAAAUUCUAUAGUUGUACAUAUAUUAAAAAUUAAAUUAAAAUAAAAUAAAAUCUAUAAAAAAAUCUUGUGAGUUGCAAUUUUCCUACUUGUUUUUGCAUUUUUAAUGCUUUUCUAACUUUAUAAUCUUAUUUUACAAAAAAUCAUGAAUUAAUUGUGUUGAAUGUAAAAAAGUCAUUUUCCCUUCAAUUACUACUUCUUUACAUUUUUUUGACUAUUAAGAAUGUUCUAUAUUGGUUGCUAUGUCAUAUCCUAAAUUAAUUCCAACAAUUCAAAUUCUAUGCAUUAUCUUUACUAUUUUUUCUAUUAAAAUUUUCAGAACUAUCUUUAUAUUUAUAAAGUAUAUAAGAACAUUAUAACAUCUUAUAUAAAAACUCAAUUCUAAAACUUGAAAUUAAAUCUAUUGUAGAAUUGGUUAGAAAUACAUUCAAUAUAUAUUUUUAUUUUACGAAUUAUUAUUAUUUUCUAAUAUUAAAAAAAUAAAAUAAAGAGGAAUAAUUAUUCAAUAAUUACAAAUUUUAUAAUACAAUAUAUUAUUUUAUAUUUAAAUGAUUUAAAGUCAAAAAUUUAUUAAAUCAAUCAUUGUUUUUAAAGUAGAUAACAAUAUGAUAGUUAAUUAUAUUUCUUAUGGUUGUAUUAUAUAAAGUUUGACAUAAGAAAAUCAAAAGAAUUUAAAUUAAUAAUUAAUGAUAUUUUAGCAUGUACAUAUAUAGAUGUGCAAAUAUAUAUAUAUAUAUAUAUAUAUAUAUAUAUACAUGGCUCAAAUUACAAGCAAACCUUAAGUUAAUAUAUACACAUUCCAAAUUACAACACACCCAAAAAAAUAAAGACCUAUGAUUGCUUGUUUUGUAGAAAUUGAUAUCUACCACUACUACGCAAGUCUUGGUGUCAUCCCUUGUGGUCGUCUUACUAGCCGAUUAGCAAGUAGGAUGAAGGAGUAGCAUCCUUACCCAAGAUUGAUUUAACUUUGGCUUCUUAGUUCCAAAGCAAGUUCUUAACUUCUUCCUUGAUUUCCUAAUCUCCCAAGGUCUUACAUGUCAUUUUUUCUUGCUCUAGCUUUUCAUCUUUAUUCAUCUACACUAGCUCAUUGCAAAUGAAUGCAUUCAUUCUUGUAUUCUUUUAGAGCUUUGGUGAUUGUUGCUUGGACAUCAAUGCAAUUUUUCAUCUUCAAUCUUGUCCAAUCCCAUUUUUUAAUUUAAAUAGGUUUUUUGCAAGUUCAAAUUGAAUAAGGAAAUAAAUAAACUAUUGUCACUUAUAAUACUUAGUUACCAAUGUUUUAGCAAAGUUUCUUGUCUUCUUCUUUUUUCUUUUUUCUAUCCCAUGUCAAACUUUCAAUGUCUUUUCAAAUGACAUUGUUGCUUACAAUUCUAAUUGUGAACCAACAAUCCUUAGGGUUUGCUAUGAAUUCUCAAAACUCUUAUGGUUCCAAAUACAUGUAAGUCUUUUGUAUUAAGGCUUUGUAAUAUAUUCAAUAAUUCUGAAGACUCUAAUUUGCAAUAGAUAACAAAGGAAAGAAAUCAAUCAACCUCAUCAACUAAGACUCUCUUCUAGAAGAGCAUUAAGAUCAUUUUUUCCUUACGGCAAAUACAAUCUCUCUAUGGUCAAUAUCAAGGUACCAGCCUAAACAUAAGUAUACAAAUAUUUUUCAUUUAUUACAAAGGGGGUAUAAGAACUUGAUAGAAGACAAGUACAUUGCAUCCUCUUUCUUGUUUUAGAUGCUUUACAAUAAUAUCUCUAUGUUAUUCUCACAACAAUGAUAAAACAAUAAUAAACAAUGGGAUUGCACAAGUUUGUCAUAGUCAGAAAUGUAGUGGCUAAUAGGUGGAAUGACAACAUGGAUGUUGAGUGGACUCAUGCUUGAAAAAAAAUGAAAUGUGGGACUAAAAGUUGCAAUGGAACUAGAGAUACAAAGUUUAAAUCAAACCCAAGCAAAGGUGUUGUCUUUUUAUCCUGUCCAUUUAUUGGCUAGCAAGAUUGCUACAUGGGUUGACAACAAGACCCCAUCAAAAAUGGCAAGUGUCAAUUUCCAUAAAUCAACAACCAAUUUGAGUUUUAUUAUCAUUUAUUAUUAUUUAUUAUCAUUUAUUAUUAUUAUUUAUUAUUAUUUUAGAUGUAUGAAAUAAAUUUGAAAUCUGCUUAUAACUUGAACAUAUAUGUAUAUAUAUAUAUAUAUAUAUAUAUACUUCUUUGAGAAUAUAAAAAAUUUACAAAUUAAAGUCAUAUAUAUAUAUAUAUAUAUAUAUAUAUUGAAAGAAUAUACCAAGAGGUGAUUUAAUUAUUAAUAAAAUUUCUAUAAUAACCAACUCUUGAAAACAUAUAAAUUAGUGAAGUAUAUAUGCUUAUUUAAAAAAAUCUUAAAAUUUGAUAAAUCAUGAAUAAUAUCAAUAGAUAGAUAUUUUUGUCUUACUAUCUUUAUAUAAAAUUUUAUUUUUAAAUAUUUAUUAGAAAUAUAAGAUCAAAAUUGAUUUGAAAUACAAAAAUGUUGUAUUUUUUUUUCUAGGAGUUUCAAAAUAGCAAAAAGAAAAAAUUAAUCACCAAAUAAUACAUGAUAAUAAGAAAAUGAUAGUCUAAUAAAAUGCAACUUGUAAAAUUCUUAAAUGAACACAUUAUUUUUUUAAAAUGUGAUUGAGUAACAGAUUUUAUGUAAAACAUAAAAAGUGUUAUUUUGAAUAAAUGAUACUUUUAAAGAAUCAAAAGAAUUUUCUUUCUUUUAAAUUUUAAUUAACUAUAAAUGAUAUUAAAUUAAUUAAAAUCUACAUAUUACAUUAAUAACUAUAGAAAUCAUUUAUGUAAUUAAAUUAAAAGGUUUGAAAUACAUGUAAGUUAUAAAAAGUAUACAUCAUUUUAUUGUUGGUGAAAGAGAAGAAAAAAUGAAAAAUCAAAAAGAAAAAAAUUAAAUAAAACUAACAUUGAGCAACAAAGUAAGUAAUAAACAAAACUAUAAAAAUUAACAUUAUAUAUAUAUAUAUAUAUAUAUAUAUAUAAGUUUGUAAUUUUUAUAAGUUGAAUCUUUUUAUAAUUUUUAAAUGCAAUGUGAUUUUGAAAUAUUAAACUAAAAUAUCUAUAUGUCUUACUCACAAUAAAUUCUAUUAAAAAGUUCUAAUAAAAAAAGAUCUUGCACUCUGACCACAACCAAAAUUCUAUCUAGGAUUAGUAGCUAAGUUCUAAGAAUCUUGUACAAUAAACCAUACAGUAACUUUAGAUAUUUUCGAAUUAAGUUAAGAAUUGUUAAUUGGCAUGUUUUAGAGGAAUGUCAAUAUUAUACUAUGUAACAUUUUAAAAUUGAUUCAUGAUUUUUGGCAAAUUUUUAAUAUUAUGAAAUUAAUAAAAAGAAAAAAAAAAAUCUUUAGAUCCUCUGUGGAAUGUUCUAAGUUUUAUUUAAAGGAGUUUUAACUCCUCAUAUUAAUUGCAUAGGAUUUGUGUCUCCAUUUUAAAAUGUAGGUUAAAAUUUAUAUACCAUAUUACUAUUAGGCAGCACCCCUCGUAUUUAGAAUCAAAGUAUAAUAGAACGUUAGCUAACAAUUAGUUACUAUUUAAACACAUUAUUGUUUUGUAAAUCUCAACAUUCUAAAAAGAAAAUCAAAUUUCCAAUAUUGAUAUUGUAAUUGUUGUGAUUUUUUUAAUAAAGUUCAAUUUCUUUAUCAUAUAUAUAUUUUUAAUUACAGGAAUCAAUUAAUAUCUUAAGAAUACUAUUCUAAAACUCAUCUUACUAAUAGAGUAAGGAUAUAUUUACAAAAUUAAAAUAUUUUAGCUAUUAAUUCUUGAAAAUAAUAAACUAGUUUUAAAUAAAGUGGUUUUUAUAUUUCUAAUAAACAUAAUAUUAAUUUUUAUGUAUAAAUUAGCUAGAAAAAAAUUCUAUAUAUAUAUAUAUAUAUAUAUAUAUAUAUAUAUAUUAUCUUUAAAAUAUAUUAUAUUAUAUUAAUCAAAUAUAUUUGCAAAAGAAGGUUGAAUACAAUAUUUUUUUAGAUUAAGUAUUUAUAUGUACAAUAUAUUAAAUGCAUCCUAUAAGGGUAUAUUAUUUAAUAAUAUAUUAUAAAAAUAUAAAUCAUAAAGAUUAUAAAUAUUUUUUGGUUACUAAAUUAAAUUUUUAAAGUUUUAAAUUACUUAAUUUUGGUUGAAUUCUAAAAUUUAAAUUUAAAAUCACUUUUAAUUAUAUAAGUCUCAAAAGUUAAUAGUUUUUUAUGUAAGAAAUAAGUUGUAUUGUAUACUUGUACUAAAUAGCUCAAGUUGAUAUUGUAAAAAUACCAAUAUAUUAAUAUAUUCAUAAUAAAACAUUUUGAUAUAUAAAAACUAAAAUGAAAUCAUUACAAAAUACCCUAAAACAAGACUAGCGAAAGACUAUCUAUUAAUUUUAAAAGAACUUAAGAACAUUUUGUACAUUAUAUGAGAAAAUAAUAUACAUUAAUCUAUAUACAUCUUAAUAAAUUUUUACAUACAUAGAUGCAUAUAUGAACAUGUAUUAGAAAAAAUACAAUCAUCACAAAAAAAAUGUAUUAAACAUAAACAAAUGAAACAAUUUUUGUGUGGCUUUGAGGAAGUUUUGACCUCGAGUCACGCCGCAUUCAAUGAGAACGAACGUCGUCCAUCGGAAGUCGUCUAUAAGAAGAAAUCCAUUCAUUCAUAUAAAUCAUCCAUCCAACAAUGAAUUGGAGCCUUAAUACCUUGGUCUCGCUUUCCCCAGCGAGGCAGUCAGUCAGUGCUCGGGGAUCGUGAGUGUGUCUGCCAUUGCUCGCAACCGCGACUUCGAUUUCCGCCCGAGAAGUUCUCAAAUCACACUCUGCUCGCCUUCUACUCCAAUUGGACCUUCUUCUCUCUCAAUUCCGUUAGGUUUUGACCCAUUUCGGAACCAAAUUGGAUCACUGGGCCUGGUAAUAGUGGUGGGUCUGAGCUAUGGGGGAAGAGUCGCCGCAGUACACGCUUCGAUGCCAACUCUUUGGACACGAGGAAGAUGUAAGCCUUCUUUUCUUUUCUUUCUAUUUCGUGCAUCGAUCUGUAGCGCCUGGGUCCUGUCGAUUGACUACAGUUUGUUUCGAUGCCGAAGAAAUUGUGUUUUCGAUGUCCGUUGGUGUUGUUCCUUCGUUUUAACCUUCAUGAAUCCAGGGUUUGCGUGUACUUUCAUUAUUAACAGGGAUUUUGAAGCGGAGAAUUAGGGUUAGGUUUUAUUGUUUGGGAAUUGUUUGAUCGUAUUGGUACGAAUUGAAUGGAUAUAUUGAAUAGCUUAUUUUAAAGUGAUAUUGGUUGAACUUUGGUUUAGAAGAUUGGCCUCAAUAUUUUACUGCUUCGAGAAAGAGCAAUUAUUACGCGCUGAUUAAGAGUUCCUACCGGCGCAGAGUGCGUUGCCGCUUACAUUUUGAAGAAAAGUAGGAUUCGUGUUGAGUCAGGGGACUUCGUAAAUCAAGUGUCGUAACGUGUUUUUCAUUGAAAUUGGGUCAAAUAGAAUGGGUUUUAUCAUUUAGGCGGGGGCGUCUCAAGUAAUAACAAAGCCGAUUCAGCUGACGAUGACAGUAAUUUGUUAGGAUAUGAAAUAUAUUCGAACCUAUCGUACAAGAACACUACCAUGGAGAUUUGCUGAUUGCACAGUCUCAUGGUUUCUUUUUUGGACUCUCUAUGGGCUUCUGAAGUCCUAACAUCUAAAUUCGAAAUUGCUGUGAAGCUCACACUUUUUAUUGCUCUUUGUCACCAGGUACGAGGUCUGAGCGUGUCCCACGAUGGAGUGAUUGCAACAGGCUCUCGAGAUAAAUCUGUUCGAGUUUGGAAUUCUAAUCAAGGCGAGAGGGAGUAUAUCUUGGACAAGACGCUAGUUGGGCAUACAAACUUCGUGGGUACUGUAGCCUGGAUUCCACCUAAUGAAUUUCUACCCGGUGGGGGGCUGGUGUCUGGAGGAAUGGACACUCGUGUUUUAGUCUGGGACCUUCAGCAAGCUUCUAUCGCGAAGGAUAUGAAAGGACAUAAACUACAAGUUAGCAAUGUAGCUGUUGAUCCCAAUGGUGAUAUCUUGUCUGCAUCUGUUGACAGGUAUCGUAAUUCUCAAUGGCUGUUUUUGUCACAAUUUGCGUUUUAAGCUUUAUCACCAGAACCAUUUUCUAUUGCUCGUCACUUUUUGUUGUGCGUUUAUUCCUCCAAGAUCUUGCAGCCUAUCCCGAUGUUUUCUUUGCAUCGACUUGAAGUAGCAUGCGUAGCGUUUGUCCAUGGAUCUUCUAUUGCAUAUAUGAUGUUUCGUAUUUUCUCAACUCACUUACGUACAUUAUUUGGAACUUGACAUGAUUGCAGCACAGUACGUAGGUGGCGAGAUGGGCAGGUAGUCGAGGUUUUGCAAGGCCAUGAUGGGCCUGUUCAAGCGGUGCUUCCAUUAUCCAACGGUGAAGUUGUGACUGGAUCGAGUGAUACAACCAUGAAGUUAUGGCGAGGUUCAACUUGUAUCAGCACAAUCCGUGGCCAUACAGGUUGGGCUCUACUUGUAAUUCAGGUUUUUACAGUGUAAUAUGGGAACCAAAGAAGGGAACGGUACCAUGCUUUGGAUCUUUAGAGUACCCCCUUCUCAAAAGCUUAGUGGUCAUCACUUGACGCUAAUUUAGAGACUGUGAUGUCGAAAAGUAAAACUGGCUUGACCAAUUGCUUGGGUACUCGAAGUAAGGGAGUGGGUUUUUUGAGUUCGUUGGACGGGAAGGUGUAAAAUUGGGUCUAAUAUUUAGCAACAGUUGUUCGCUAGAUUAAUGAGUAAUAUGAAAGACCUGAGAUUUUGCUAUUUUGAGCUUGGAUGUUCUGCUGCAGAUACUGUGCGCGGCCUUGCAAUGAUGCCCAAUGUAGGAAUACUCUCUGCUUCUCAUGAUGGGUGAGCCUUAUCUCAUGACGUUUUUCCAAUUGCUGAUGGCCUUGUUUUGGGGGAACGUUACAGUUAUACAGUAAUUUAGUGUUGGCUGAAUACUAGAAUCAGGUCAAUAUUAUACUUAGAAAUCAAUCAAUUUUUGUAAAAUUUGAACACAGGUUAAAGCAAAUUUAAAUUGGCAGCUGACAAUUGUGUGUCCAUUGUUUCAGGUCAUUGAGGUUAUGGGCAUUGAGUGGAGAGCAGCUGUUGGAGUUUGUGGGGCACACUGCCAUUGUCUAUUCUGUAGCUGCACACUCUUCAGGCGAUAUUGCGUCUGGUAGUGAAGAUGGUUUUGCCAAAAUUUGGAGAGGUGCCAACGUCUUCAUUAUAUAUUUGACUUUGCGUCAAGUUGUAGGAACUAUCUAAUCUUGAAUGAAAAUGAAUCUUGUCAUUUCUUUUUUUAUGUUUCGUUUCUUCGACUCAAUCACAAUGCCUACUUGCUGUUUUAUCAACUCGGUAAUUAGUUGAUGGUAUGACGUUAGGUUCUUUGUUGAUAAAUCAAAUAAAAUAACAUUCUUACAUACUUUAGUCGAUUUUGUUUGCAGGAGGCGUUUGCGUCCAGAGCAUAGAGCACCCAGGCUGUGUUUGGGAUGUGGCCUUCCUGCCGAAUGGGGAUUUAGUGACGGCAUGCUCAGAUGGUGUGGCCCGUGUGUGGACUCGCGAGAGAAAGUUCUUUGCCCCAACUGAAGAGAUGGAAGCAUACCUUUCUCUCAUAUCAACUCGCAAAUCCGCAGCGUUGGUUCCUUCUCAUCACCCACUGUCUUGCUUAUUAUUUACAUGUUUUGAUGCAUUUGUUUUCAUACUUGCAAUCGCUUAGUACUUGUGUUUUUGAGUUCAUAAUUUGUCAAGCUUGAUGCAGCUGGUGUUCCAUUUCCGUAGAUCUCUUCGUUAAAAUCUUGUGGAAUUAAAUUUUCUCUUUUCAUUUUGUUGGUAUAUUGAAUGUGAGUGUGAAUUGCAUGUUUUUACUGUGGGGGACUAGUAAAAAACUUUACUUUUAAUCUCAAACUUUUAUUUAAUGUUUCAGAAAGACAGUGGGUGGCGUGAAGGUCGAUGACUUGCCUGGCAUCGAAGCCCUGCAGGAACCUGGUAGGUGAUUACUAUCUUAUAAUUUUCUUCUGUAGAUUUUGUCUUCAACGUGAAGAGUUGUCAUAAAGUUGGAAGGUAAAAGGUACCUACCGUGAUGUACUUUUUUAUGCCUUAUAGAUGUUUUUGUUGAAUUACGUAACUUGCAUGUAGUUUUAGAGUUACUGUGUCAUUAUAAGUACCCGAUACAACCUUUAUUGUUCUAACGUUGUGCUCUACUUUCUUUCCUUUGACUAAAUAUCAUUUUUAGCGAACCGACACUUUCUUAAGCUACAUUGAUGUUUUGGUGAAUGACAGGAACCAAAAAUGGUCAAACGCGGAUUGUAAGGGAGGGUUCUAGUGGCGUUGCUUACUCCUGGAAUCUGAACGAGUACAAAUGGGAAAAGGUGCUUUAUUGGAAUGUGUAACUCAUUUUGUUUGUGAGACAUGCAGUCGAAUUGUGAAAUUAAGUUGCUUAAGUUCUGCUCAAGUUUCAUGAACCGUUACACCACGUAGGAACCGACAAAAUUGAAUUGAAGGCUUUAGAAUCAUAUUUAGAGUCUUUUGAUUAUGUAUAGCAGGUUAGAGUCUGAUUCUUACCUAUGCAAUACUUGUGGCAGAUUGGAGAAGUGGUAGAUGGGCCAGGAAACAGUGCUGAUACUAAGACCCUUCACGGUGUUACUUACGAUUAUGGUACCUUGCUAAACUUGGUCCGCUUACUAUGUUUUUUUCUUUCUCUGAUGGAUUUACUGUCUAAAACUUACAUGCACAUGGACUGAUGAGUUGUGGUUGUUACAGUCUUUGAUGUAGACAUUGGAGACGGCUUGCCAACGCGAAAGUUACCUUACAAUGUCGGGGGUAAGUUUGUCGCAGGUGACGGCUAGAUUGCAGUGGAUGGCUAUUUGCUUACAUCUUAGUUGCAUAUUAAUUAUUAAUAUUUUUAUUUCAGAUUUGGUUCUGUCGAUAUGAAUUAAUUCUAUAUUCUUGGAUUCGAUGCUCUUACUGAGGCCAUCCUGUAUGUCUGCUGAUGGAAAUGUCUUGUAGACAAUCCCUACGAUGUUGCGGAUAAGUGGUUGGAUGAAGAAGGGCUGUCACCUGGCUACAGGCAGCAAGUUGUUGACUUCAUUCUCCAGAAUACAGGCGGUGCUGCUGCCUCAUCAAACUUUGACCCUAAUUUUGUCGACCCAUAUACCGGAGGUAAGUUUUGUACAGACAGGAAUAUUUAAGUCUGACUUGGUCCAUAGCGUUUCUGAAGAAAUCAAACGUAUGUGGUGGAUUUUUAGCAGAGGUUUUAUAGUUCUAAAGCAUUUUACUUACUUUGAACACGAUUUGCUCACAAGUGGCAAUAUAAAUCUCGUUUGUGCGUAGGCUUGUACUGCGCAGUCUAAAUUACAUUGCAUUCCUUAAAGUUGGAGGAACAAUUUGAGUUAUACUAUCUGGGGUCUUAUCUGAUCUUUCAAAUUAGACCAUGGUAACCAUUUGCAAGUAGUGAUGCUACAGCUGAUUUAAUGUGGUCGUUGAAUAUACAGCCAAUGCGUAUGUACCUGGACAGCAAACCCGUCAACCCCAAGCUUCCAGUAAGCUGCCUCAACACGAUAAAUUACAAGCUUUGUGAUGAUUUGGCCAGAUUUAUUUCAGUUGUCUAUUGGAUGUCGGCUAGGAUUUUUGUGAGGCACUUCUACUCGUAGUGAUCCCGAUAGUUCCUCAGAAUUUAGAAGGGGGCUCUCAUUUGCUGUGGCUGACAGGACCUGCGCCUGUUUCCUCUACACGCAGCACACCAACUUACAAGCAUAUUCCGAUGGUUCGCAUCUUCAUUCUUAUCUGCAAUUCCCUUUGGUUAGAGCAUUUCCUGGUUUGGGUGUCAAUGUUAAGCUCUUUCUAUGAAGUAACAAGUGGAAUGUUUUGCGGUAUAUAGGAACUUUUUUCCUGUCAGUGAACAGUGUAGGUAAUUUUACUACUCGAUUGCGUAUAAUGACAACCUCAAUUGUUACAACUUCCAGAAGGGAAUGCUGUUCUUCGACACUGCUGCAUUCGAAGGCAUCAUCAAGAAGUUAACUGAGUUCAAUUCCACAUUGGCAGCACAUGAGGUACUUUCUGAUGAGUCGUAGUUUAUGUUUAAGUUAAAGCCAGUGUGUACCGCGUAUGACAUGCCAAAUCGUACUCUAUAUAUUUUCUGCAAGAAUAUAUUUUUCCGAGUUGUUACAAUUAUUCAAGAUGUAGGUCUCUAUCGUGUGCUACUCGUGGUUAUAUGGCUGCAUGUAAUGCGUCUUGAUAAAGUCACUGCAUUCUUUUUGUACAUCUUGAUAAUUGUGUGCAGGCGCAUAGAGAGUUAGCUCUAAAUCAAGCAGAUUCAAUGAGGAUACAGGCUAUGAUUGCUACUCUUAAAGAAACGUCUCUUUAUCAUGCCUCCUCCUUUGCUGAUGUUGACUUUAAACUACUUACAAGGAUGGUAUUACAAUGGCCUAUAGAAAACAUUUUUCCAGGUAUACGAAUUCUAGCUGUUUUCACCUCAUUGUGACUUGUCUGUAAUCUAUGAGAGUGCUUUUUUAGCAUGCAAAAGAUCCUUAUCCACCUCGGUCAGAAUUUGGUUCCCGAGUUCGUUGUAAGCGAGCUCAUCAAAGCGCCAUGUUUUCGAAGGUGGUUAAUAACUGUGUUUUGGUUAUUGCUUGGAAUUUACGAUUACUUGCAGUUUUGGAUCUGAUGCGAAUGAUGCUUCUGCAUCCACAAUGUGCUAUUUUCUUUGCCAAUGCGACGACUGCUGGAAAUGGUAUUUGUUUAUUUAUUUAUUUUUAUUCUUAAUGCUGUCACUGAAGUUUUUUCUAGAAUUGUUGAUUUGCAUGACCUUGAGAACUGAAAGAUACUGUAGAAAUGCUGUGGCAUGGCUUAUGAGAUUAGCUCCACUUUUUGAAUGUAUGUUUCGGGAUUUACAUAAAAAAUUGAGCUACUCAUUGAAUUUGAACACAACAAAUUCGACAGAUAAUGCUGACAAUAAAGAGUUCAACAGAUGUUUUAUUGGAGGCUCUACGACGGGCCACUGGCGAGCCAGUGUUAGUGCCAAAUUUACUCACAAGCGCUCGUGUGGCCGUCAAUGCAUUCAAGCAUUCUGUUCUGAGAAAUUGGGUCGUCAAGAAUAGGAGUGAGGUACCAUAUCUCAAUGUCACAUUGUGAAGUGUUUUUCCAAUUUCUUAAGUAAUUUUCGAUGAUUAUUGUGGGUGUUAAGAACUAUCUUUCUAUCCCUGGGCUCAUAUAGAUUUCCUAGGUUCUCUCAGUUCCAGGUAUGUGUUGGAUGUGAACCUUGCAUUUCUCUCGCUGGAACUAACACAGUUUACUCGAUCGUGGUGUAACUGUUCAGAUUUUAGAUCUUUUUUCUGGAUGUUGCGCAUCUAUGAACAAGAAUGUUCGCCUGGCUUAUGCCACCUUGGUUAUCAAGUACGUUACCGGUGAAGCGCUGUUAUCGUGUUUUGAAAUAAACUACUGCUGUAUCAAAUUUAGACCUGAUUAUAUCACACAUGGAUCAGUAUGCGUGUUAUCACCACCUGGAAAUAACUGAUUUAAAAUUAACUUAAUCUGUUUGAUUUUUCCUAUGAGCUGUUUGUUUCCCAUUUGCUUUGGUGAAAUAAUCUGAUCUGGAAUAUGACUCGCAGUUACUCCGCGUUGUUGUUGGAAACAAAUGAUGAGGAAGGACAGAUUCAAGUUCUGUCCGCUGCUGUAGAGGUAGUUAUUGCUUUCUUAAACAGAACCCAACAUGUCUUCGGUCUUUUUUCUGUUUUAGUUUGUUUGUUAGUUUUACUCGCUUUCUAUAUUGAAUAACAUCUGCUUGGAACUCCUCGUAUUUUGGCACGACUUUUGCACGUGACCUUGAACCUUAUCCACCGUAUGUUUUGGUCCAUUUUAACGUAAACAAGUUGCUUAAGAACCAAGAUUUAUUUCAUGGCGGGACUAAUGCUGGGUAUGACGGGAAUGCGCUGCAUGCUUUUAUUAUAUGUAAAAACUUUGCCCAUUACUACAUGUGCAGAUGGCAGAUUCUCAGGAAGCAGAUGUUGAAGUGAGAUUUAGGGCCCUCGUUGCUCUAGGAACUCUGGUAUUUUUUCAUUACCAUCCUUGUUUUUAUCAAAGUAGUUUUUCAAGAACACAAGUCAUGCUAAACUCAGUUGAAGGUGGUCAGAUAUAACGAUUGUCGAGCUUUUUUCGUCUCUUGCUGUUUCACAUGAAACAUCUGCUUUGGAAUUGUUCAAGACAAAUUUAGUUGCAUAACUUUGUAUUUUGUCUUACAUAGUUAUUGCCCUAAUUUAUCAAUUUGGAUGUUGCAGAUUCAUAGCAGUGGUGUAAAGAGUGUAGCUGUGGAUUUAGAUGCGAAGAGUUUAGCUGCAGCUGCGUGCAAAUCAUCUGUGCCUAAAAUUGCUGAAGUUGGCAGAGAUAUUGACAAUUUGCUGAAGUAGUAUGUGCAUCUUUUGUUUAUUUGUGUUACUAUUUUGUUCAAAUCUUUGACACUUAUUUCAGUGCGGUUGCACGAAGGCGGACAUCACCUUUUACAUGUGCCCUGGGACCCAAGGUUAUGCUCGAUGUGCUCCAAGAUUGAGUUCUCAUUUCGUGUAUCGGACCUUCAUAAGUUUCUGAAGAAUUCUGAAUUCAGGAAACGGUAGAUAGUUCCACUUUCUUGUAUAUUUAAGUUUUUGGAAUUGGAAACAUCCUACCAUAUUGGGAGAUAGAGAAUGUGACAGUCAAGUUUUCAGAAGAAUAUUGUAUCUAGAUGUCCUUACUCAGAUUAACCAAUUCGUACAAAUGGAUAGCAUGGGGUGUAACAGACAUUGCCUUCCAGAUUGAUUUAUGUGUUGACCUCUUGACUAUGUAGGUUGGGUUUUUUCAUAACUUUCCUGUUCUGAAAUCUUUGUUACUGUUUCAAUAUUGUCGAGAGUUCUUGUCAUAAUUGUGUGAAGUACAUGUACCACUUCGCAGGUUGAGAAGACUUGGUAUUGAAUCAUCUAAAAGUGUGUAAAAGCCAGUAGAUGUAAUCGAAUUCUGUUGUAGCUCCGCUGUUCUAGAUUCGAUCAACAUUAGCAUGGCUAAAUCUCGAGCUUCAUAUAUAGUACUAUUUGGUCUUGGGAUAACAUACGAGCAUUCAUAAUAUUAUGUAAAAAUACUAUUAUUAUUGUCCUUUUGUCGUUGUAGUUAAAAUUACAGUUGAGGUUUCAGGGAACUGUUUUUGUUUUUAAAUUAAGACCAUAACUUGUGGGUAGAGAGUGAUUCAGUACAUGUGGCUAUUGGACAUCUCCAACAUGAACUCAUCUGGGCUUGAAUACUACACAAUUGGAACCAUAAUCCAAAGUAUAUUAAAAUCAUUUUCGUAUGUUUCCCAAAAUUACUACCCUCUUCCUGUGUCACAAGUUUGAAAUCAUCACUAUAAAAUAAAUGACGGACGCUAGUGUUGAGAAAAUCAUUAAUCUCUUGGUCCCACAAUGAAGACACAAUAGAUAGGUUCCAGUAGGGGUAUUCAACAUUUUAACUUACUGCUGCGAAAACGGACCUGAAUUCUGCUUGCAGGGAUCAUAAUAUUCGUAAAAAUGUGGAGGAACACUGUAGUUUGUACCAAAUUCUGAAGCUAAAUGUCCGCCGUAGCUUCGUGUAGGAUGCUUUCUUCAUAGAAGCAUAGAGAAGUGGGACUGGUGAUAGGCUGUACCACUGAACAAAUUCUUAAUGGCUGUUGAUGAAUGCGGCGACAUCAAGGAACAUUUUGGGUCCCACCUUAGCCUGAUUCAGGAGAGCGAAUGUAUGUAUCCCUUCCUCAUAGAAAAUCGUUUGCACCUGCUUUCCAGCUUUCUGCAAACCCUCCGCAAAUCGCAUCUGCCGUAAACAGUCAAUGAACAAUCAGGACAUAAAACAAAAACAAAACAAGAAGCUAUGCUCGUGGCUCCUAGAAGCAGAGGAAAUAAAGGAUAAAAGUUCAUAUGACUUCUAAAAUUUCAGGGAUCAAUUCUGCAGUUUCUCAACCUUACUAGACAUUGAAGAAUAAUUACCCACAAUGGCUAGAUUAAGAAAGGGUCGGUUAGUUGUAGCAUGUACUCAUAACAAUCAUAGAGCUUCUACCAUUCCUCAACUCGUCGCAAGUGAAGUUACAGGCAGAACUGAUCUGGAGGCAGAGUUGGGUGGAGAAAAACAGUAAACUGAAAUUGCUAACCUCCCAAUCUUGUAAGAUAUCCAAACCGCCGACAAUGUUAAGAAAUGGGGGCAAGGAAACAUCAGACAAGUCCGAGGAGUUGGGCCCGAAAAUGUUGCAGGCUGGGUGGUCUCGAUUGGAGCCUUUAGGCAAGUAAGACUUCCAGUACCAAUCCAAGCUCUCCACAGAAACCAACGGAACGUUCUUGAGGCGAAGCUCAGCUGGUGUCCUCUCCUCCCCACCAAAGAAGCCCUGAAUUAUCACCACACCCUUAAGACUCACGCGACCCAAGUCCUUUCUGGCUGAUUGCAGAGCCAUGUGAUAGGCUAUGUUAGCGCCAGCACUGUCUCCACACAGAAAUACCCGGGAGAAAUCCACGUUUAGAGGAAGAGAUGCGGUUGCUUUCUCCGAUUGAAGCCACUCGAGGCCUUUGAACGAGUCAUCGUAUGCCGUGGGGAACUUAAAUUCGGGUGCUCGCCUGCACAAGACGUUCAAUCACUUCCGUCAUUUAUUGACUUGAAGCCAAAAAACAGAAUUACAGUUCUCGAUAUUCACCAACUUAUCCACUUCAAAUAUCAUUUCCUGUGAAGUGAUUAGAUUUACUGAAUUUUCUGUGAGGAAAUCAGUAUGAAGAGGCAGAGAAAAACACAUCAGAAGAUCCGAACGCUGACCUGUAAUGUAGUGAAAUCACAACUGAUUUACAGCAUUUAGCUAAGCGCCGACAAAAUACAUCGUACAAAUAGAAAUCGGGACACAAAAUAGUAAACCCGCCUCCGUGGUAGUAAUAAACGAUUGGCAUGGUCUUGUUGGACUCUAUCUGGGUGUCGUUGGACGCCGAUUUCGAAGGGGUCUCCACCGUCUCCUCAGUUGGGAUAAAUAGUCGAACCCAAACUCCAGCUUCGGGGUCAAUUGUAACAUCAACAGUGUGCACUCCUUUGAUUGGUUUCGGAUUAGCAGGAACCUUCCUCUCACAUACAUCCGCAAGCCAGCGGUUGAUGGUGCCAUCCUUUCGCCGAGCCAGGUCAUUGGCUUUUACAACAACCUUGCACAGUAGACGCAAUUGCAUCAUGGAAGCCAUCUGCAAGUCAUACAGCAUCCCCAAGGUUAAAAAUUCAAAAUUUCAAACUGCUGCAGAAAAACAGAAUUGCGAACACGGCCAUGACCUCCAACUCUUCAUCAAUGCCAUGCUUCAUCAAAACCACAUGGGGAUAAGAAAGUGAUUUAAGUUUUUGAUAGAGGAUGAAAGGUGAUCUGAAGGGCUGAAGAAUCCCAAAGCACAAUGUGUACAAACGGAGUCCACAACUUCUCGACGGUAAGGAGUACAAACUCACGAAACCAAGAUGCUGGAAAGCAAAAAUGAUGCUGCGACGCCUAAAGAGUUAAAGCAAUACAAGCAAUCAGCCUAUAAGGUUCCACACGCUCUACUCACUCCACUUCGAAAUGGUCGCCUCAUGCAGAAAACAACUCACACUCUGUGUGCAACGCCAGCGAGUUGCACGACUCGAUCAUGAAACAAGAGCAGAUUAUCCAAGUCCUCAUUCACAUACACAAAACUGCAGUAGGAGCCAAAACCCACUCCGAAGAAUAUCAUACAAUCCUACGAGAUGGACUCUCAUGUGCACAGUAACUCACGCACCACCGCGGUACGAGACACCAAUCGCGAAAUUGUACCGACUAACCCCCGCGCACUCUCUGUCGUCGAAUUGUUCGGUCAUCACGCAAACUUCCUCUGCACUUCCUCUCAAUUAUAAUGAAUCAUGCACCGCGACCCGCCGCAGGUGUGAAUCCAGACCACCUACCAGUGACAAUGCCUCAGGCCGGGCAUUAAUGAGCUUCGAGAGGAAGAAUGUGCACCUCCGCUGUAAACAUCAGUGGGGCCUCGCGGUACUCGAUACUAUUUACUUAUUUCUCCCAUAAUAUAUAUUAUUAUUUGGUGGUUCAAAAGAUACAUGUUAAGAUAGAGCUAGGACAAAUUUACAAUUUGGUAUUUAUUAAAGUACUUGAAGAUGGUUUUGUGAAACUUUUUGAAGGUUUACACAUUUUUCUGAGAAUUUAUUUUUGAAAAGAUCAAACUAAAGGUGAUUAACUUAUUAUUAUAUUGUCCAAAAAGAACAAUUGUAAGCUAGUUUUUUCCUGUAAUAUCCUUUUUUUCAAUAUGUUGUUUUUAGCACAGAUACUAAUGUGAUAUAUUUAUGAUAAUAAAAUUUGAUUUUUAAAAUAUUCUAACUGAUUUGUGGUUCAAUACAUAAAUAAUAUAUGUAUACAAAAACUAAAACUGGAAAUUAACAUUAUUGGAAUAAAUACUAUGGGAGAAAUAAGUAAAACAAAAUAUAAUGAUGAGAAGAAAAACAUGUAAAUAUAAUUUUCAUCAAUUUUACAAUAAAUACAUUUAUUUAUUGUAUCCAAAAAUAAUAACAAUAUCUAUUUUUCAGUUAAAGUAGAUAUUUUUAGUUAGAAUAGCUCAAUAAAAUAACCUGCACAAGGUUGGAAACAGUUUUUAAUAGUAUGUAUUUUAAAAUAGAUUGGUAAUAAAAGUUCCAGCAUACAUAGUGGCUCUAUCAAUAUUUUUUGGCAUUGGCAAAUGAGCUCAUAUAAAAUUUUGAUACUCCAAAGAUUUUGUUCUGUUUUGAGGUGUUUUGUAACAACUUAUUUCAGAGUCGUUUAUGCCAUUUAUACUUAAUAAUAUGAUUUAUAAUACAUAUUAUCAUAUAUGAAUUGCUACUGAAACCAAUCCCACAAUCAUAAUCAGGUGUUAUUGUCCAUUCUUUCUUAUUUUAGUUUUCUACAUUUACUUCAAAUAAUUAAUUAAUAACUUUUGAUGUUCACUAAUUGGCACGGUUUAACAUACUCUAUGAAUUGUGUAGUUGUCAAUACAUAAUAGCUACAUUCAAUAUGGGUUUAGAAUGUAUUUUUCAUUACGCUUGCUGGUAUUUAUAAUCAUCUGCUGCUUCAAUUUAAAACACUCUAAUUUUCAGAUAUGCUGCUGUUGUUGUUGUUGUUGUUGUUUUUCUUUUCUGAUGAUUCAUUUUUUGGUACAGAUUUAAAAACCCAAAGUGCAUUCAAAAUAUAUCAAUAUUUUAUGACAUAAUUUUAUCUCAUGGCGUGUUAUAUAAAACCUGAUGGUUGCUCAAUCAUGCAUAAAAACUUUAAAAAUUGAAAUUCUUGAAAUUUAAUAUAUAUUUUUGUAAAUAUUAUUUGGAUUUUUUUUUAUUCUUCUAGUCUAGAUAUAUAGGAUACGUUUUUGAGAAUGAUAUAUAUAUAUAUAUAUAUAUAUAUAUAUAUUUACAUAUCUUCAAAUAACUAAACAAAAUGAAACAUAACAAAAAAUAAAAUAAAAACUAGUGGCAAUUUUAAUAUAUACAUACAUAUUUAUUUUUUUGUGAAGAUUAGAAAAAAAUUACAAAAAGCAAUGUGAAUCAUAGACGAUUCUGUGAAAGAAAAGUCUUGCUAUGUUUGAAGUAUUAUUUAGAAAAAAAAAAAAAAAAAAGAAAAAAAAGAAGAAGAGAUCUGUUAAAGAAAACGUUCUAGAUGUUUAAACCUACUUUUUCCCUCUAUUUUCAUGCAAUAAUUUUUAAAUUAUAAUAAUGAUAAUAAAGAUUAAAAAAUAGUUUAUUAAACAAUGACGUGGAUGUUAACCAUACUAUUGUUGACCUCAUUUGUUCUUAUUCUUAUAAUUAUUCUAAGGAAGUUAAAAAUCAUGAGUUUGGAAGAAAUCUACUGGUGUUCUACUAGACCACUAAUAUCAUUUAAUUAAAAAUACUAUUUCUUCUAGUUUUUCUGUCAAAAUUAUAGUGAGGGGCAUCUCAUGAAGAAAAUAAGUUGGAGAAAGGUUUAUGUAUAAUACAUGGAGUCUAAUUUCUUUUAAUGGAUUAGACUCAAUUGACGUCCCUUUUUGACACUCUAUAGUUUCUUAAAGUUGACAAUCCAAAAGUGGUCAACAUUGGUUGUUAGACUAUUAAAACAAAGCAAAGAAAAAUCUUUGAAGAAUUCAAUCAAAAAAUAAAAUAAAAUCCCUUAAGGAGAUUAUUAAAUAAUCAAACUUUAUAAAAAAAAGAUAAAAGUAAAAAAUCAAUGAGAAGUUAAUACUCUAAUCCUCAUUCUAUUCUCUUCUCUUUCCCCUUCUUCAAGUGCUUGUAUACAAUCCUCAAACACUAAUCCCUAAUAAUAUUACCCCAAUUAAGCUACCUUUACAAUCAACAUCUUCCACAUAUGCCCCCUUUUUUUUGUCACACCCAAAACCUCAAAAAAAUGAAUUCUUUUCACCCAUUUCCAUGGUCUAUAAACCACUUACUUAUGACUCCCACAAUAAACUCUUCAAAAAAAUUAAAAAAGAAAAGAAAAGCAAAGAAAAGAAAGAUUUUGUAAAGAAUCAUGUUCAUUGUUAUUGUAGAAAAAAGAAGACAUGGAAGGUGGAAUAAUAUCUCACACAUGUGAAGCUGAUAUUGUUUGUAAGCAUCCCCAAACAAUUAUUUAAUUAUUCAUUUAUUUAUUUAUUCCUCUGACAGUCCUUUCACAACAAUCAACAUAAAAUAAAGUGUUCAUAACUCCAAUUUCUGUGUGGAAUUCAUCCUCUCUCUGAACCAAAAACAUUCAUCCACAACGCAUCGAUAUCAUCCACGGAACUCAUCCAUCCAAAACACAUCCACAUGACAUUAUUUCAUCUGUAGAUACAUCCAUCCAUUCGCCCUGUCGGACUUCGCAGAGGGUGGGCGUCGUUUUCGAUGGGCAAUUCCCGGACCAAACGCGAGAAUGCGAGGAUCGCGGUUACUCGCAUCGUCGCAGUGAGCAGCAGCAGGCAUUAGUGAGGAGGAAUUGGGAUUUUUUUUUUUCUUUUUUAUUUUGGUUCAAAUACGGCGACUAAAGCCCCGCAGCCACCUCAGAAGCCCAUGCGAAUGCCGCUGCCUAACCAGUUUUCCUCCACGUGACCUUCGAAGCCGCAAAGGGCCAGCAAGCCAGCCAGCCAGCCAUCACACUCCCUUCGCCUUCCCCGUCUCCUUGAUCCGAUUCUUCCCCCUCUCGUCUCCAUCCCCAUUCAUUCUCCAUUCUUCUUGUGUCGGAAUUUCACGGACUAAGCAUCGCUUGGGGUCGAUCACUUGUUGGAUCUCCCUCAAUCGGGCCGCUAGUCACAGCGUUGCUUUUUGCAAAUCGUAGACGCAAUGCCGCGGGUGAGUUUCGUGUUGGGGUUGCAUCUCUUUGUGGGUUGCACUCACGGGAUUCUGGUUGUGGGGUUGUUUCGAGUUUACUUUGGUGGGUUUUCUUUGUUCUUUUUUCCAUGGCUCGAUUUGGUCGAUUUUGGGGCGUGUAAUUUGGGUGGGGAUUUUGUGUGUGAGUGAUCCGUGUAGGUGGGUUUGAGAAAGGUUUUGAAUUCUGAGUUGGGUUUAAUCACGAUCGGUGGUUAGGUCAGUUGUGGCUUGGUGGACUUCGUGUUUUUGUGGGGUUUGGAAUUAGCACCUGGCUUUUGUUGUUUUUUAUUGUUUAGAGUAGGAGGAAUUGAUUGAUACGUGAGACGGGCGUGUGGUUGGCGAUGUAGCCAUCGUGGUUGAGGAGUUAUCUUGGUUGUGAUGGUGCUCUACGUGUAAUGUGAACCGUUGAUUUGUGUCGUUGAUAACAUAAUUCUAGGCUUAGGUCUUUUGACGUUAGUUGGCUUGUUUUUACUCAGGCGGUGAAGUUGCUGCUGGAUCAGCUCAAGCCAUCGCACUCUGCACGAUGGUCCCGGUAUUAUCAAGCCUCAUCGGCUGCCUCAAAUGCGGUAUGUAUCAUUUACUUCCCGUCAUGGACUCAUCUAGCCUGUGUUCUCGGUGUUGGUUAGAGGAAAUUAUAGUUGGUUCUCUUUGAGGGGAUCAAUCAUGGCAUGCUUACUUUUCAGUCCUUUGCCAGCUUCGAUUCUUGUCGAAAAUUGCAAAUGGAUUAUUCUCAUCAGCAAUUGAGCAGAAACCCCCUGUUGUCUCUCCUUUUUGAAUUGUACAGCUGAGGAGGAAGUGUAGAAGUGAUCACUAGCUGUUACGCUUUAGACUACAAUUGGUUUCGUUACUUUCUUCGUUACCAAAGUCUGCAUGCGUUAUGACUGAGUACCUUCUGUGCUUUUCAAUAUUUGAUUUAACGCUGCUUCCUUGACAAUGUGAUCAGUAUCUGACUUUAUGUCAGCACAAAACUAUUAUGUAUGGUCUGAUCACGAAUGUGCAGUCCACGUGUGUAUGCAUUCAUGAGAGUGGGUGAUAAGGAGUUGAUUUGACAAGAGAUUCUAUCCUUUGAGCCCAGUUCCGUUGUUACUUUGCUGUAUUGAUUGCUGGAAGAAUCUAGAUUGAUUUAGUAACGCGUACUGCAUUUGGCUAUCUUUGCGUCGCCGUAGGUAUAAUUAAGUAGAUUACCUCGGGUUUAUUUAGUAGUAUACAUAACAAACAUUUCGGUCUAAGUUCAACUUGGCUAGUUGAAUCGCUGGUCACAGUGGAUUUUUCAGCCGAAUUCAUUUUGUUCGUGAAAUGGACACUGCUGUAUUGACAAUAACCAGCAAUGAUAUAUCGUAUUAUCGACGCGAGUUUUGACACUGUUAAGUUGUGGUUAAGUAAACUUUCUUUGCAUCUGUGUGAUGACACAUUUGGACAAGAGCUGUUACGAGAGAUUGGCUAUAAACUGUUUCCUCUAUGUGACUUGUUUUGCAUGCAGGACCUGCGAGCCAAGAUUGCGGAAAUGGUCCCAGAUGAGAGGGCAAGUGAACUGCAUAUGUGGCUCAUUUCUUAAUUCGCUUUCAAAUAUACUUUGUGUGCACUGCUUUUUCCUGAUAUUGCUUACAUGAGCACAGAUUGAUGGCACUUGACCAAUGCCAGCCGACUUCUUUGCCGAGGCUAUUUCGGUACUUGACGAAAUCUUCUAUGGAACCCUUCUUUGGAAUAAUUUUGAAGUGUUGCACAAAUGCAGGAAAAGCUGAAGGCGAUUAAAAGCAAGUAUGGAAAAGUUUCACUUGGAGAGACCACGGUUGAUAUGGUAUGAGAACCUAAAUGUUUUUCAGACAUCCUGGUGGAAAGAUUUGCUAAGAAAGCAUCAGUAUUUUAGUGUUUGUCCAAAUGUAAGAUGUCAUUUUAAACAACUCUAGUCAAAGGGAUGGUUCUGAUUUGGCCAUGAUUAUGUAUAAUAUUUAUCAUUGGAUGUUUUUGCUCUUGAUGAUAUCUAUCAGGCAAUUGGUGGAAUGCGCGGCAUCAAAGGUAUGCUAUGGGAGACAUCCUUACUUGAUCCUGAGGAGGUAAGUGCUAUGCUUCUCUGAAAGUCAUUCAUCGUCUGUCAGGAAGCAUAUUACCUUCUAAGAGUUCAUUCUUUGGCUAGUUUACUAUGGAAACACUAGCCGUAAGUGCAAGACUGUAAUCCUACAAAAUAGUGCUUAAAGUACCGUAAAGCUUUUCGGAAGAAUUAAUAUUUACUGUCUGCCAGCUAAUAUGCAUCCCGUUCCAGGUGGAACUUGACAACCUGCACGAUAGAUUUCCAUGAAAUUUAUCAUUUAAGAAUGGUUGCAAGUUCUCUCCAAAGUGAUGGUUUUUUCCCAAAAGUAGAUCCUGGGAAGCUAAUGGUUGGGCAUUUUGUAGGACUGAGCGUUUCACCCGAAUAAUUGAUCUGUAUACUUCUUGUUGCAGGGCAUUCGCUUCAGAGGCAUGUCAAUUCCUGAAUGUCAGAAAAAGCUUCCAGCAGCUAUACCUGGUGGUGAACCGAUCCCCGAAGGCUUUUUGUGGCUCCUUUCGACUGGAGAGGUACUGACGUCACUUCCAAAUCAGUUUAGGGUCGAAUUUGUGGGUUCUUGAGGGUGUUUUUAGGUGCUGGAUCAAGCGUAAAGUGUCUGCAGGCCCGAUUAAAAUUUGUGUGUUCAUGCAGGUUCCAACCAAAGAGCAAGUCAAUGCACUGAGUGAAGAUUUGCGAUCUCGCGCAAAAAUCCCAGGUAUAGGGUAGCUGUAGAGAGGCGGAGAAGUUCUGGAUUAUAUUGGUCAUGUGAAUUAGGUGUUUGUCUAAGACUGCUGGUGGAACUGGCAGCAUGAGACAUCUUUUUAGUGGAGUACGCUGUAUGGAUAGUUCAUUCUUAUAUGCUUGUAAAGGUGGAGUAUGAUAUUAUGUACCGAGUAAGGCUCGUACAUUAGAGCAUUGAAUGCCUUUUAAGUGUUCCAACAUAAACCUCGGGGUAUGGAAUUGCUUCCUCAGGUCACGUGUUUGAUGUCAUCAACGCACUCCCAAAGACUGCACAUCCCAUGACCCAGUUAACGACAGGCAUCAUGGCCCUUCAGGUGUAUUUUAAUCAAGAGCAUGUUCUACCUAUUUUGAUUAUUUGUCAAUGUGACAGUAUGCAAUUGUUCGCUUCUUUUUGCAGUAUGUACUUGCAAUUUAAUCCUUUAUUUCUACCUCAUGUGAAUGCCAUACUUUGAACAACUUUUUGUUUGUCCUUAUUUCAUCACCAUCAUCAUAUGAAGAAUUCAAUUCUAUUUCGCUAUAGUUGCCGCAAUACAUGUGCCUAACAAUUUCGUUUGUCAGUUCAGACUGAAAGUGAAUUCGCAAAGGCUUACGAAGGCGGAUUGCACAAGAGCAAGUAUGUUCAACUUCUCUACAUUUUGGGUGUCUCUGAUACUUUGCUACUCUGACACUCUGCAACUUAUGAAGUCUUCCUGUUUGACAAUUGAAGAAAAAACCUAAUGCUUUUGGAAGUAUUGGUUGUGCUUGAAAAGAACUUCGUCAACUUGGAUAGUGUGAACUAUAAUAAUAUUUUGAACAUCAAGGAAGCCAUAUCUCAGUUUUCUAAUGCUCUAAUUUAUACAGGUACUGGGAACCAGUUUAUGAGGACUCUAUGAAUCUGAUUGCCCGCUUGCCAGAGUUAGCUGCGUACAUAUAUCGGAGGUAAGCUACAUUCAGUUGCUGUCUCUUGGUCAUGCUUGGAAUUUUACUCAGCAUCUGCCAUGAAGUACUAGUCCUUCAAUUGAUAAAUGCACAAACUACAAAUGCUUGUUGUUUUUGAAACUAUGUGGUAAGCUCUAUCUUUAUGCAUCGUUGGGGCUGUUUUCUGUAGGGUGUAUAAAGGUGGAGAUGUGAUUGCAGCAGAUUCAAGUUUGGAUUACGCCGCUAAUUUUGCUCACAUGUUGGGCUUUAAAGAUGAGUUGAUGCAUGAGUUGAUGCGCCUUUACGUGAGCAUUCACAGGUAUUUUCAAGCUGGAUGCUUAAGAUACCUUGUUUUUGUCCUUCAAUUUUGGUAAUUUACUAAUUUGCUAAUAUAUUGAAACCAGAGGGCUCAAAGAUAUUUGGAGCCUUCAUUGUGUGCAGGCAUUCAAGCUAGAGCAGAUUUAAUUACAGUAUUAUCUAGGUUUUUUUGCUUCCUUUUGAGGUCGAUGAGUAACUCUGUUAAAGGACUGGUACAAUUGUGUUAGUGAUCACGAAGGAGGCAAUGUAAGCGCACACACUGUCCACUUGGUACGCUAUUUCCCUCUGUACCUGAAGUUACGAAAUCCUAAUGAAAUAUUAUUUUUACGGUGAAAGUCAAAAUAUUUCGUGGUGUUUAGUGGUACAUUUGCAGGUUCGUAAUACCCAGUUUCUGUGCGAAGCAUUUUAUUUGAGAGUGUUCUGCUGUCGUUUCAUUUCGAUGAAUAUUUAUUAUGAAUUUUAACCUGGUUCUUUUUAACACCUAUCUGAAAAUGUUACCUCUGCCAGGUUGGGAGUGCUCUAUCGGAUCCAUAUCUGUCUUUUGCUGCUGGAAUGAACGGUUUAGCAGGCCCUCUGCACGGGCUUGCAAAUCAGGUCAGUCUCAUAACUUUGAAAAAUGUUCUCUAAUAUCAUGAUAUAAUAAGCGAAGGUUUUGUGAUCAGUGACAGAUUGAUAUGGAUAUGGGGGCUUUGUUCUCAACGAGAUGUACUCUCUCGCACAUUAUUUACCAUUCAUUAACUUCCUGGUUGCCUCACUAUAUCCACAAUUCUGCGGCAAAACCAAGUAUUGUUCGUACAUAUGUCAAAGCAAUUGUAGUACUUGAGAAGUGCUUCCACGUCGUCAUUUGGCAUGUAUUUGACUUUCAAAUGCAUGGCUGCACUUGAUGAUGGUUGACAGACUACUGACCUUUUAAACAAAAUAUGUUUUCACUUCUCUACCUCCAAUCAACAGUUUAGGACCACACUGGUUCGGAAGGGUCUGAGCUAUGUCAUCUGAUUUUUAUAUAUAUAUUUGAAAUCUGAAUCAUUAAGAACUUACCUCGACAGCGAACUCCUUUUCCCUAGAUGAUAUGGAAUAUUGCUAGUUGCUUGGAGCUGAUAUCCCUGCAUUCCUCUAAAAUUGGAAAAGCUUCUCAUCGAACAUCUAAUUCAGCUUUCUUUGUUUGACUGAUAUGGUUUUUAUGUGUUCUUAGAACGUUCACUAAUUAUAAUUGAUGUUGCAGGAAGUGCUGCGCUGGAUUCAGCAAGUGGUAGAUGAAAUUGGUAGUGAAGUCUCACUCGAUCAACUUAAGGACUACAUUCAUAAGACCUUAAAGAGCGGUCGGGUACGUCCAUUCUCAAUUAUGUUAGCCGCAAGAAACUAUCUGGGUGAAAUUGCUUUAACUACACGUUUAAAGUGUCAACAUCUGUGGAUACUGCAGUUUAUUUCGAACCCAGCUAAUUUUUGUUGUAGUCGUUUUAUCUUGUGUAUUUUAAAGAGGAAAAUUGACAAAAAUAAUUUUUACACUUCGUUGAAACAGGUUGUACCUGGGUUUGGGCAUGCUGUGCUGAGGAAAACUGACCCCCGAUAUAUAUGUCAGCGUGAAUUUGCACUUAAACAUCUUCCCGAAGAUCCCAUGUUCAAGAUGGUAUGAUUUCUAUCUACAGUCUAUUUUUGAAAUGGUAAGAACGACCAUGUAAAAUGUAGACAACUUUCUGUAUCAUAAAUUGUAAGUGAAUGUCCCAUCAAGCAUUCCUGAGUAAUCCAUGCAUUACAAUGUUGGAAAUAAUCCGUUCGUGCAAUGAUUACAUCCUGGUAUGUAUCCAAUUGUGAUGAGGUACGUUGAAUACAAAUAAUUUUUCAUUCGCUUUAAGGCAAGGUUCAUACACCUGAAGCACGUCAAUACCCCAGAAAUGAAGUCCGAACUCACUGAGUUUUAUGACCUGUAGUUCUUCAAAAUGAAAAUAUUGUUUUGCUUGGUUGAUCAAAUCUCAUGUAUCUGGUGUAAAAAUAGAGGCUCUAUAUUAACAUGUCUUGGACAUGUCAUGCUUUGCAGGUAUCGAAAUUGUUUGAGGUGGUUCCUCCUAUUCUUUUGGCAGGCGGAAAGGUAAGUUUCGAAGGUUUAAGAACUUUAUGAAGUAGUCGCCGUCAAGAAAAAAAAUUCCACUUCUUUUGAAGUCAUUUUGAAGUCUUACUUGUGUUCGUGUGCGAGUGAUCAGGUCAAGAACCCCUGGCCUAAUGUGGAUGCUCACAGCGGUGUCCUGCUUCAGUACUACGGCUUGAAAGAACAGAAGUGAGUUAUAAUACCUGCAACGUUUUAUAGUUGCCCUUUCUGGCGUAAUAUGACAUUGUACAAUGUUCUCCUUUACCAUUGUAUGGUGUGAUGUUCACCUGCUAUAAUUAACAUCCUAAUUUUAUUUUUUGACUUGAUCGAUUACAGCUACUACACUGUGCUUUUUGGAGUAUCACGUGCCAUGGGUGUCCUCUCUCAGGUAUGCUCUUCCUUUGACUUUAGAUAUUGAAUAUGCUCAACUUACACUUAAAGUUAUUCAUGUUCACUUAACAUUUAUGGAAUUUUAUGUUUGUUUUCUCGUCACUUUUCUCCCAUCCCUAGAAUUUGUCGAAGUUGAAUAAAUGUGUUUGAUGUGCAGCUCAUCUGGGAUCGAGCACUUGGUCUUCCAAUUGAACGACCGAAGAGUAUGACUUUUGAGUACAUUGAAAACUACUGCAAGUCCAAAGCGGGCAUGACAGCAUGAAGAUGAUUCCGACCUAUUUCAUAUAUGAGCAGUGCUAGCCAGAUCUUUAACCCGAAAAAUGUGUUUAAAUAAAAGCACACAAUGUUUCUUUUCUCCAACCGUUUUCACCUUUAGCUGUGCAUAACUUUAUGAAAUUAUGUGCUUGAAAUAUCUUCAAUAUUGAUGGCACCUUCUUACAGAAAGGCUAUGCUAGAAGUCUAGAAGGAAUUGAGCAAGCUGUUUGAAAUGGAAACUACAACAUUCAAUUUCAACAGAAAACAUUCGACUAGACCUCACUGACAGACACUGUUAUUAUAAACAUGGAAAAAGUAAUCGAAAAGAAACUGGGCUCGUACGAUUUGAUCAAGGGGAAAGGACAAGUAAAAAGCUCAUCUGAGAGAACUCUCUCAGACGAUCAUGCGGAAGUUGAGAGUGCAGCAUCUUCGCUCACAUCUCGCACCUGUAAUCCAAGCAUUCUCAGACUGAACCACGAACCCAUCUGUAUCCUCCCCUUAUUGCCAGAAUUUACCAUUACAGCGCAAUCGAAUUCAGGUAUGUGGACUCAUUCCAAUCUUUCCAAAAAGUCAUAGGAGCCUUAUACAAUCACAAAACUUAGCAUGUCAACUAACUCACAUGAGGCGAGUUCAGGAAGUGUUGACACAUGAUACAUACCACUGUCAAAAUCAGCGUACUUUCACUAUUACUGCUGAAGUGAUUUCAGAGCUUACAGUUUACAGAUAGAUCAAAGGCUGGACUUGGAUUCCAUGGUUGUUCAGCUAAGCCAAGUAGUUUGCCGACGAUCAAGCUUCCUUUACUCUUAACAUGUUUUUGCACUUGAGAUCUUUGAUAUGAAUCCGCUCAAGGAUUCUUCAUGGAUAGUGUAGGCACAUGUAGCUGUUGAUAAGACAUAUGAAAACACAUUUCGAAUUUGUGAUUGCACACAAAAUAUUGAAAUUUCCUCCAUGAUUUUCUCCUUUACCAGUGAAUCUCAAGAACAUAUGAUUUUUUAAUUUAAUACAUUCAAAAAAGAAUUUAUCUUGACAUUCUGUGUAUUAUUAUUAUGAACAUGUUACAAUGGUAGUUGAGUAGGUCUGUAUUAUUGUAUGUUACAGGUGUAAGUAUUUUUUUGAGUUUUUAUUUCUGGUUGAAAUGGAUUAAUGCAUAACAGUAAAACUUCUAUAUAUACACGCUUUUAAUGGAAUUAGUGCAAUAGGCAUGAAUAAAUUGCAGCUAAAAUAAAAUUCAUUUAUUCAUAUUUUUUGUGUUCUAUUUAGCUUAAUACUAUAAUGAAAAUGAAGUAUUUUUUUUUAGUAAUUUCGAAUCAAGAUAUAACCUCAAAUAUACUAUUCAAAAUUAUUCAUUGAUGUUUACAAUUUAAUAAAAACUGACAAAUUUAUUUUUAGCAUGUAAUUUAUACAAUAAUAGUAACUAUUAUUAAAAAAAAACAUAAAAUAAAGUGUUGCAAUAAAAUGAAUAAGCAACAAAAUAAGUGCUGCAAAUGUGUUUACUGAUCAUUAAUUAUAAGAAUUAUUUUUAACCAUUUUAAUCCAAUUCAUAGUUUUUAUGGAUGUAUGAUGUUUAUAUUAAUUAAGUAAUCAAUAUAAUAAUUAAAGGCAAUCAUUUUUUUAUUGUUGAAAAAUGAAUAUUUCUUAAAAUUAAAGUUUUUCUAGUAACUGGUUUAUAUAUUGACUACAAGAUUGCUGUAAUUUGUUGACUAUUGUUACAUACAAAUAGAAAUUGUUCUCUUUUAAUUUAUUUAUAGAUUAUAUAGUUAUAAAUGCAUUUUAAUAUUUAUAUUUAGAAUUGAAUGAAAUAUUUCACAAUGUCUAUUCAAUUAGUUGCACUAUAAUGUUUUCACAUUUUUUUUACUACAAAAUAUGUUUAUCAAUUAUAAAGUUGUAAUUAAAAAAUUAAACAAAAAAACAAUCUCAUUACAAAUAAAAAUACACAUUUAUCAAGUAUAUAAUAUAUUAAAUAUCAGAAUGAAUCAUUCUUAUUUAAGUUUUGAGCAAAAACUCAAGUUUCUAAUAUAAUUACUUUUCUACUAUGACUUAUUUUUACAUUAGAUAGUUCUUCUAAAUGAGUAAUACUUGUUCAACUCAAUACUUAUAGUCAAAAGUUUUAAUAUUUGAAAUAUUCAAAAACGAAGUAAAAUAAAAUAAAACCAUUUUGAGUUUGUAAGUAAAUUUAAAAUCAAAUUUAAGAUUAAAAGAUAUUUCAAAUUGUUGGCUUAAAUUCUCUUUUGGCAUCAAGGAGGUGAUGUUCUUGUAGUCUUUGCUCAGUGAGUUUGUAGUAAUUCAUUGACUUUGCAUUUAAUCACUCAAUUACUUCACAUUUCAUUACAACAAGUUGGGUUUUUUGAUUUGUUUGCAAUGGCAAUUCAUUGUCUAGCAGGAAUAUCUUUUUUGCAAUUUGGUAUUGCUUUUUGUUCUACAAUGUAAGCCCUAAUCCAUGAAUCAGGUUUUUCACACAUGUCUAUUUGUUUUAUUCUUAAUAGAUACAACUCUCACUGAUCAUGGUUAUUUUUGUAUGUGAAUUUAUGUUUUUUUUAUAUUUUAUUUUGUUUUUUUGGUUUUUUUUGGUUUUUUUGUUUUUUUUUUCUUACUAGGUGUUACAUAUUAAUUCUAAUAUUUACUUAGAUUUGUAGUUGAAUUUAGGUUAGAAACUUGGUCAAUAAGUUAACCACAUGUUGAUAGCUUGUAGAGCAAGCUAACUAUAUGGUGCACAUAUAGAAAACUUAUCUUAUAAAUUAAGAUAUGUAUCUAGCAAAGUCAACACAUUUUAGAAAUCCUAUAGGAUAUUGCUAUGUAGCUCAUAAUUAAGAGUAUAUAUAGAGGCAAGAGUGAAGCCUUCUUCACUCUUGUCAAUGCCUUUGUAGUCUUUAGUCUCAUUUCAAGACUUUUUAGUCUUCUUGUUUUUGCCAAUAGCCAUUUAAGUUUAAUACUAUAUCAUCUUUAAGUGAUUUUCUAGUCUUUUUGAAUGACACAAGAGUGUUUUGAUAUUUUAGUUCUUUGAGGUUCAUAUUUUAGUUCUUUGAGAUAUUUUAGUUUAGACAUUUUGUAUUUAUGUAAUAUUAUCAUUGAUAUCAUUUACUUUUUAGCAAUGAAAUUUUCAUUUAUUCACUAAAAAAUUAAACUUUUGACUUUUCAAAAAUAUUAGAUAAAUUUGCUUUGCAAAAUGAAAACAAAAAAAUAUAUUUGGAAUAUUGAAGUUAUGAUCUUUAGCUUUGAAAUGAAUAUUAAUAUUAUAGAUAUUUUUUAAAAAUUGAUUAAAAUAUUAAUAUUUAUUAAAAGAUCCAUAAAAUGAAUUAAAUGGUAUUUUAAAAAAAAUUGGAAUAAUUUUUUAUUAUUUUCUAAAGAAAUAAUAUCAUAUACAUGCAUACAUAAUAUCUACAUUGGUUCUAUUUUUGUGUAAUUUAAAAGUAUAGUAUUUGAGUUUUCUUUCUUUUUAAAAAUAUACUAAAAAUAUUGAAUAUUAUAUUUAUUUUUAAUCUUAAUAGAAACAUAAUCAUUUAGAAAUUUAAAAAACAGAUUCACAUUUUUUGUGAUAAUAACAUGGAUGCAAUAGGUCUAUUAUUAAGAUUGCUCAAAAGAUAAACAUCCAAGACAAAAUGUGGUUGUCAUUCACUGCAUGCAUUCUUCUUUGUUUUCAUCAAAAAACUUAACAUUGUAUGGAAUCCAUAGGACAUUUUACAAUUGUCACAGACACAGAAAUACAGACUCGAGAUCUAACAAGAAGUUCAAGAAGAACUGGCAAGAACUAGAUUAAUCAGUUGAAUACAACAACAACACCAGAAAGGUGAGCUAGAGCUCCAAGAGAUGUGUUGUCGAGACUGAAGAACUCUUCAACCUCAAUUCCAAUAUAUACUCCUAUUUAGGAAGCUUCUCAAGCAACUUCUAUCAGCUAAGAAGCUUCUAAAAGUUUCCAGAGACUUGCUGUUAGAAGGUUCUAGAAACUUGUCUCUAGAAGAUUCUAAGGACUAUGUUCCUAACAUCACUUCCUCCUUUAGCUUCGAGGUCUCUGAGAAGCAAUGUUGUUGUUAAUCACUACCAACGCAAGAAAAUGAAGAUUUGUCGCAUAACGUUUGCUAUGAACACAAACUGUUGUUUACAAGGCAAGUGGUUCAUUGGCCCUUGAAGCCAACGGUAGUGGCCCACGCCUUUGACUUGUGACCAAGCAUGAAUUUCUGUGUCCUCAUUGUGAAAUUGUCUAAGAAACACGCCUUCUGGUUGACCAUCGUAAGCAGGCUCGAACUCAAAUGCAAUCACCAAUGAUCGGUUACUUGGUAUCCUCCGUCGUCAUCGUGGUAUAGGCAGUUCUUCAUCUCGGGGUCGCCUUCAUGAGCUAGUUGGUUGAGAUAAUCUGACUGGCAUAGUAUCUAUCUCUUGGCUAUCCAUAUCAGAAGACCAAACUAUGGCUACUGAAAAAAUUCUACUUUAUCUUGGAAAAAAUAACUACAUCAACUACGAAUUUUGGUGGUGAUCUCCCCCUUUCUUAUAUUCUUAGGUAAGCAAGCUUCAGAAGGAAGCUAUCGUUGAACCGGCUUACGUUUAUGAGGAUGUUGUUGAUGAAACUCUUGUACCUUUUGCGAUGCAUUGGUGAGAUUUUCAGCUCGCUCCCAUGUUCGCUCAUUAAUGUCGUAGCCGCACCAAUGAACAAGAUACUCCAACUUGCCUCACCUUCACCAUGAAUCAGUACCUUUUCAACCUCGUAUUCCUCAUGGUUCUCGAUCUCAAUACUAGGUGGUGGACAUUGCAUUCUUCCAAGAAAAGACGACUCUCGAUAAGGCUCCAACAAAAAAACAUGAAAGACUGGAUGUACCUUCAUAGAAGCCGGUAAUUCCAGACGGUAUGCCACUGGAUUGAUUUGCUUCUGGAUGAUAAAUGGUCUCAAUCUUCAAUAGUCCAACUUAUCACAUGGUCGCUUGGUCUUGAUAUUUCGUCAAAGAAGCCAUGCUUUAUCUCCAAUUUUGAAAGUAGGUGCUUCAUUCCGAAAUCUAUCUGCAGACGCCUUGUAGGAUUCUUGAGCGGAUUGUAAUUGAAGCUUCAACGUGUUUUGAAGCUCUGAUAAUUGUUUCGCAAAUUCUUCAACUGCUGGAUUGUUAUUAGUUGAUGGACUCAAUAAAUCAAGCUUCGAAUGAUACCCAUAAUUGGAAAAGAAUGGUGUGUAUUGAGUCGAUGUAUGGAGGGUGUUGUUAUAUGCAAACUUGGGUAGCGACAGAUAUGUGGUCCAAUCGUCUUGUUGAUAGUUGAUGCUGCAUCGUAAGUAUUGUUCCAAGACUUGGUUCACCCAUUCCAUUUGGCCGUCAAUUUGAGGAUGAAAAGCCGAAGAAAGCUUGAUAUCCACCUUCAGUAUCUCAAAGAGAGAUCUCCAAAACUUUGAUACGAACUAGGUUCCUCGAUCUCACACGAUAUCAUCCGGUAGUCCAUGAUAUCGAUACACAUUAUCAAGAAAGAGCCUUGCUGUGACUUCACUGGACGAUGUCUUCUUGCAAGGGACAAAGUGCACCAUCUUUGUAAGCCGAUCUACCACGACAAAGAUGCUGUCAAAUAAGUUCGAUGAUGGCAGGUCCGUGAUGAAGUCUAUGGAAACUCAAGACCAUGGUCGACGUGGAAUCGGCAAUGGCUGUAGAAGUCCAUAAGGGCAAUGUCGAGGAUUCUUGGAUCUUGAACAGAAGUCACAAGAGAUGACAAAAUCUUUCACAUCCUUCCACAUUUGGGGCCACCAAAAAUCUCGAGAAAUAAGCUCUAAGGUCUUGUUGAAUCCAAAAUGUCCCACAAUUGGAAAAUCGUGGCGAGAUUGAAGAACUCGGAGUCGUGCUGGUCCUUUUGGGAUAUACAACCGCUCUUCAAAGUAUAAAAGAUCUCCUUCCACCUUGAACUUGUCGUCAUUGGCAUGCUGCUUGAUAUCAAUGGCUACUGAAUCUUCAAUGGUCACGACACGUACCUGAUUCAGGAAGUCAGCAUCAAUUGACACAAUAGUAGCGCAAAGCCAAAAUUGCUCUAGCUUCAACAACGUCGUACAUUGUUGAUCAAACGCUGCUUCUUCAGCCUUUGGUAUAAGAUACAAUCUCCUUGAUAAGGCAUCAAAUAGUCCUUGCUACUUUCUAGGAUGAUAAGUGAUAACAAAAUCGAACCUAGAUAGUGACAUAUUUCACUGAGCUUGACGUCGAUUUAGAACUCGAGCCGACAUGAAAUACUCCAAAUUCUUGUGAUCUGUGUAUAUGAUCACUGGGUGUGCAACUCCUUCAAGAAAGUGACGCCAUUCUUGGAAAGAAUCCACUAUAGCAAGAAAUUCCUUAUCGUGGAUCUCAUAAUUGAUUUUAGUAGCAGAGAACUUUCGAGAAUAGAAUGCAACCAGAUGGAGCUUCUUGUCUUUUCUUAUUUGUGAAAGUACAGCUCCCAAAGCAAAAUCCGAAGCAUCAGUUUCUAAAUAAAAGACCUUUGUAAAGUCUGGAUGUACCAAGAUUGGAGUUGUAGUAAAUGCGAUCUUCAGGUCUUGAAAUGCCUUCUCCGCUAGAGGUCCCCAUUCCAGCUUAUUCUUGCAUGUCAACCAAGUGAGAGGAGUAGCAACUUGAGAGUAAUUCUUGAUAAAGAUCCAAUAGAAGUUAGCAAAACCAAGAAAGCAUUGUACGUCUUUUACUAUCUUUAGAACCUCCCAGGACACGAUUGCUUCCACCUUCUUGGGGUCCAUCUUCAAGCCUUCUGUAGUUGCAACGAAAUCCAAAAAUUCCAUCUCUAUUUAGUGAAAUAAAUACUUCUCCAACUUGGCAUAUAGUCCUCGCUCGCGUAGUUUCUCCAAGAUCAAACGAACGUGCUUUUCAUGCUCUUCUUCGUUUUUGGAGAAUAUCAAAAUAUCAUCCAAAUAGAUGACAACAAAAUCGUCAAGGUGCUCUCGAAAAAUGUCAUUCAUCAUAUGUUGAAAGACCGCUGGAGCAUUGGUAAGACCAAAGGGCAUGACAUUAUACUCAAAAUGGCCAUACCUUGUACGGAACACUGUCUUCCACUCAUCUCCUUCCUUAAUUUGUACGAGGUUGUAAGCUCUCCUUAGAUCAAUUUUUGUAAAGAUCCUUGCACGUCUAAGUUUUUCUAAGAGACCAGAAAUCAAGGGUAACGAAUAACGAUUCUUCUUUGUUACCUUGUUGAGGCCUCGAUAGUCUACGCAUAUCCACAACGAGCCAUCUUUCUUCUUCACAAAUAAGAUGGGUGCUCCAGCUGACAAUUUUGAAUGACGGAUGAAGUUCUUGGCUAGAUUCUCAUCAAUAUACUUUCGCAACUCUGCCAACUCCAUCUGCGAUAGAUUGUAGAUUGGGCCAAAAGGCGGUUGUGCUCCUUAUUGCAAGUCUAUAGCGCAAUCAUAUGGUCGGUGUUCUAGUAGCAUGUUGGCAUUCUUCUUUUGAAACACGUCUUUAAAAUCCUUAUAUUGCUCAGGUAUACUUGCUGUUGAGAUCUUCUUCUCGGUAGUUGAAGCGACAUAAAUGACAAAUGAUGUGCCUUUCUUAGACGAUCUUAUAAACGCUCUUGCUCCAAUGAAUAAGGAUUUCUCUAUUUGGGGUUUCUUACUAGGCUUGUUCUUAGGUGGUUUUGUGGCAAAGGUCAUCUUUCGCAACUUCCAAUCUAUAGGUGGGUUAUGCUUUUCCAACUAAGAAAGACCAAGAAUAACAGGAUUUGAUGGGAUUCUAAUAAUAUUGAAAAUAAUAUGACUACUACGGUCCUUGAACAUCACUUCUAUAGGUUCUGAUUUAUGGGUGAUACUACCAGACAAUAAAGAUCGUCCAUCUAUGACCUCAACGUGAACAGGUUUGGAUUUUUGUACUAAAGGGAUCUUAUGAUGUUUUGCAAAUUCUUCAUCUAAGAAACAAGCAGAUGCUCUUGAAUCUAAUAAUGCUAAGGUUCUUAGUUUUUGAGGGCCAAUAAGCAAAGGGAUUGUAAAGCAAAGGGCAGGUUGAGCGGAAAGAAAGGAACCUGGUUGUUGUUGCGAUAUUUCACUGUCCAGCCGCACAGUUCCUAUUGUGGCUGGGCAUCCUCGUUUUUCUCAACAAACGCACCCCUAGUCUUGACAAUACAUCGAUCUUGCUUCUUGGGGCAGUUUCUAACUUUGUGGCCUUCUUCACCGCAAUAUAAGCAUAGACCUUCCUCCAUACGCCGCUUUUUUUUCUUCUAGAGUAAGGGAUUUGACACGUACCACAUGAAUUUGCAUGUCUUCUACCUCUGAAUGUGAAUUUACGUUACUUGUCGACAUAGUUGGGGCGUGGCGAAUCAUAUGUUGUCUUAAACGUUGGUCUUGGCGGCAUUGGAAUAGGCGGUUAUCGCACUUCAGAGCUUGUCCAAUGGCUUCGUUAAGCGUUUGUGGAUCAAGAAGAGUUCACAACAAAUCUUUCACAUCAUCCCUUAAAUCCCAAUAGAAUUGACUCAUCAACGCUUCUUCGUCCCAAAUGCUAAUUGCUUGAAGUCCGAUGCAUAGACUGAUGUAGAGUGCAGCACUUGUCGUAGUGACCGGAUCUUUGUUGUAGCCCAUCGAACCUUGUCGUGUUCACCAAAUGCUUCCACAAACGCCUCCAAAAAGGUUUCAAAGUUGUUUAGUAUGGACGAUCGUUUCUCAAACAAAUGAGCAAACCCUGAUAGAGCUUGCCUUGUAAGUAAGGUUCCAACAAGCCCAACAUGUGACUCCUCCCUUGGAUAGCAUUCGAGCUGUAAAACUGUUAUCAACCUGAUUUGGUUGACGAAUCCUUGAAACUUGGAACGCGUACCAUCGAACUUAUCCGGAAGGCUAACUUGGAGCUCCUUAUGUUGUAGAAUCAGCGGUGCUUGUCGAACUUGAGGCAAAGUUGCUUCUCAAAGUGUAGAAGUUUGAGGCUGGUGCAACCUAGAUUGUGCCAUCCCAGAUGCUCCAUCAUUAUGAAGUCUUGCCAAGACUCCUUCAAUCUCUGCAGUUCUUUGCGAUAACGUAGCGAAGGCAUUCAUGAUAGCAUCCAACUUGGACUCCAAAUUUUCCGUCAUACUAAUGUCUUAACCUCCGGCCAUUCUAAAAGAAGGACAGAAAUGACUGUACAAGAAGACAAUAUUGGUUUAGAGGAGGGUACUCCGCAACCUCUAAAAUGCCUUAAGAGCUUCAAGAAAAGGGGUAAUCCACUCUCUCCAAGAAGAAUAAGAUUCCAAUAUUGUAACAAAAGAAGUAUCAGUUUAGAGGAGGGUAAUCCGCAACCUCUAAAAUGCUAGUACACUUUCAAGCAGAGGAGUAAUCCAUAUUCUAACGAGGAAGAAACUAGCUCUGAUAUCUGAGAUGAGUGAAGUCUCGACAAACUGUCACGGACACAGAAAUACAGAUUCGAGAUCUAACAAGAAGUUCAAGAAGAAUUGGCAAGAACUAGAUUAAUCAGAUGAAUACAAGAACAACACCAAAAAGGUGAGCUAGAGCUCCAAGAGAUGUGUUGUCGAGACUGAAGAACUCUUCAGCCUCAACUCCAAUAUAUACUCCUAUUUAGGAAGCUUCUUAAGCAACUUCUAUCAACUAAGAAGCUUCUAAAAGUUUCCAGAGACUUGUUGUUAGAAGGUUCUAGAAACUUGUCUCUAGAAGAUUCUAAGGACUAUGUCCCUAACAUCUUCUACCAACUAAAAAGCUUCUAGAAGGUUCCAGAGACUUGCUUCCAGAAAGUUCUAGAAACUUGUCUCUAGAAGGUUCUAAAGACUAUGUUCCUAACAACAAUUGAUUACAAGGGAUUCACAAAGUAUAUAAGAUGUUUUAAAUUGGAGUGGUAGGAAGGACAUGCACCCUAAUGAAUUAGUGUUCUUUCAGCCAUUCAAAAAAUUAUCUUUCUUUAAUAUUAGAUCCUAAAUUUCUCUCCCUCUUUCCCUCUUAUGGUUUGGAUGUUUGACGUCUCAAAAUCUUUCAAAUCGUUAUUUAAUAUUCAUGACUAUAUUUUUGUAUACAAUUUAAUUUUAGUGAAAUUAUAUCAAUUAGAGUGUUACUUGCUAGGAAUGAUGUUGUAGAUUUUGCAUUAGGAUAGGUAGUGUAGAAUUUAGAUAUUAGAAUAUUCAUAUUGAUAGGUCUUAUUGCAGAAUAUUGCCAUUAGAUGUUGUAUUUUGGAGAGGGAGAAUUUUGAGAUUGUAGGUUAUGAAUUCAUAAAUGAGAUCUAAAGGAUAAGGUAAGCAUGUCAUGAUGGUCAAGGACUACUGCAUGGUGUGACCAUUACGAUGCUAUGUAGUCAUAUGCCAUCAUGCUCAUUUACAUACAUAUGUAUUUUAGCUUCUUUUGAACUACUUCUAGUGCGAUUUCGAGCUUAUAUUGUGAUUCUAAGGCAAUUUAAGUAUAUAAGCUUUGUAGUGAGUGGAUCACUCUAAUUCAAGCAGCUAUCCUUGGCUAUGAUUCUGUAUCUAUAUUAAUUUUAUAGUUUUGUUGCUAGGUAGUUAAAUAUUUUUUUGUUGAUGUAAAUUUGAUAUACUAUCUCUUGUAUGUGCUUAAAUAUGCAUAUUGUAAAGAAGUGUUAAUAUUUCCUUAAUAUUUUUUACUUAAUUUUGAAAUUUGAUUGCUUGACAUAAUAAAAAUUAGGUAUAAUCUUCAUUCAAUGGAAUCUUCUCCAACUAUGCUAUAAAAUCUAUCUAUGCUUCUUUGUUGUAAUCUUAUACAACAUCUGCUUCUUGAUAUUUAAUCUUAAUCAUAGAAUAGACUUCAAACAUCUUUUCUAUUAAUUAUUGAUGAUAAUUACUUGCAACUUGAAUCUACAUGUUAGAGGAACUUGAAACCUUUAGUGCAAACUUUGUGAAGUCUAGCAUAUUUAUGUGACUUUGUGCCCCAUUAUUUGCUUUUAGACCUCUCUAAAGUUUUCAUGUUUGGAUUGUAGCUUAUGUGGCAGUGAAAAAAUGAUAGAUCUGUCUUACUUUAGUAAGGCUUCAAUAACUUCUAAAAAUUGAGGUUAAUAUCUUUGACUAUACUGACUUUUGUAUUUACGGCUUCUUAUAAAUUGUCAAUCUAAACUUUUGUGGCACUAAGUGUUUCUUUUGAAUCAAGCUCACAUGUAGUGCUUUAAAAACUAUUUUGUAUAGCAACACUAAAAAUAGAAAUAUAUGCUCUAGUACUAAGUGAUGAUAUUCCAAAUAGAUGAUAUGAAUUUUUUAAAUUGUAACUUUUUGAGUGGAGUAUAAUUGAAGGGAAAUCAAUCUUUAAAAGAAAGUUGAAUAGGAUCUACUGGAAUAAAGAGAUUUGUACUGAAAGACUAUAUUUUAUUUAAUUCUGGUAGUAUUGGGUUUUAGCAGAUAAUUACAAUUCUAUGUGAAGUUCUCAACAUUUUCUUUUUAAAAUUAGUUAAAGCUUUAUUCUAAAGGAUACAUGGUGGGUGAAGAAUGUGGUCAUUGAUGAAAAAUUGGAUAGUAUUAUAUUUGAAAUCAUAAGGAACCAACUCCAAUAUAUUUCAUAUGAUAUCUUCAAUUUAUAAACAAAAUUCUUAAACAGCAUAAUUUUAUUGGAAUUUUCCAAGUAGUGUCGACUGCAACAAAAACUAUCUGUAACAAUGACAUCGGUUCAUCUAGUUCCUACUUAUAUAAAGUAGAGUGGAGUAAGGUGAGAGAUAAAGUAAAGAGGAAAAAGAUGGAGUGAAAUUAAAAGCGAGAGAAGAGAGUAGAAAGAGAAAAGAGAGUGGAGAGAGAAGGAGCCGAUUGCGUGGGUUGGGAAUCUCUGUCGCCACGUAGACGACGCAUGUGGCGCGAACGCCAUCGGCGUAAUCAUUCCGGCGGGAGGGAACCAACGAACGAACCAACGAACAGACGAACGAACACGGAAUAAAUAACGAACGAGACAACGAAUAGGAAAAACGAACACCGAAUGAACGAACGAACGAAACAAGCUCACUAGGAGGAAGCACGGCGCAGAUCCCAGAGCCCGGCGAAGGAGACGAGUACGACGAAGUAGGAAGAGAAGAAGAUCCAGAGGGUGCCCCUUUCCUGCAGCAAUCCCACGCACCCCCACAUUUGCUGCGAUCGGGCGCAAAUCCCCGCAGCUAGUUAGCAAUCUAGACAGCUAGAUAGCAUCCAUGCUGCAGACAAGCCCGAGCUUGUCGCACGCUGCGCCGUCGUUGCAUUCCUUCACACGGCAUAGCCUGGAUGGAUGGCGCGCGUUGCCGCCCCUCCAUCGACGGCUCCUCUGCCUUCUUCUGACUUUACGCCCUCCGUAUCCUCGACCAUCCUGGGUAGAUUCUGUAUUUAGGAGGUUGCGACUGGUCGCCUUGCUUCUGUUGUUAAUGCUUCUGCUUCUUCAUGAAUGGAUUCCUGUCAUCCUCGUGGAUUCGUCGCCACGUUGCUUUUUCAUUUCCAUGCUGACUUCGACUGUGGGUUGUGUAAAAUAUUCCACGCUAACAUCCCGGAUAGGGUUUCCAAAGGGAUGGCGUACGUUACUCUCUCUGCGACUCGGGUCGCUUUUGACAUUGGCUCAUGCUCGGGCUAUCCGACUGCGACAAAAAGACGCCAUGUGAUGUUAAUUCCAUCGUGGGCUGUGAAUUUGGGUGCUGAUUCUGGGUCCUGCCUUUUUUGUGGUGGCCGGGCUGCUUUUGUCCCCCAUGAAGCAAGGAAGGGAAGUUUGCCUCACGGUUCUGAGCUUCAUUACGAGUCCGAGCGUGGCGCGUGGCGCUUUUUUGAUUUCAUUCCGUGGGUGAUGCCGUUGGAGGAGGAGGCAGCGGAGGCGAGACUGAGAAUGGGGCGAUGCGCGGAAAUUGUGUAGCGAGGAUUGAUCCUGGAUUUGGGGUUGAGGAUUGUGGGCUGGAGGUUGUUUUGGGAGGAGAAGGGAAUUUGGUGGGAGGUCGAGGGGACGGGGUUCGUUGCAAUGGCGCCGAUGGUUCUUCUCCUGAAUGCGACCAAGGUUGUGGGCGUGGUGGGUGCAAUUACGGUAGCUGCUAAUGCGUUGACGUUUCGCCAUUUUUACAAGAAGAAUAUAGCUCCAUUCCCAGACCCGGUGGACGAGACGAAGGAGGUCUUGGCUGAAUUCCCUAUUGACAAAGAAGGUGAGAUUCUCUCUCCUUUCAGCUCUCUUUCAGCGUUUCGUGUUGAUGAAGAAGGUGAAGGCGAGUCUUUCACCUACCAGCUGUCUUGCCGUCGCACCAGGCGUGUUCGAUUUAAGUGCGAAUUUCGUAUCCCUCUUUCAUGAACCUUUUCAUUUCAAGAGGGAUACAUGAACAAGUAGCUGUGAUGCUUUCUGCACGGUAUUUCCCAGCGUGACGUGUGGAGUGCAUCCAAGGAUAGAGCAAUGAAGUCGCUUUGAUUCAUACUUUCGUCCUGGUGCUGUUCCUUUGAACACCUUCGAAAGUCGGGAUGGGAUCCAUGCAGACGAGCUCAUCAUGCUCCUGGAUUGCAUUUGGCUCCUGUCCAAUCUAGCUCAAAACCAAGUAGCUGUCAUGCAUAAAACUUUUAAACGAAACCUUUAUUCCCCCUUCUUUCGUUUUGUUGAAGUUAUAUGUGGGUGAGUGCUUCGUCCCAAGCGUACAUCCUCAGUGUUUCAGUUGUAAACAGCUGAAUUUGUUCUCGAAGAUGAUGAAGUGUUCUUGGAGGAUAGCGGCUGGUAACAGUGGAGAUGUUAAUUUUCUCCUUUUGAUAUGCUUGAAAGACAAUUGCGGGAUUCUGAGUGUGGUUUGGGCCUAUUUCGAGAGGCUAAAGGUUCUGAAGGUAUGAUUAGGGGAUGCACGCUGGAAUCAACUCGAUCAAACCUUCUUUGGGUCCCCUCUAGGUUGGGACGCCAACCGCGUUUAUGAGAAUAUGUUUUUGGUCCCAAGUCAAAGGGUUCAAGUGCCGUCAGGACUUAGCCAUGGUUCAUAAUUGAAAGUUUCUGCAUGCAGUUGAGGAUGGAGGUUUCUUCUUUGCACUUGCAACAGCGCCGGCUCAUGUGGAAGACAGAUUGGAUGAUGCGUGGUUGGAAUUCGCCAAAGCCGGUGAACCUAAAGACAAUCCUGCAGGGGAUCCACCUGAGACCCGUACUGGUGAAAAGGAUAACGCCGCCUCUUAUUCUGGAAUCUCGCUCACUGAAGAAGCGCAGGCUGAGGAGAUUAAGAAAGGUGUGUUUCUUUUCUUGACUUCGCAUUAACUUGUUCAGAAACAAGUAUUAUGAAGUCCCUCAGGAGACCUAGAAAUUGUGAUUUGAACUGAGGGAAAAUCUUGAGAUGUUAUUUUGGAUCGAUAAGAGAGUGGUCAGCUAAAUUCUUAGUGCGGCUACCCUUAUGCCUUAUUUGAUGGAAUAGCUGUAGGAAGACUCCUAUUUGACUUCACAAAUCCUACAUGUUCACGUUUGUGCGAAAUUCUUCCAUGCAGGAUUGGGGCGCAGUGAAGCACCGGAUGUUGCUGGAACGGAAGAGCUUUCAAGUGAAAGUGGAAGCGUUAAGAAUAGUGACGGGCUAGGUGGUGAAUGGGAAGUCUUAUCUGAGAAAGAUAAAUUAGAUGCUGAAUCCGAGAAGGCUGACAAAAGUUCUGGCAAACUUGAGGAUGCCGCUAAGGCAGUCGAGGAGACUUUCACAGAAGGUCAGAAACUAAUUACUGAAGAGGAAAAGCUCGAGACCAUGAGCCAAAAACUGGAUCCUGAGGCUCCGAAGAGGCCCCGACGUGUUGGCUUUCAGAGCAAGAGUACAGUGGAACCGAGUCUCAUGAAUGUCCCUCGCAGAGCUAAGAAGUUAGCUAAAUUGUCUAUGGAAGCCCUGAUUCGAGGUUUUGAGAGGUUCACUGAAGAGGAAGUGCCACACAACGUGGCUGCAUGGCACAACGCAAUUCGUCCGUGAGUGCCUUCUGUUUUUUUCAUUGUUGUGAUUCAGAGGCAGGAAAAUCAUGUUCGCUCCUUUAUUCUACUCUCACGUCCAGUUGUUAAGGAUUCAAAUGAUUUAUUCAUGAGUUAACCUUUGUUUUGUUUGAUGUGUGUUUCGCAGAGAAGAAAGAUUGCGUUUUUGGUCAGACCCUGACACGGAAAUAAAGCUCGCUCAGGGCACAAAUUCAACGGUUUUCCGUAUGGGUGUUGAUUGGAGCCGGAUUAUGCCCAUUGAACCUAUUAGCGGUAUUGAGAACGCGGUGAGUCUCUUUUUCGGCACAUUCUGGUAUUAUAAUUCUCGUUUCCUAGUUAAAGUUCCCCGUCUUCUUGAUUCUGGGGGUGAGAGAUUCUGGAGAAAGACGUGACGUUUUGAAUGCGUGGCUGCAACUUUGUAGAAAAUGGUGGUUUUUUAUUCUAUUAUUAUUAUUAUUAUUAUUAUUAUUAUUUAUUUAUAUGCUGUGAACAUGGUAUCUGUCACAUCGCAUGAUGCGAUUGUGCUUAAGUUGUAUUCUUUGUAAUCAAGUCAUUAACCUGUCUUAUUGUUCAUGUCUGGGACCAGGUUAAUUGGAUGGCCGUAAAGCAUUAUCGGUUUAUUAUUCAAAGGGUACUUGACCAUGGCAUGAAAGUGAUGCUGACCCUCUUUCAUCACUCUCUUCCUCAAUGGGCAGCACAGUACGGUGGAUGGAAAGACGCCAGGACUAUAAAAUACUUCUUAGAUUUUACAAGGUCAGCUUCUAAUAUAAAGCUGUUCGAAGCUUUAGCAGGCUUUGUCGUUCCUCACAGAGCAUUGUGAUUUCUUGAAAUAUAAUUUUUGUGCUUUAUUUUGCUGCGGAAACUCGACGUCUCAACCGUCCAGUACUUCAUUAACAUGAGUAGGUGCAAGUUGUAAUUUUGUUUUUGAUCUUCUUGAGGAAUUGUGAUGAGUUAGGUUUGCAGUUUGUUAAUUGCUGACAAGCACGUUUGUGUGUUCUGCAGAUUAGUAGUGGAUAAGUAUGGAGACCUUGUGGACUACUGGAUUACCUUCAAUGAGCCACACGUUUUUGCUAUGCUCACCUACUGCGCUGGUGCAUGGCCAGGAGGAAAUCCUGACAUGCUGGAGACAGUGACCGCCGCGAUGCCAAAAGGAGUGUUCCCGGUUGUUAUGAAAGCUAUGGCUGAUGCUCAUCUUGGUGCCUAUGAUAUCAUUCAUAAUAGCGGGUACAUCUCUUUGCUAUUUCCUUGCCUUUUAUGUCUGUUAUCUACCUCACUAAAUUAUUCCGAACCUCUGCACCCAUCGGACUUGCAAGGUGGAGUUUUCAAACUUCUUUAGCAUGGUCUAACUUGAAGGAUGGAAUGUGCUACUAUUCCUAGUUUAUUUGUGACUUUGUCUUGUUCAUACUCACCUAGGUUGUGGUCCUUUCAAAUAGGAAAACCAAGAAGCCAGCGAGAGUAGGAAUAUCACAUCACGUGUCCUUCAUGCGACCAUAUGGGUUGUUCGAUACGCCUCUGGUGGUAUUUAGCAACUGGAUGACACGAUUUGCAUACUGCGAUGAUGUGGCACACAAAUGUGAUUUUAUGGGCAUUAAUUAUUAUGGCCAGGUAGGAUGGCGUAUCAUGCGAAUGCUUGUUUUUGUCAUGUUGGAGGUAGAUGAAGGUUAUUUGCACAUUUCAAUUCAAUUCGUGAUUGAGAAUUAGCUUCGUAAUUUUUGCCGAACCUGCUUACACACACGAUGUUUCCGUUUUAGCACUACCCACCCAUCAUCUGUAGAAAUUUGCUUCUUGCAGGAGGUGAUCUCAGCACCUGGUCUUAAGAAUGUUGAGAAUGAUGAAUACAGCGAAUCUGGACGGGGUGUCUAUCCAGAUGGGUUGUUUAGAAUGCUGAUGGAGUUUCAUAAACGCUAUCAAAAGCACAAUAUGAAAUUUAUUAUUACAGAGAACGGUGUGUCAGACGCCACCGACUAUAUUCGUCGACCAUAUCUUAUUGAGCAUCUACUUGCUGUCCGAGCAGCAAUGGACCAGGUAUACACGGAGAAUGUACGUUAUGAUUUGAGAGGCGUGAUUCGGACCUGUUGUAGUCAUUAAUGCUGGAAGUCUUUUGCAGGGUGUGCGCGUUCAAGGUUACUGCUUCUGGACAAUCUCAGACAACUGGGAAUGGGCCGAUGGGUACGGUCCAAAGUUCGGUCUCUGUGCUGUGGAUCGACACAAGGACCUUGCGCGUCACCCCCGUCCUUCCUAUCAUCUUUACUCUGAGGUAAUAAUUUGUUCAAAAGUACUGAUUUUACGCCACUUUUUGAGAUGGAUACUUUGAUUAGUGUUCUUUGAGGUGGAGUAAUUAAGUACAGUUACUAUGAAAAAUGUAGUUAAAAAGAACAAUCACGGGAGUACCUAAUCUUAUACUCGUUUUGUUGAAGGUGUCAAAAACUGGGAAAAUAACGAAGAAACAGAGGCUGGCUGUAUGGGAAGAUCUUCAGGACCAAGCUAGGCAGAGCAAGAUGAGACCAUUUUGUCGAGAAACCAAUGAUCAGGGCCUCAUGUUUGCAGGUUAGAUCUUUUUAUUUAUAUUUUCGAUUUUCUUCAAGGCGUUCUGUUAUGUUGUGUUAUGCAGUAAUGUGGGCAUGUCACAUAUAAAAUAUUCAGUAAUCAGAAGAUUGCUGUUCCAGGGGGUCUGGAUGUGCCAAUGGAUCGACCCUUCGCUGUUCGAGAUUGGCGCUUUGGAAAGUACGAGGUAGAAGGUCUUCAAGAUCCGUUAAGCUCUUUUGUUCGUUACUUCCGUGAGCGAACCCCCUUCAGGAAGAAGAGCAAACAGCAGAAGAAGUCAAUCUCGAACCCAGCACUCACUGCAGCUUAGAUUUGGAGCAUUUCUCUACGUACAGCUUACCAGCAUGUGUACAAAUUUCUUUUCAGUUGUUCAUGAAUAUUGAUACGGCGGAACAUGCUUCGAGUUCAGUUCCGAUAUCCUGCGCUGUGAAAUGUGCCUUUGUGUCGAAUACUUAUACUUUUGUACAUUUGUAGCAUUUGGUUCUCUGAAGUUGAUUGGAGGUGUAAUACCGCAAAUAAGGAAACUAUUCGGUUUGAGAGGCGAAAUUCGGGUUAGCUGCAAGGAGGGUGGCAUCAAGUACUCACCAGAAAUAGAGGGCUAGGAAGGAUAAAAUUGGAAUGCUGUUGAUAGCUUGAACCGAAUCUUGGAAAUUGUAAUGUAUUUGUGAUCUUUCUACACAUAUUUCACUCAAGCUUAUGUUACAAUUGACUUUCAAAUUUGUGUUCAUUUUUCUGCACAAAUUUUCAUGGAAAAGAGAAUGAGUGAACCACCUAGUUCUGUUCUUUUCACCGCGUGGUCUCUUGUUUUAAAAUGAUAAAAAUAUCUAACUUAUGUCGUUUAUUGACAUUCAGAUUUCUUGCACUGUAACAAGGACACUGCCGCUACAGUCUAAACUUGAUCCAUCUCUGAGGAAUCUUUGAAUACCCUGGACAGAUUAGACAACUUUUGUGAAUACCAGCAGUCGUCUAAUUGUAAAAAGACACUCAUGUGGUUCCAGAGUUUCAAGUGAAAGAAAGGUGAAAGAGUGAUUGUGAAAUCUUUGAUUCCAUUCCUAACAUGAAGUGAGCUUCGCAACUCCAACUGAAGUUUCAUAUUGCAAUUAGAGUGGAAGUGGGCGUCACACUUGAAACAUGCUUUCAUGUUUCCUAACCACUUUCAUGAAACAGUUUCGAAAUAAUCAUUAUUCACUCAAAGUUUUCCAUUGGCGUGGAUUAUUAUGUUUCAAGCAGCACAAUGGUGAAUAAUUAUUUGGACUAGACUCGCAGAAUCCAUCUAUUACUUCAGCAGCUUUUUAACCUUUUUCCAUUGCAGAUACCAAAAAAAUCUUUUAAUGGGGUUAACAUGAAGUUCUUGCUCCGGGGAAAACCAAUUUUAGGUGGAUUAUAAUUUAGAAUUGACGUUUCCUAAUGUCAAGACGCAAUGAACAAUGAGUUGAUUAAUAAACAACAGCCUUCAAAGGUGGGUUUCACUUGUAUGCAUUCUUAAGACACUCACAAGCCUGAGCAAUGGCUGCCUUUGUGGCAGGCGUUUGAGCGAGAGCAUUCAGCAUUACGAAGUCAUGGAUAGUGCCCAGAUAUCUAGCAACGGUGACAGUCACGCCAGCUUCAAUGAGCUUCCUCGCAAAGUUCUCCCCCUCGUCUCGCAGCACAUCGAACUCACCAGUUAUAACGAGAGCCGGCGGCAUGCCUUUGAAUACUUCCGUCGGUGCCCUCAAUGGAGAAGCAGUCGGCUCCCCCCAUACAUCGUGAUCCGGUGCAUACUGAUCCCAGAACCACUGCAUGGCCUGAAGAGUGAGCCACGGCCCAUCGUGAAACUCCUUAUACGAUUCGGUAUCGAACGAUGCGUCGGUGACAGGGUAGAACAAGCACUGGAAGCAAAGCUUAGGGCCGCCUCGUUCCUUGCACAUGAUGGUCACAGCAAUGGACAUAUUGCCACCCACGCUGUCUCCACAGACCGCAAGCUUCGAGCUAUCAACACCAAUCGCAUUCCCGUUCUCCGCAACCCACUUGGUCGCUGCAAAGGCUUCUUCGAUGGGGAUAGGGUACUGCGCUUCUGGUGAAGGGGAAUAAUUGACGAACACCACCGCACAGUUGGCUCCGUUCGCGAUGCUGCGGACCAAACGGUCGUGAGUGUCCACGCCGCCGAGCACCCACCCUCCGCCGUGGAAAUACAUCGCCACAGGCAACUUGCUCUUGUUUCCACUCGGUCGCACGAUGCGUACCGACACUGGAUGCUUGAAAGGGAUGGUUCUGUCCUCGACGUCAGCUGACAAUUUCUCGACGUAGCCUGCUUGUGCACCGCUCAGGACGGCGCGAGCAUCUUUUGGUGCCAAUGUGUAGAUUGGAGGUCCUCCUUGUUUGGAAAGCACGUCUAGAAAGGCUUGAGUAUCCUUUUCUAUGAUAUUCUUCCCCAUCUCUACCGACACAAUGUCUCCAGAAGCUUAAGAACUCAUCGCCUAAAACUCACAACAUCGACAAAGAUACGCAACGGGAAGAGAUCCGCUCUUGUGUGAGUCAAACACACAUUGACUUCUAAUUGUCAACCAGUUGAAUUCUUGCACUAAUUGACAUUUUCGAGAAGGGUGGUCUGCGGUCGUGCGUCGUCAAUUCUUGUGCUAAUCCUUGACUUUUUACUCCCUGUGAGCACCACAGGGAAUCAGCAGGUUUGCAACUGUUUCAGAGAACUGUUUCAAUGAGAGUUUAUUUUAAGAGAAACUCAUUUGUGUGAAAAGAAGUUUGUGAUCCAUGGAUGGACUCUAAAUCCAAUAGCAACAUACCAUUUGAUGCAGGCUUGACUUGUGCACAUGACUUUGGUGUGAAGGUUGCACUGCAUAUAAUAAAAUUGUAUGUUAGGUUUUUUUAAUCAUAAUGGUCCUUAAUGAAGGUAGAAGUGCUUACUUGCUUAGAGUUUGAUGUGAUAUUUCAAUCUAAUGAUUAUUAUUUUUUUUCUAUUGGUUUCAAUUAUUAUUUUUAAUAGCAAUAUGACAAUAAAAUGCAAUGAUUAAAUUUACAUGUACAUGUUUAAGUACUAAUCACGGCUGUGAAGUGCUCUUUUCAGUUUUAAAUAUGUUUAAUGCUAAAUGUAUUUUUAUUAUUAAUACAUGUUCAUUUUUGCAAUAAGGGAAAGAGAUUUUCAACUAGUGUUUAUAAUGGAAAGAUACAUAUUAAUAAUUACCUCACGCAAAAAAAAUUAAAAUUAAAAUUGCAGAUUGAAGAUAAUUUUGAUAAAUUCCAAGUAAUCAUAUCAGUAAAAUAAUAAAUGUUAUGUAAUAAACAUUAUUAUUAUUCUUAUUAUUAUUUUUGUGAAUGAUUAUUUUUGUAUGUAUGUGUAUAUAUAUAUACACAAGGAAACAGAGGUACUCAUUAAUACAUUCUUUCAUUAAUUCUUAACAUUUUGAGCAUUAUUAAAAUUGAAUGUACCUUGACAUGAAGUUUCAAUCACAGGAAUAUUGAAAAGAACACAGAAAAAGAGCACCAGAAACACACCAAACAGCACGGCAAUUGAAGUGGCAAUUCUGAAAAGUUAUGUCUUUUGAAUAAAAAAUUGCAACUCAUGGUUAUGUGGUAAUCGAUGGACAAAACAGUUACCAAAGGUUACAUUGUUUAACAAUUAUGUAGCAAACAAUUCUUAUUAGCUAAAUAAUCAUUUCACCAUAUCAAUUGAAACAACAGUAGAAUAAUAGUACCAGGUAUAUAUCUAUAUAUAUAAUGUUUUGAAACAAAUACAUAUUCACAACAUUAUGCUAAUGCAAAGAUUCCAAGUACAUUGCAAUGUAUUAUGUACAAAAAAAUUCAAAGAAUUCCACAACCAACUGAUCACCACAUUUUUUGAAAAAAUGAUCACGUAACUUAAGAUGGAUUUAAUAUUUGCUCAUGAACUCAGUUUCAAGAUGUAAUUGCAUCAAAUCAAUUUCAUUAGAGUUUUGCUAUGCCAUUCAUUGGUCCACCAAAAAGCAACACAAACAGAAACCCAAAUUCAAAUCAUGAACACAAUCAUCAUGUUCAAAUGAUUUCUUAUUUUCUAUGUUUAUUUAUUUUUUUAUUCUUUCUUAGUGAGCUGUAACAUACGAAAUUUUCACUUCUAACAUUGAAGGUCAUUCUGAUACCCACACUUGAUAAAAAUAAAUAUACAAAAAUAAAUGAUUAAGCUGUAAACAAUUACUGUUUUCUAUAGUGUGAUUACUUCUCCUUACCUAGUUAUUAGUUUUGAAGCAAGUAUACGCAGGGGACAAAUUGGAUAACUUAUAGUGAUCGAAUGCAGGACUUGUAAAUACUGCUUAAUAUUGAAUUAAAUAUUAAAUACUGCUCAAUAUUGAGAGGAUCAAAUAAUGCAAUUGGGUAGUUCCUAAUGUGGAAAGAGACCGAAAUCUCUAUUACAGGAGUGGAAAAUCGAAAACACAUAUGAAUGAGAUUAACGAUUCAUUCGUCCUUGGACAUGUGAACCAUGAAGACUUCGUGGCGGGUCCUAUUUAUUGUAUGACUUGACGAAUGCGUCGAGGAUUGAUUGAUUGAUUCAGGGCUGUUUCCACAUUUCGCUCAGUAUUUCAUUCUGGUCGUUGGAGACCAAUUUAGUGGCUAAAAAGGAGUCGGUUAGUCAAAAGCUGCACAUUUGUAGUCUAGUUUUCAGUCAAUAAAGUGUUUCGACGCUGUUCGCACGUUUGAAGGGUGUGCGAAAACCAUUACCAAUAUUGUUUUUUCUCUUUGGGUCUCGAAGAGCGAGGCUGUGUAGGGAACUGUCGUCGUGCCCCAUCGCUGGACCUGCGAAGAGGAGGAGCAAGGAUCGAACUUUGGGGUUCAGAAAGCACGACCGCUGGUUUUGUGGGGUGCUAGAGAGGUGUGGGAAAUGGAGACCGUGGAGGAGAUCACCGUCGGCAAAGUCAUCACUUGCAAAGGUAAACUCUUAUUUUCACAUUUGAAUACCUCGCUCGGUGUGUUGCAAUCCUUUAUAGUGCAGCUGAAUUUUGAUGGCGCAAUUCGAACGGACUAAGUGUUAUCGUUUUUUCGUUGAUCCGUUGUUCCAAUUUAUCAACGCCUUGCGAAUAUUAACAAGCAUGGUGUUUGCUUCAUUUCAAGUGCCACGGUCUUUCAAUUUAAAUGCGGUAAUGGCCCUCCUGUGACGUCUCGGAAAUGUGUUGGCUUCUUUCCUGUGAUCAUCUAGAACCAGCAACGUUAAGCUCGUUUCUGCGUGUUCUUUUGGUUGUGAUGAGAAUGAUUUUCUGUGUCUUGAAGCUGCUGUGGCGUGGGAACCAAAGGGCAAGUUCAUUGUACAGGAUGUGCAAGUGGAUCCCCCUCUGGCCAUGGAGGUCCGGAUCAAAGUGACACAUACUUCUCUGUGCCGCAGUGAUUUGUUCUUCUGGACGAAUGAGGUCUGGUGUUCUUCCUCGUGCCGCUUUGUGUUUUUACUUCAUUCCAACAGUAUCACAUGGUCUUGCUAUAUUUGUCAUUGAUUUGUUUGUUAAUGGACAUUGAGCUUGGCUGUGUUCAAUUACAACCCAUUACAAGAGUCGACAAGUGUAAAUUGAAUUUGUGGAAACAGGCUCUGGGACACACAUUUCCCCGAAUUUUCGGUCACGAAGCAGCCGGGUAUGAGCAUCUCAUCUUCAAUUUCAACCUAAUAUCUGCAGACGUAUGUUGGAUUUGUUGGAGAAAAUUGGAGUGGAUUGAGGAGAACUGUGUACAAUUCGAAGCUAGAAUCUCACGGAUCCCGUGUGCGUGAUCCCGGCAGAAUUGUUGAGAGCGUGGGUGAAGGAAUAGACGAUCUCAAACCUGGAGAUCACGUUCUUCCUGUUUUCACAGGCGAGUGCAAAGAGUGCAAGUACUGCGCGUCUCCCAAAACAAAUCUGUGUUCCAAAUUCGGCACGGAGUCCCUUGCAACGGGCAUGAAAGGUGACGGAAAGUCACGAUUUUCUGUCAAUGGCAAGCCGGUGUCGAGAUUUCUGGGUUCCACUUUCAGCGAGUAUACUGUGGUAGAGUACCCCUAUGUCGUGAAGAUAAAUCCCGUCGCACCCCUCGACAAAGUCUGCUUGCUCGGUUGCGGUGUUACAGCGGGCAUCGGGGCUGUGCGGAGGAUAGCACAACUUGAACCGGGGGCAACCAUCGCAGUGUUCGGUCUGGGCACCGUUGGCCUUUCAGUGAGUGUUGAUCAAUUCCUGUCAACCUGUGUGUGCAUUUCACUCUCAAAGUGUGCCAGAGUUGGACAGGAUCUGCAGCUGACUCUCUUUUGCCAAAUCCCACCUUCAUCAACAAACCGUCUGCUUCUUAGAAGCUUGUUCCGUUCGUUGACACAUCGAUCUCGCAGGUUGUGAAAGAGGCACAACGUCGAGGUGCUUCUCGCAUAAUUGGCGUGGACAUCAAUAUCAACAAGGCAGCCGAGGGUACGGUAUUCCCCGUUUAAGUCUGGUGAGUGGAUUGUAGUAGGCGCCUUGAAUGGAAUUCAAUCUCGGAUGACCUGUAAGUGGUGCUUUUUACAGGCAAUUUUUUUGGCGUUACCGAUUUCUUCAAUCCAGACAAUUUAGACAAGCCUGUUGAGGAGGUAUCAAUGUUUAGUCUACAUCACUUUGCUCUCAGAUUAUAGACUUUUUGGUAGAACAUGCACGCAUUAUUCAGAAUCGUUCAGGUGUAGCCCUUAAUCUUCUUUUUACGUGAAGCAGGUCAUAAAAGAAUUGACAGGAGGCGGGGUAGAUUACGCGUUUGAGUGUGUAGGCAAUCCGAAAGUGAUGGCUACAGCAUUCGCAAGUUGUCAAGAUGUAAGAGCCACUCCCUAUCACUCGCUUGCUCGUGCAGGCACUUUUUCUUGGCUGCAGAUCGGCCUCACGUUGCUUAGGAUGCGUUUAGGUAUAUGGGUCUUCAUGUAUACUUCGUAAGGGUGCCAAUCGUUCCUUCUACUGAGUGUCAGGGUUGGGGAACAACGAUUGUUUUGGGAGUCGCGGGGCCAGCCACUGUGUCCAUUCCCACACGCUCUUUGUUGACAGGCCGGUGCAUGAAAGGCACUCUGUAUGGAGGCUACAAGCCCAAAACCGACGUGCCCGCGCUUGUGGAGCAGUAUUUGCACAAGGUACCGCUCUUCUACACAUGACGUUCAUGCUCUGAUGAUAGAUGAAUUUAUUACGAAAUUCUAACAUCCAAACGACACACGACCUAAUAACUUCUCACUAUCAUCUACUUUUAUGACCUGCUCAAGGGCCCACUACUUGAGCAUUUUGAACUAAACAAGAGUUAAACCCUUCGUAAAGGUCCAUUACAUUAACGUGCUGCUGCUGCUGGGUUUGUGAUGCACCAUGUUCAGGACUUCGAUGUGGAGGAAUUCAUAACCCACAACUUGCCCUUCUCUCGUAUCAACGAUGCUUUUAAGCUCUUGCAGGCUGGAGAAUGCUUGCGCACCGUGUUGCACUACAAUGAAACAGUUAACUGAGAACUCCGAUUCGCUGAAACAUUGUUGAGAUUCAAUUUGAUGCUCCAAUUAGUUAGCGGAUGUGGUAUGAUCAUAGCCGACUUGUUUUCGAUUGAACCACUGGCAGCUCGACACUUCUCAGGCUGCCGUUUCGGCCUACUCUGAGGUGUAGAGUCGAUUCUAGUGAAUAUUGUCUUCACUUGUGUAAUUUGCAUACUUUCCCCAAAAAAUUCAGAGCACAGCAUCAACGUCCGGCGAAUUCAGAAGGCAAUAGUUCUGGAUCACAGCACUUGUUUGAAUCAACAUUCGAAUCUUGAGACCCUAAUCCAGGGAUGGCUGCUUGUGGAACUGAUUUUUCAUAGUUUAUACUUCAACAGUUGGCAUGGCUAUCAUAUAUGAGCUUUUGAAUACAUCUUGUAUACGAGGAAGAAUGGAUUUUACAUGAGAGACAAACAAUGGAGUGUUAAGCAAGGAGUAUUAAAGAUUCUUUCCUGGUAAACAUUUUCCCUUCAUUUUAUCAAAUAGAGUAUUAAUUUUGUUUUGUUGACAAGAAAUGUUUUUGAGUACUGAAUAUUGAAUAGGGUUUGUGCAGGGUAUAGAGAGGAAAUCUAUUCAGAGGUUAACUUGUAAGGAACAAUUUCUGUGUGCUGUGAUCUGAAUUUUGCUAGUAAUGCAUAAGGGACAAGAUAGUCACAAUGCUUUUAAUGUUAUCAAUGUUGUCUUAAUAAUAUCUAGCACAUUUAUUUUUUUAAUCCUGUAAAUUUUCUAUUCUUCUUUUAGCAAUUAUCAGUCGUGUUGCAGAUGAGAACAAUAAACAUGUGAAAAUAUCUUUGAAUUUCUGAAGCACUAAUAAAUUUAUCUUGAUUUUAUUCAUGUAAAAUUUGACUAAUUUUACUAUUUUUUCCCCCUAGAAGACUCUUAAAACAUAACGUAACAGCUAUUAUUUAUUUAUUUAUUUAUUUAUUUAUUUAUUUAUUCCUUUUUUAUAAAUGGUAACGAUGAUAGAUUUUUACUACUAUACAUUCGAUCCAAUUAUGCAACCAACAUUUGUUUCGUUUUGUUUUAACACUCAACAACUUGAUGAUCUACAUUUAAUUGUUAAAAAAAAACACUGUUAUAUAUAUAUAUAUAUAUAUAUAAUCGUGUUCUUCUUAACAAUUAUAUAUAUAUAUAUAUAUAUAUAUAUAUUUACACGUGAAAUAAAAAAAUCCCGUAAUUUUCAAAAUGCACACACAUGCACACAUAUCGCCUAAAUUUAGGGCUGAGCUGUAAAGAGGACAAUAAUGUAAGCAUGGUCUCCGUGUCACAUCACCCACAUGGCCACUUGUCGCGGGGGGGGGGGGUGUCUCGACCCCGCAAGGGGCUUCGUUUUGCUGAGUUUUAGUUGUUGCCUAUUCUCCAGGCUCUGCUGUGACUUUUUGAUCUUUUAGGGUUUAUUUGAUUUUGUUUCAGUUUGGAUCCGGAUUUGGAACUGGUGAGUCUGAUUAGCAUCUCUGCGUUUGAGCUUGUUUUAUGUGCGGAAUGUUUUUCUUUGAUUUUUUGAUUCCUGUCUGCGUCGGAGUUGUUACGGCACCCGAUUGAUGUGGACGUCUUUGGAUAUUAUGCCUUGCUAGGGCUUCUAUGUGGUCUUACAUGACUUGGUCUAUUGUGCAGGGCUUGGUGAUCUUUAGUGUUGUUGAUGCUUGUUUGAUUUUUGUGAAUGUGGAUUUAAUUGCGGAAGAUGAAGGAUUAUCUGGGAGACUCUUCAUCUGAGUGUUGCAUUGAUGUGAUGUGCUAACACUGUCAAGGACCUGCAUAUGAUAGCUUUCGUACACAAUCUUAUGGCCACCUGAGGCAUUGCUUACGGGUUAGGAGUGGAGAAUUUACGUACAGGAAAGGAUUAGUCGAAAUUGACAUUCUCUUGAAUCCAGGUGCCUGGGUAGUCUUGUCUUGAAAGGGUAGUUUCGAGAUGGGAAUUUCUGAAUUUCAUGGUGUUUUUACUUUGUUUUUGAUGUUUUGGCGUGAAUUGCAGCUACUGGAAAACAGGUCUACAAACUAAAAGAGACUUCUCAGCACGGAUGUGCAGGCUUUGUGGGCUGGGACGGCGCCGGCCAUCUAAUCCUUUUCCCGCUCCUCCCUCGAAGCCGCAGGACCAGAACGCAUCCGGUGCUGCGACGAUGGAAGUUGGGCCAUACACGAAGGUGGACACCCAUCUUCGUGGUUUAGCACAUGCAGCUGAAGGUUUUGGCCACAGUGCGAAGGGCGGUUUGGAUGGAGAAAUCUACCACGUUACCUCUUUGGCUGGUCAGUAUAAUCUAUUUUCUUUUUCUGUGAUCCUUGUGAAGCGCGAAAAAACGCAUGCCGUCUUGUAAAAAUCCUUUAUCCGAACACAUUCUUGUGAACUAAGCUGAAUUUUUUGAGCAGAUGAUGGACCAGGCACACUACGUAAUGGAUGCCGUAGUGAACAACCCCUUUGGAUUGUGUUCGACGUGUCUGGCACAAUUACUCUAUCGUCUUACUGCCGAGUUCGGUCAUGGAAGACUAUCGAUGGCCGAGGCCAAUGCAUAAGAAUCACUGGAAAGGGUCUACAACUGAAGGAUUGCGAGCACGUAAUCAUCUGCAAUUUGAUUUUAGACGGUGGUCGAGGUCACGACAUUGAUGGCAUACAAAUGAAGCCAAAUGUGAAGCAUGUCUGGGUGGACCGAUGCUCAAUAUCUGACUUCGACGAUGGUUGCAUUGACAUCACUCGGGCGUCUACUGACAUAACUGUGUCGAGGUGAACAAUAUUUGGGUUUUUAAAUGUCGUGUCGAUAUAAUGAGAUUGUACAAUAUACGGUAUGUGCACCUGGUUUUUGUGUAAUCUGAUAAGGGAUCGUACAAUUCCAGAUGUCAUUUCAGUAAUCACGACAAGACGAUGCUGAUUGGGGCUGAUCCAAAACACGUGGAUGACCGCUGCAUUCGAGUGACAAUUCAUCACUGCUUCUUCGAUGGAACGAAACAACGCCAUCCACGCUUGCGCUUUGGAAAAGUGCACCUCUACAAUAAUUACACUCGAGGGUGGACAGUUUAUGCCAUCUGUGCUAGCGUUGAGGCUCAGGUAACCACUAUUUACGUGUCCGCUUAUCUCUGAUAUGAAGCCAGCUGUAGACUAUAGCUUUGCGAUGCUUCGCAACAGAUCACAGCAACAUGUGUGUACUCUGAUUUGUGAAUUUUGUCUAAAGUCACGAAUGAUAGGUGAGUUACGUGGUGAAUCUUGCACAAUGGUUGAUCGGCUCGAUUCUAGAGUUCUUCGGAGUUUUUAUGAUAUUCCCAGGAUCUCUCAUUGUCAACGUUCUUGUAGAAUGCUCUUUUCAAUAAGUCGACCUUCAACGAUAUUUAGUCUUGAAUACGUAUUUAACUUAUUGCCGUUUUGUGCAGAUUCUAUCGCAAUGUUGUAUAUAUGAAGCUGGUAGCAAGUUAAAAGCUUUUGAGUACUACCCUGAGAAGGUGAUGACAUGCUCAUUUUCCUCGUUUAUGUAUUUCAGUAAAGCUUCUCAUUCUGCCGUUUUCUUGCUCGAGUUGUAAACAGAUGCAAAUAUUUGUUCCGUAUUAGUGAGUGCAGCGAAUAGAAUAAAUGUUGGGGGGCGCUUAAUCCGUUUAGUAACCUUGAAAUAGAUCUUAUAUAUUACUGUACAGUAAUCAUGGUAUAUUUUGCGAACAUUUUGAACACAAGUCUCCAUGCCUGCAAUUUUUCGCACUAAUAUUUUCCUUUUUAGCAGGCUGGUGACACGGGUUACGAGUCAGCAGGUAGUAUCCGGUCGGAAGGGGAUGUGUUUUUAAAAGGUGCCCAAGGGCGAGUAGAUAAUCCAGAUCAAGUCUUCCAGCCUCAGAAAUUCUAUUCAUCGUGGACACUUGAGGGCGCCAACGAUGCUCUAAUGAAGAAAGUAAAGAGUAUUGCUGGCUGGCAGAAAAUCUUGAGACCUCCUGAUGUGACGCCCGCCCACUCAAGCUCUUGAGAUAUUGUGCACAUUCGGUUUCAAAUACCCUGUAUUCAUUUCUUCGGCAUCCGAUCGAAUCUAGAAGCACAGAAAAGGUUGUUUUAACUAGAUGUCUCCACAAUCCCUUAAUCCCGCCACGAUGGACAGUUCAUGAACGAUGUUUUGGGGUUGGAAUUGUGUUGGCCUUUCUCAGCUCAGACAGAAGACACCUGCACGCUGUGGAAGAAAUUCCAGGAUGUAUAUUUAUUUUGUAGAAUAUGUGUUUUGGUCUGCAUCUAUGUUCUGUUGGAUAUUUGGCAUUUUACCUUCUUGUGUUCCAACAGGCACGAAUUUUUACCAGUUGAAUUGAAAUUAACCCUGCUUUUUGCUAUGGCAGUCUUCUCCUCUUUAUUUCCUACCGUUUGUUGUACAUGUUCCGAGUCGUAAAUUAUUCAUUCACUUUUUCGUAACAUGGUUACAGAAUCUCCUGACCUUUGCCUAUUUGCACCACUUUCAAUGAAACCUAACCACUGACAUUGUACUUACGUAAGAAAUGUUAGAUUUUGUAACUCAUUUUAAAUGGAGAGAGGAGAAUGUUAGAUUAUUUUGUAAAUCAUUUUAAGUAGAAUUUUUUUAGAUAUUUCAAGCAUUAAGAAUGAUUUUAGUUUUACCAAUUUUAAUCACGUAAUUGCAAAACCAUUUGGAUUUAAAAAGCAAAAAGAUGUCCAAAAUAAAUAAAUAAAUAAAUAAAUAAUCAUUAUGAUGAACUAAUAAUAUUUUGAUUUUUUUUAAAAAAUAUUUUAUUAUAUUUUGUGUAAUGUAGGUGAAUGCCAUUUUUUCAUAAACAUGUGUAGUAAUGUUAAAUAAUAAUGGUUAAGAUUCAAUUAGUGGAAGAUCUUUAUUAAUGAUAUUUUAUGUUUUUUUAAUAAAGUCUUCAUCUAAAAAACAAGGUGAAUCUCUUGAAUCUAAUAAGACAAAGAUUUGUGAUUCUUAGGUUUUAAACAAACUUCUAUUACAAAACAAGCAAAGGGUUCUUAAAAAAGAAUAGGAUCUUUACUAGAUGUUGCAUUCAAUUCCAAUCAACUCUCUAUUAUAGCUAGACAAACUUGUUUUCUAAUACAUUAUCUUCUUUAACAACCAUGCUCUUCAUUUUGUGGUUGCAUUGUUUCUAUAGAUAAUAUUAAACAAUGUACUUAGAUUCUUCAAAAUAUAAGCAUAAUCCUUUUUCAUGAUAUCAAGUCUUUUAUUGCUUAAUGAGAGGUUUAAAAUAUAUCAUAUUAAUUUGCAUAGGUUUUAAUUUUGAUGAUUAAGUUUUUGAAAACCUAAGAAUUUUUAUUAUGUCUUGAUUUUUUUUUUUUUUUUUCUAACCAAGUCCUUACUCUUGGUAUAUUUUAAAAAGUUGAUUAUUGCAUGCAAUAGCUUGAAUAAUAAAAUAUUCUAAUAAAUUUGCUUUUAACAUCAAUAAUAAUAAACCUUUGAGUAUAUCUUUUAACCUAUAUGAGAGUUUAUUGAUACAAGCUUUAUUAUUCCAAUCCACAUUGCUAUCAAGAUUUUGGAAUUUGACAAUAUAGAUGGUAGCUAAUCAUGAGCCUUAUUAUAAAGAUAAGAAUUCUAUUAUUGCUAUCUUUUUUCAAUUACUUUCUCCAAAUGUGGUUGUAAAUACUUCUAAGAAUGAAUUUAGAUUAUAUAAAAAUUGUGAAUCCUUUUCCAUCAAAGAUACAAAUCAAGAAAGAAAACUUUUAUAUAAGAAUAUAUCUUUAAGUCUACUUCGAAAAAAAUCAUCAAGGUAUUGACAGAAAUAUAAUUUUAGAUAGAGUUUGACUUUAUGUAAAAAUCCUCGUAAGAUUGAUCUUGUUCCAUUAAACUUCUCCAACAUAUUAAUCUUUACCUCUACUAGACUAGUAGUAGUAAGUCUUUUUGAAUUUAUUUGUAAGAUUGAAUUACUUGUUUUUUUCAAUUAUAAAACUUUUUUGUAUAGAUGUUUGAUCUCAUUGUUUACUUUUUUUUAUAAGCAUAAAAAUAGUACUUCCAUAGUUGAUAUUGUUGAUAUGUGAAAUUUCUACCUUAAGAAUAUUGAGAAGUUUGUAAAUAUUUGCAACAUGAUUCUUACUUCCAAUAAAUUUAGCAUUCAUAAUUUCUUCUUCUAUCUCUAUAAUAAACAACUUUAACAAAAUUACAAAUCAAAUUAAAGAAGAAUAAUUUGCAAGUUCUAACAUUAAAUAAAAAAUUUUACAAAAAAAAAGGUUGUGUAUUUUUUUAAUAAAGAAAUAAAUAUUCAAAAAAAAAAAAAUAGUUUAAAGAUAGGUAGUUUGUAUCCUUUAAAGUAAAAUAUAAGAAAUAUUAUAAUUUAUUCAUUUUUGAAAUAAAAUAAAAAUAACAAAUUAUCACUCUUGACAACCAUUAAGAACAUGAAUCAUAACAAAACUUUAAUGAAAUAAUAUAUUUUUAUAGCAUUAAAAAGAGUGAAAGUAAAAAAAUCAAAUUUAGAUUUAACAUAGAAACUAAUAUGGCUACUUCCAAAUAUAAGAAGACUAGAAGUUCUUGAAAUAAGACUAAGAACAAGAGAAAAAAAAAAAAAAAAAAAAAAAAAAAAAUUGACAAGAAUGAAAAAGACCUUACCUUUGCCUUUAUAUAUUAUCUAACUAAUAGGUUGUAUAUUGAUAUUUAAAUGUCAUUCAACAUUUGUUUAACUUGCAAUGUAAGCUUUCAACAUCUGUGCUACAUGGCUAAUUUAUAUGACAAGUGACCAACAUGUGCAAUAUGUGGUAAACUUGUAAAGCAUGUAGUCAAUAUGUGCAACACAUGGCCAAAUUAUUGGCCAAGUUUUUAACCUACCAUUCAUUUAUCAACACUUCAAAAGUCAAUAUUGUAUCCAUAAAGCUUCUCCAUAAGAUAUUAUCAAAUUUAAUUGCUUCUACUUAUUUCUAUCUAAUUCUUUUAAUUAAGAUAAUUAUUAAUAUAAAAUUUUAUUUUUGUAAAAUUUAUUGAUUUUCUGAAUAUAUGUUAUUUUAUUAAAUUACAUAUCUUUAAAAUAGCCUUGAGAUUUAUUUUUUUGUCAAAAAUAAAAUAGUCAAUAUUUUUUAAAUUCUUUAAUUGGAUCUAAGGUAUAUUUAGAGAGAAUUUAAGAAAAUUUUCAUAUUUUUUAACUAAUAGUUGAAUUUUCUAUAUUAACAUUUAAGAAGGUCUUGCUUUAUUAUUUGGAUUGUAAUAUUGAAAAAAAUCUUGUUUUUUCUAUCAUUUUGAUAGAAGUUAACUUUCACUUAAAAUGUGACAAAUGAAUGUAUACUUACUUUGGCUCACAAUCCAACUUUCUAAGCUCAAACUAAGCAUAUUGACACUAAACACCACUUUAUUGUAAAAUAAUUCUUAAAGGAGAAAUUUCAAUGAAAUUAGUUAUUUUAAAAAAUAAAUGCAAUAAUUUUAUAAAAAACCAUUAAAUAAAGCUACUUGUUAGUAGUUUUAAGAUUCUAUUGGUUUUCAAAUGUUAUUAUCUUUGAACACCAAUUUUUUCUUCAAUGAUUUCACUACUAUCACUUUUGGCUUAACCAUACAUUUUUUAUUGCUUUUUUUUUCAAAUAGCUAAAAUUUUCAAUUUACUAUUAGAAUCUCUUAACCAUCCAUAAUAAUAUAUGCAAUGUUGUAUGCUAGUUUUAUAUUAGCUAAAAUAGACUCAAUAUUUUUUGUAGCAACUCCUAAAUAAUGUAUAUGUUUGUUUCAAUAGAUCUACAUUGCUUUCUUGGUUCUUUACUACCACUCAUUAUUGACUUUGCACUAAAUGUAAUAUUGUUCUAUUUGAGUUUUUUUCGACUCUCAAUUUUUCUAUUCUAAAAAGGCUUGUUAGAAUUUAUAUUGUUGUGUUAUGUAAAAUUUAGCUCAAAAAUUCAUUUAGCAUUUGAUUGUUAAAGAAUUCUAACUUAUCUUUAAAAAAUUCUUAUAAUAAAAAAUAAAUACACAAGGCCUUUAGAAACAUCAAUAUUAGAAAUUUAACCCUCUUAAAAUCUUCUAAUCAAUUAAAUUUUAUUUCUUUUAAUUUUAAAUUAUAUCCUUACUAAUGCCAAUCUUAUCAUUGAAUGACCUUGUUUAAAUAAUUUUUAAGAUUAUUUACAUGCUUUUGCUUAUUUUUAAAUUAAUUAAGUAUUUUAAGCUCAUAAAUAUGGAUUCUACUAAAAAUUCUAAAACCACUACCAACCUUAAUCAAACAUCAAAAAAUAUUUAAGAAAAUAUUAGAGAAAACUAAUUAAUCUUUAUAAAUCCUAAAAUAAAUUUAUUAAUUUCUAAAAAAAUCCUAAUCAAAUCUUAAAUAAAUCCUAACUAAAUUCUAAUGAAUCUUAAAGAAAUCCUAUCUAUAUGUUAAUUAAAUUUUGUAGAAAUUCUAACUAAAUUCAAACUAAUCUUAAUAAAUUAUAAUCAACUCUAAGUUGAUUCAACAAUAAGUUGAAAUUUUCUAAUCAAUCUUUGAUUUUAUUUUUAAAAAAUUCCAAUUUUUAAAAUCUUAGUUGAUAAAUAUGCCACAAUACUUUGAAAAGAGUUAUACAAACCAAUUAAAAGAGAAGUUAAAUAUUAUGCUUAAGUAUUAAGUAGCCUCCUUUUUAACCUUAAUAUUGAGCUUCUAGUUCCAAGAUCUCCUUCUUGAAUUAUAAAUACUCUUCUAAAAUUUGUGUAAAUGUUAGUAUUUACAUCAGCUAUCAAUCCACUAAUUUUUACUCCAAUCUAAUUGCUAGAUUUUUCAGGAUCUUAGAAACCCUUAUUGGCCUUCAAAUCUUUGAUUUCUAAUAGUCGAAUCUAUUUGAAUUAUAUUAAUCUUUAAUCUAAUUGUCUAAUUUAGCUUAAAUUCACAAUACAUAUUCAUUAGAACUAUGUUAACAUGUCUAUAAAAUUCUAUUUUAACAUCUACUAAAAUAUUAACAAUUUUAAAAAAUAUAUAAAUUGUUCAAAACCAAUGCUUAUAGAAUCUCCUUCAAGUUUUCUCUCUAACCUUUCUCUCCAAUAAAAAAAAUAGAACCUUGUAUCUAUUAUAGAUACACAAUUUUGUGCCUUGAAGGCUAGUUUUGAUCCUAAUUUAAAACCAAUUCUUCUUAAAUAUCAAUUUAAAAUUUUUUAGAAAGUUUUUACAAAAAACUAUGUUUUUUUUUUACUUAGAAAUGCAUGUAGUAUUAUUUUUGCUAAUCUACAUUAUUUUUCUUUCUUUAUGGCCAUACAAAGAAAAUAAAAGUCUUUUUUUCAAAAAAACACCAUUAAUACUAAAAUUUUUAUUACGUCUCUAUCUUUUGUAUAUAAUUUCUAAAGUAAUUUUCCAUUAAUUCUUUUUUUUUUUUUAAUAAUAUAGGUCAUUUUUUUCUCUUACAUCCAAUAGUGAUGUUACAAUAUAAUAAUGUUACUUGUUGUGGCUUACUAGGAUAGACAUUGAAAUUAUAUGUUGAAGAAUCAAAUAACUCUUUAAUUAGACAAUAGUUAAUAUCUUAGUUUAGUGAUACUUUUUUGUCCUCAUGUGCAUAUGGCUUAUGGUGUGCCUACCUUCUAGUUUUGUCUACUGAUUUACUAUUCUUGCUAUUUAGUUUGGGCUCUUUCUUUUUGUUUAUUUAAGCUAGUUUGCAUUAAUAAUUUAGUGACAUUUUACAACAUUUUCCUCUAUCUUUCUGAAGUACUAGUCUUAAAACACAUAUCAUUUUGUUUAUUUGUACAUGUUGUCAAGGAUAUUAAGCCUCCAAUUUCUUAAAAAGAAUUAUCAUUAAGUGUAGCAAAUGAGCUUUUUUUUUAGCAUCUACUAUAGAAACAAGAUCUUUUUUCUUUUAUAGAAGACCCCAAUCUUUAAUAGUAUUUUUAAGGUCUUCUACUCUAUAUAUCUUAUACUUGUGUUUGUACAAUCAACUACUUAUUAGCCAUAUUGACAUUCCAAAUCUUCUACCAAAUAUUUAAACUUGUCUUUAUUGUCAUAUCAUAUUAUAAGCUUUACAAUGGCUCAAGUAUUCUAAUAGAAACAAGAAACUACAAGAUAUAUAAUAGGUGCUUUGAUGUAUAUAGAUUUCCUAAACCUUUAAACUUAUGACACUACUCAUAAAUCCAAUUUUACUAUAAAAACAAAUAAAUGUUGAUUAUAUGAGAAUUAAUCCUUCUUUGUCACCACAAAUACAAAAUAGAACUAAACAAUUGAUUUAUCCAUGCUACCUACAACAACAAAACUUUUAAAUAAACUAUAUCUUUAAAUAAGCUUCAACAUUUGCAAUUAGAUGGAUUAAUAUAUUUGUUAUCCUAAAUUAGCUCUAUUAAGUUUUUAUGUAAUAAAAACCUUACUACAAUAUAUUUUAUGACUAUAAAAUUUUCUAAUAAUGGCUACAAUAACUAUACAAAAAAAAUAAAAAAUAAAAAAUCUUAGUAAAAUACCAGAAUAAUUGUGAAAUUACAACUAUAAUAAAACUAUCACAAGAAUAUUGAAAACAUGAUUUUAGAAAAAUUACGACAAUAAUUAUAAAAUACUAAAAAGGUAAAAGUACCAUAUAAGAAUUGCUGUAAAAAUCAAUAAAUAUAAUUUUAUUGUUAACUUAUCCUAUCUCUCUUAGUUUUUUUCAUGAUUUAUAAAAAAAGACAGUGUCAAGGUUGCAAUUUCAGCAACAAUAACAUCAUUCUAACAACUCUGCAUAAGCAUUUUGCCAAUCUUUUAGUAGAAUUCAAGCAACUUCAGUAGUCAUCCAAAACUAAAAUUUUGUUUUCCACAAAUUAAUCAACAAGAGCACAUUUUAUCUCUAAAUUUUUACAAAUGUUGUAAAUCGAUACAUUACGUUACUUUAGCAAACAAAAAAAACAUUUUCUUUGAGUAGAAAACAUAGGAAUUCUCUUCUACAUUCCAUAGUCUCAUUUAUACUAGACUUGCAAAUACAUUGAAGCUUGAAAAAAAACCUCAUGUUGAUCAAGUAAAACCACCAUCAAUCACAAGAAUUCAUUCUCUAAACUCUAACCUCCAUCAGUAACUUAGAGUGUAGUAUCUUAAAGUUUUCAAUAUACUAAACACAAGUCUUUGCAAGAUAAGAGAAAUUUUCAUGUAUACAUGUAGGACUGUUUUAUACAGUGUGUGUGUGUCUGUGGGCACUGGAAGGAAACAGCUCUGGACUUGCAGCCUGGUAACCGCCGCUUGGCAAGCUCAUCAUCGUAGACGAGGGCUGUGCGUCGACGAGAGGCCAUAACUUGAAGCCUAGAUCGCCGAGAAAAACUGGGUAUCACCGGAUGGCGAAACAAUUCCUUAGUUUGUCACCACAAUAGCAUUUUCUCCAAGAUCGAAGUUAGAUUUCAAGCCUGCGGGCAAACCACGGCGGGCUCUGGAGGCGAGGUCCCGCACAGCCUCAGGAGUGUGGGUUUUAUGGCAGUUGGAACCUUGCAGUUGGCUCUGAUAUGUCUCCAUUGCCGCUCUCUGUUUAAUCCCUUUGUCUCUUCCUAUUCAUCCUUCUCGCGGCGUAGUGUAGGCAGCAGUGGAGCUGGGUAGGGCGAUUCUGUGAGGGGAGAGCAAAUUGCUACAGCCGCACGCUCAGGUAAGUAGCUCAUUCAUCCCUUCUCUACUACUCUUCCUGGUUACGACUGGAACCCUUGUUGUGGGUUUUGUGAAUUUCGCGGUUUAGGUUGUCUGUGAAUUGGUGGUUUGCUCCGAUCGUGGCUCGUGUAAUUGUGUCGGAGUUUUUCAGCUUCGUUCCGGGUUUGUUCGAGGAGAGUGCAGAAGAGUUAUGUUGCGAAUUUUCCAGCCUGGGCGAGUGCCAAUUUAGCCAUUACAAUGUUGUACGUGCGCUCUUGAUUGCUUUGUAGUACUAGUCGUUUCUUUUCUUUUCUUUUCUUUCUUUCUUUCUUUACUUAUUUUGAUGGUUUUAGCGAGUCUUUAGGACUCGUCGCUGGUUGCUCAUAUUUGCUAGCUCGGAAAGAUGGAAGUCAGUCCUAGUCAUAUUGUAUUUUACUGGGGUCGUGUCCUCUCGCAACAGAGAUUGUAGCCGUAGUCUAUAAUGAUGCACGUCAUGCUGUCUCUUCAGACAUUUUCGUUAGCUCAAUGAUAAAUUUAUUUUGCAUCGACGCACCCUGCCAUCUAGUGUUCGAAACGUGACAGUGUCUCUCACGGAUUGCUUCAGCGGUAAUUGAACAUUUACGACAGGGUUUGUGAAUUUUGUGAGCGUUAUCUCGUUGGAAAAAAUGCUUGAAUUUUGCUUUCCGACAAUCUAGGACUUAGCAAGGAUGGAUAAGUUUCAGUUUUGAAUACUUACUGUUUCAAGUCUGUAAAAGAAGCUGAUAGUAUAGCAUUUCUUGACCUGAUUCAAUUGAAAAUCCUGUAGUUUAAUUGAAACUCUUAAUCGAUGAUCCAGCCCAUGUAUUAAGCCUAAACCAAAUCUGAUCCGUAUAAAGUCUUGAGUUUUAUUUUCUACUUCUAUGUUGUGAACAUUACGGCUUUUGAAAAAAUUAUCGGAAUGUUUUCAGUCAAUUAUUUGGACCUGGGAGUUUGAGCUUGCUGUUGCAUUGAUUUUAGCUUUCCGUUCGGUCAUAGUGAAAUCUGUCGUUGAAAAUUAUUUCUUAGUGAAAAAUCUGAUUUUUUUAGAUUCGAUGACUGUAUGCAACAGGAUGGCGUACGUUGCUCUCCCUACGAGGAAUAGUACUGUGCUUCACCUGGCCAAUGCUGCGGCAAGGCUUCCUCGCAAUGCUUGUUCAAUCGUGCAGUCUUCCCGCUCCUUGAAAGAUAUCUUGCCCCUGAGACCCUUGAAGGUGCACUCUUCGUGCCUAUCUGCUGCACGCAUUCUCUCAAAUCUUACCACAACAGAUUGGAGAAUCUUUUCUUCUGUGGAAGACAAUGUCACAGUGGAGGAACCCGCUGUGGACGCCACUGCUGGGGGUUCUGGAGGUGAGAACAUUCCUGAGGCUACCGCUGCCGAAGAAACAGAGUCCUCCGAAGCUUCUGCCAAGAAAAUGCAGAGGAACAGCACCAUGAAGGGGCGAGCUGGUGGAAAGACGAUCACCGUCCAGAAGGAUCAGAUUGUCCCAGGCGCUGUUUUCACUGGCAGAGUUCGAUUUGUUCAACCCUACGGUGCAUUUGUUGAUAUUGGAGCUUUCACUAAUGGAUUGGUACACGUUUCUGAACUAGCGCCAGGGUAUGUGAAGGAUGUGAGUGACUUUGUAAAAGUGGGCCAAGAGGUUACUGUGACAGUGCUUGAGAUGAAUGAGAAAUCCAAGCGGAUCGCAUUGACGAUGCGGGACAGAGAAAGCGAAGCCGCGGUGCCGUCAUUUCGAUCUGGAGAUGAGUUGAAUGCAGGGUCGGGGACUAGUGGAGAUGGCAGUGGAAAGCCAACGAACCAGGGCAAGAUUGCUGGAAGGGGAAAUGGAGGCUCGAGGUCAAAUUUGAAGCCGAAGUUAAGGCAGAGUAAGGCAAAGGUGUGCGUUUCUCUGGGCGGUACCUGUAGGACGACGGGUCUUGGAAGCAGUUUGUUUGACGUACCCGUGCGGUACAUCGUUUCUGCACGUGCGGUGGUUGUUAAAUUUGAGCAGUAACUGUGAGAUGACGUCGGAUGGAGAAGUGUUGGAAUUCUGAUUUGCACGCGUCUUUGUGGUUUCAUUAUGUGGCAGACGAAGCUGAAGAAGGGUGAAGUACUGAAGGGGACAGUGAAGAACAUCAUCCGGAACGGUGCGUUCAUAGAGUUCCCUGAGCAAGGAGAGGAGGCGUUCCUGCGAGGGUCAGAGGUCACGGAGGGUGGGGAGAAUGUACCAAUUGAGAACCUUCUGACGGUGGGACAAGAGGUGACCGUGCGAGUUCUGAAGAUCGAGAGAGGAAAAGCUUACUUGACGAUGAAACCACAAAUUGACAUGACGGCAGUGAACGACUCGAUCAACUCGGGUGUCGUAGGAGGUGCCACGAACCCUUUCGCAACAUUUUUCCGCAGCGUGAACAUGGUUUCUCGAACCCUUGUACCUGUAGAUGCACAAGAGACAGCUUCUGCAGCUCACGAAGCACUUACUGUUGACAAAAUCGCUAGUGUUCCUGAAACUUCUGCUGCUGAGGAAGCAUCCGAUGUGCAAGAAGCACCUGUAAUUGAAGUGAUCUCUGCAGCCCAGAAAGCUCCUACAGAGGAGGAAGCCCCUGCAGUUGACGCUACCUCUGUCUCUGAGGGAAAAUCUGCCGUCGUUGAAUUUUCUCCUGAAGUAUCUCAAGCUUCUGUGGAAAGCAGUGAGGAAUCAUCAGCUAGUUCUGAGGCAAAUAUCGAGGAAUCUCGUUCACUCUCACUUGGAGAGCUUGCUGAAGGGAUUGGCAAAGCUGUAGGCGAAGUUGAGAAUGUGGUCGAGGCUGCUGCACAGAGAGUUGAACACGUAGUUGAGGCCGCUGCAGGUAUUCAAAUAGACAUCAUGCUUACACAGAGUAUUUAGUUGUAUUUUCUACGUUUGUGCUGUAUGGGUUUCGCAAGUAUUCCUUCAACUUUAACUUGAGUUUGUUUUCAGAUAUUUUGAAAAUUGGAGAGAAAGCCGAUGAAUCCAAAGAAGCUGCACUUCAGGAGCCUGAGGCAUCUGCAGCUGAGGAACCAGCAGAAGUUGCACCUCAGGAGCCCAAGGCUGGACCACCUGAAGAAUCAAAAACAGCUGCAACUGUGGAACCUAAGGCAGUUGCUUCUGCAGGACCAACUUCAGCACAAGUGAAGCAGCUACGGGAGAAGAGCGGAGCUGGAAUGAUGGAUUGUAAGAAGGCUCUUGUGGCCUGCAGCAAUGAUGUCGCUAAAGCACAGGAAUAUUUGAGGAAGAAGGGUCUUGCAAGUGCUGAGAAAAAAGCUGGUCGCAUUGCUGCUGAAGGCCGCGUUGGAAGUUAUGUUCAUGGUGGACGUCUGGGUGUGCUUAUCGAGAUAAACUGUGAAACGGAUUUUGUUUCUCGAGGUUCUCAGUUCAAAGAACUUGUAAUGGACAUGGGCAUGCAAGUCGUAGCUUGUCCAGCUGUAAGUAUGCAACACAGUUUAAGGUUUCUUGUUACACUAUUCUUUUUCAUCGUCCAGUUCUAAUUGUAUCUAGCUAAAUGUUCCAGACAUGAGUAAUUUAUUUUCAUUGAAAUUUUAACACAAGCAAUUGAAUGUUCAUAAUUUCAGGUUCAGUAUGUUAGUACAGACGACGUACCAGCUGAUUUUGUGGCAAAGGAGAAGGAGAUAGAAAUGAGCAAGGAGGAUCUUGCAAACAAACCAGUCCAGAUUCGUGAGAGGAUUGUGGAGGGCCGGGUGGCCAAGCGGUUGGGGGAACUUGCACUAUUGGAGCAGCCUUUCAUUCGGGAUGACAAAGUUCCCGUCAAAGAUCUUGUGAAAGAACUAACUGCGCAACUUGGGGAGAAAAUUCAGGUUGGUGCACAUGAAUGUUAUUCGGUGAACUUAAUCUUUGUGUGCAAGGCUUUGUUGCUAGCUGUUGACGCGUUUUUUUUUUCAGAGUUGUUGCUAGCUGUUGGCACAUGCACUUUUGCGUAUAAUUGUUCCGAGCUAAUUGGAACUUCACUUUCAAUGUUUGGUCAGAUUCGUCGUUUCGUGCGGUACAACUUGGGAGAGGGUCUUCAGAAAAAGUCUGAUGACUUUGCAUCUGAGGUAGCAGCGCAAAUAGCAGCCAAGGCUGAUCUAAAGCCAGUCACAGAAGUUCCUAAGGUUGAAGUGGCUAAAAAGGAAGAGGAUAGUCCCAAGGUAGGAUGUCUUCGAUUUGACACGCUCCUUGAUUAUUCUUUACCUGAUUUUCUACAGCUGGCACCGCCUCUACUUCUUUUCUUCACAUCACUUUCUCGAUACUCUCAUGCAAACGCUGAAUCCUGAUGUUACUGGGUGUUGUGUUGUUGCUAUAGUCAGCACCUUCCAAGUUUGUUCACCUGAUUUUUGAAGUUAGGUGAGUCGCUUAGUAGCUAUGGCUAACAGCUCAGACGUGACACACUUAAACAGGUAGCGGUAUCAGUAUCCAAAGUGAAAGAGCUCAGGGAAAUGUCUGGGGCAGGAAUGAUGGAUUGCAAGAAGGCUCUGGCAGCUUGUGACAAUGACAUUGAAAAAGCAACCGAGUAUUUGAGGAAGAAGGGCUUGGCCAGCGCCGAUAAGAAGUCUGGCAGGAUUGCAUCAGAAGGUCUUAUUGGGAGCUACAUCCACGAUGGACGUAUAGGUGUCCUCAUCGAAGUCAAUUCUGAGACCGACUUUGUUUCCAGGAGCGACCUGUUUAAGGAACUUGUUGCCAACAUGGGAAUGCAAGUAGCUGCUUGCUCUCAGGUUAGUAAAUUGAAGAAGUCAAAGAAAAAGAAAAAGAAAACUUCCAUCUUCCCUUAAUUUUUAAGUCGAAAACUAAGAUUUUUGUUUCCGAGCCCUGUUCCUAUCCUUCUGAACAGGAGUUGCCCAAAGAGAGCAAUUUAAUUGCCCAUAAACGCGGAUCGUUGCACGCCACCAGAUGUUCUUAAAUCGUCCGGUCUUACUGCAUUAGGAACAUUUAUUAACACCAGAGUCCUGUGGCUUGGCAGGUGGAGUACGUAACGGUUGAGGAAAUCCCCGCCUCAAUUGUUGAGAAAGAGAAAGAGAUUGAAGCCAGCAAGGAGGACUUGGCCAACAAGCCAGAGGCUAUUCGCAGCAAGAUAGUGGAGGGUCGCGUCGCCAAGACUUUGAAUGAACUGGCUCUGUUAGAGCAACCAUUCAUCAGGGACGAUAAAAUUUUGGUAAAGGACUAUAUCAAGCAAACUAUUGCUACUCUGGGUGAGAACAUCCAAGUGAGGCGGUUCACCAGGUUCAACUUAGGAGAGGGUAUUGAAAAGAAGAGUACCGAUUUUGCUGCUGAAGUCGCUGCUCAAACUGGGGCCAAGGCUUAAUCAGGUGCGAAGGCUAGCUUGUAGUAAUAGUUUUAGUUAUUUGCCAUAGAGUUCAAAGAUUAGCAGCAACUAUUAAACUCUUGGGAAGCUUUAGCUUAGUAACUCUUCGACGUACAUUUAUUGUAAAAUGUGGUAAUUGGGCAGUGAAUUUUUGGAUGGUUUAGCAUGCAUCCAGUUCAGUUUCUUGAUAAGUAGAUCAAUGUUUUUUUGUUUUUUUUUUUGUUUUUUUUUUUUUUUUUUCUUCGCUUUCUUGCAUGAAUUUCAUUGUGUUUCCAAUUCUUGUGACUUCAUUCACAACCAGCUCUAUGUAGCUUAUAGAACAACUAGCUUGCUGAUAGCUCUUGCUGACAAUGAUCAGUGUUGACCUUUUCUAUUUCCUUGACUCUGCUGGAGAUGGGUACAAUCAGACCGGCGCCUGUUUUAAUUUCACUAGAAUCCAAGACUUGGUCCAAUGCUCAAAAGGUGCUGCUGUAAAAUGGUAUGUAACAUUUUUAUUUUACAAGCUCUUUAGUUUAUUAAGUUGUUGAGUUUCCAGGAUCAAUCGUGCAAUUAAGAUUAGAGGAUAUUACAUAGAAUACAAAGUUUUAAGUGAAAGAAUAUGUACUCGUAGUAAGUUUUACAGAAAUUGUCAAAAUUAUGAAGGUUUUAAAUGCGUUGUUUGAGAAUGGAUAUUGAAACCAAAACUUGUGUAGAAAAAAUGGUUGAAUGUGUAUUACGAUAUGCGUUUUGAUGAACACUUUUUGAAAAUAGCUUUUUAAUUGCAUCAAAGGAUACUUGUUGAUAUCUUGAAUCGAAUGAAAUUUUGGCACGGAAUGCAGGUAUUCUAGGCACCCUCACUAGAAACAUCGUUGCCUAUUUUUUUAAUUUUAAUUAAAUACAUUCGUAUGUGAUACAUCAAGACAGAGCUUUCUUUAUAAGAUAAUUGUAACUGAGAAUUUCUUUGAUUUUCUUUUUUAUCUUUUCUUUUUAGUCAUUUUUUCCUGAUUACCCGGAAACUUUCCAGCCCUGAACCGGAAAUCAAUACAAGGUGUUUUUUUUUUUUUUAAAUAAAUUAUUGAAAUAAUAAUAAUUUAAAUAUUGGAUUCUUUUUUUAUUUGUUGACCAAGAUAGCAUACAUUAUUACAGAAUCUCUUCCAAAACUCACCAACAUUUGAGGGACUAAAGACUUUUAAUUUUAGAAAUAAUUGUUUAAAAAAUAUGGAAAAUAUCCUGAUCUUGAUGAUAAACACCCAUAGUUGUUGCUCUGAAUACCAUUAAGACCCAAUAAAGUUAAAUAGAAAUAAAAUAAAUCUACAAUUGACAAAUUUUUGGGAUUCUUGUUUUGAUCAAUAAAAAGCAUUGAUUUAGUAUUUUCCUACAUGUAUAUUCUUAUAUUUUCCUAUAUAUAUUUAUAAAAAAAUCUAUCUAUAUAUAUAUAUAAUAUCACAUGAUUAUUAAAAAUUAUAGAAGUUUUUAUAAAAAUUCCAUACAACUUUAUUAAACAUGCUUUUAUAAUUCAUUGAUGAAUGAGCCUCCUUGAAACUAUUGUGUGGUUAUAAAAUAUAAUUAGAUGUCUUUAUUAGACUUUUAGAACAGCUCUUAUAGAUAAAAAAAAUAAAUUUAAAGUCAUUAGUACGAGGUAUAUGUAUUUAAGGAGAGAAGAUUUAAAUGUCAUAACUUUUAAAUACUUUGCUUGGCUGGAAUCAAGAAACCUCACUUAGUCAGCUUUACACCUAAAACAAAUCAACACAAAAGUCUCCAAAAGAACUAGUUAAGGAAGAAUGAUCUUUUCUUCUUAGGGCAUAUACAAAUGGGACACCUCAAAUUGAGAUUUUAACAAAAAACAAAUUAACAAAUUUGUUGAAAACUACUACAAAUAAUUGGCAAAAUUCAAAUCUUUCUUGCAUGAGUUUCAUUUUGAUUUAUGCAUCAAAUUUAUUUAUACAUCGUUUUUUUAUUUAAAAAUACUGGAAUUAAUACCUUGAAUAAAGUAAUUCACUUUUUUUUUCUUUUCUUCUUUUUUUUUUCAAAAUGUUAACAUUUUGAGUAGAACAAUGGGUGACAAGUCUGACAGUGAAUUUCCAUACAAAAAUAGUACAUCUACAUGUAUAUUUAUAUUUAUAUUUUCUUAUAUUAAAAAAAAAAAAAAAAAAAAAAAACACACACACACAAUUUUGAAACAAGAUUUUAGUCUGAUGUUCUACAUUCUUUCCAACUACAUCUUCAAAAAUUGCAGAUUUACAACAAUAUAAAACUCAGUUCCAAACAUCCAAAUAGUUUUAACAUUCUCCUUCAAAUUUCUAUAUUUGCCUAUGACCCUCUUGUAGAAAUGUUUAAUUUGAAUAAUCAUUUUUUUAAAGUCAAUUUUUUCUUUAAAAAUGUUGAUAUAUAUUUGAAAAUAUUGGUGGUAUAUAUUUAUAUUGCAUAUUAUCCAAAAAUUUAUCCAUUUAAAUAAUAUAAAAGUAUAAAAUUUUGCAAUCUAUUUACAAUAAACUCUUAAUUUUUACUGUAUAUAUAUAUAUAUAUAUAUAUAUAUAUAUAAAUUCACAUGAAAAUAAGAAUACAAUUGGAAGAUUUGUAUUAUCAUUCUCUACUUGAAACAAAAUUUACCUUAUAUUUGAAUGUAUGUAUGUAUGUGUAUAUAUAUAUAUAUAUAUAUAUUAAAAGUCAAUAAAUUAUGUCAAAGUUUUGAAAGCAACUAUAUAUUUUUAUGAGAUAAUAAUCAUAUUUUUUAAAAUAGUAUUCCAAACACUAUAAUGUAAGGAUCUUUAUUAUCAGAAGAGAAGGCAAAGGGCACCAACUUUUCAAAUUUGAGAUUAACUGCAAUUGACGAGAUUUUAAUAGUUACCUUUGUACUUAGAAAAGUCAACCAAAAAGCCAUAAAAAGAAAUAAUAAGGUAGAAUGUUUUUUCUUUGUAUAUGGUGUAGAUAAUAUUGUCUCCUCAAAUUUGCAUUACAUCCAUCUAAACAAGUGGUUUUACAAAAUAUAUAUAUAUAUAUAUAUAUAUUUAUGUCUUUAACAAAGUAUUAAUUAAGGACAUAUAUAGAGAGAAUCACAUAUUUGUAAACUGUAUUUUAUUAUAAUUUUUAAAGUAAAAUUUAUACAAAAAUAAAUAAAUUAAUCACUGUCAUGAUCUAUUCUUAUUUUAAAUUAUUAGUAAAGACCAAGGCUUGCAAAUUGCAACUUUUUUCUAUCAAGCAAGUAAAUUUCAAAAGAGUUUUGAACUAAAGUCUUAUAAAGUGAGCUUCUAUGUAUAAUUACCCUUUGGAAACACACACCAACAACUCAAUAUAAUCUUUCUCACAAGUGAAUCCAUCAUACCUAUGUAAUUUUUUUUAUUUUUAUUUCAAAUUAUAUUUACAAAUUUUGAUAUUUUAUAAGAACUCUGUCUAUUACAAUAACUUGAGGACCUCAUUAAAUAUUUUAUUAUUGUUGCCUACUAAAUCAUCAAAGAAGUUCAAUAUUCAAAAACAAGGAAAUACAGGCUUUAAAACAUAAGAAUAUAAAUUAACCACGUGUUAAUUAUAAAACAUACAUAAUUGAACAAUUUAAAAACUAUAAUUAAGUAAUCUUAUUAUCAUUAUUAUUAUAGAUUAUUAAAUAUUCAUUGUCCAAACAAGUCAUAACAUACACUUAUCCAUGUGCAGUUUUAUUUCAUUGUUAAAGUAUAUAAAAUUUUGGAUUAUGCUUAAAUUUCAUUUAACUUGUUUAAAAUUGUGUAAAUUUCACUUUAAAAACAAUAGAUUCUUAAAUGGAUGCCGAUAGUUAAUUUCUUAUCUGACAUAUUUUGAUCCAACAUAAAUAGAAGUAAAAAUACAUAACAUAUGAUAGAGAAAAAAAAGUAAGUCUAAGAAGUUACAAGACAUUUUAGCUACAAAUUUAUUUAUGACAAUUCUAUAAUAAAUUAUGUGAAAAUCUGGCACAAUAGAAAUUUUUUCGUAAUUUUUAAAUAAUCUAAGUAUUAUAUUCUUGAAUGAUUUUUAAAUUGGGGGCUUUGUUAAAAUUCAUUGUAAAUGUUAAAGUUUUAAUGAAAUUGAUAAUAUGGAACUCAAAAUCAUUUCGUAACGAGAUUCUUCUUCUUUUGCAGAAAUGUAUUUUAUUAGUCAAACAAAAAUUCAAUGUAAGGAAUUAAAACCCGCAGCCAUUUUUACAAAAAAAAAAAAAAAAAAAAAAAAAAAAAAAAACUUAAAAUUGUGAAAUACAUAAAAUGGGAAACUCAAUCAAACAAAGGGUGAAAUAAUUUUAUGUGCAGUAUACAUGAUUCUUUUUAGAUAGUUUCUCUCAAUUAUUAAAAUUUAAUUAAAUACUACCAAUAAUCACUGUUGACCACAUUUGUCUUUGGCAGUAAAGUUGUUCUGUUGUUGUGUUCGAAACCAUAUUAGAAUUUUGGAUCAAAUUCACGUGUGCCUUGGAUUCGAAGAUUUAAGUUAACAAAUAAUAUAUAUACAUAUAUAUAUAUAUAUAUAUAUAUAUAUAUAUAUAUAUUUCAUCAUUAUCCUCUAAAAGAAAUUUAUGCUUGCAAAUUUUUAUGAAUGCCCCUGCAAAGUUUUUGAUACAGUAUUUUCUUUUACAAAUUUGAGAAAGAAAAAUAAGAGAUGAGUUUCUAACUUUAAUCGCCCUUUUUACUGUUAUUUAUUUAUUUGUUUGUUUUAUUGUUGAAAUUAAUUAAUACAUCAAUACAAGUUAAUAAAAUCACGUUAAUUUCUUUGAGUAACCACCCACUUCAACAUACAGGUUACGGUGCUAUUGAUUUUUCUUUAGUAAAAUUUAAACAAUAAAAUUAAAAACACAUAUUCAAUCCUCAAAAGUUUGAGCACCAAUGUGCUGGUCACUUUAACCAUUUAAUAAGCUAACACUCCAACAUUUUAACAUUAGCGUUCAAUUCAUAAUUCCUUCUACAAAAACUUAUAUCAUGUUCACACUUUUUUUUUUAAAAGUAUUCAGAUAAUCCCAUUCUCGUGCCAAAGCAAUGAACAAAACCCAAAAUUUGAUGAAAAGAAAUAUAUACAUAUAUAUAUGCAUUACAAAAAAUACAUAAAAGUUUGAAAAUGGCAUCCCGGAAUAAAAGAUCCAUCCACAUCCGAAUUAAUUAGCUACUUACAAAAAUCUCACUUUAAACCGCAAAAAUAUCAUAUAUUUUCUACUCUUAAUCUAAAAAAAACACAUAUUAAAUUAUAUAAUUUUAUACUCCACUUAUGUUUAAAAAUAUGUUACGUGUUUGUAGCUGCCAGAAUGGCAGAGAAAGUACAAUCUAAGGUACAAACAAGAAGUACAUUGUGUGACUAUUUAUUCCCUUUGAAUAAACAAAUACCCAUAAAUUGGAGACAAGUUUAUCCAUACAUACCUCUCUCACCCUAUUCUUAUACGCCUACAGGUAGUUGUUCAUACUUUUUAAAGUAUUUUUUUAAUAUUUUCUAUAUAUAUACAAAUAUAUUUUGAAGAAAAGGUUAAGUAUUCAAGCUAUGGCAUGGCCCUUCGCAACCCCAAAAUGAAGACAUCCAAUAAGUUAAAAAGGAGUUGGGAUUUGCUAUUGGAGCGAUGUACGAGGGUCAACACCUCUCCCUCAUAAAUUACAAGUUGUGGGCUAUAGUGCCAAUCAUGCUUUAUUUGGACAAUCUCAAAGUUUUAAAUUCUAGUCCAAAAUAUCGUAAGCAUAGGAUAUGAUGUAGAAUAAGACAAGAAUAACAAAACAAUAAUAUUAAAAUUGUUCAUCUUUAUUAUAUAUGUAUAUUCAAAAAUGUUGUCAUAAACAAA
rnacentral:lncRNA from 1 species